AGCCAGUAGUUUAAACCUUCUUCACUUGUUCCGUAUCCGACAACGGUGACUGCAUGGGAGAGAGCAUUGCCACAAUCUCCGGUAAACACUCCCCCGCUGUAAAACCGAAAGUCUUGUCCAUGGCCUUCGAUUGCAACUGAGACAGGUUGACUUGCGACGACCAUAAGCAACGCUUCUUCGUCGUUUUCAGGCACCAUUUGAUAUUCAUUGAUGGUGGCGACUUUGUUUAUCUGUUUCUCAGUGUCGCAAGUUUCUUGCGUUUCUUGAUAUGGGUAGCUUUCUUCAGUAGUUAGUCCUUGGUUUCGGAUAACGUAUUCGAAAGCAUUUACCAUUUGUCCACCAUCGCAACCUCUGUUUCCUCCAUCUGUGCUGCAAUCCAACAAUUGUUGCUCAGAUAAUGAGAUUAAACUACCAGUUUUGAUUUGGACUAUCCCUUCAAUGGCUGCCACUGCUGAAAAUGCCCAACAACAUCCUGCGAAGUAAACCAACAAUAACCCUUUGUUAAGUAUAAAACAAUUACUGAAAAAAAUAAAUGAAUGCUUCUUGGCUGAGCAAUAUUUAUAAAAUAUUUUAUAGGAGUUGGGUUAGCAUACUAACAUAUUGUACGGAAAAAUUAAAUAGUUACACGUGGUUGUUAAAAAGUAAAUAAGUCUUAUUGAGCAAAAUUAAUUUUUAUAUAUUGAAUUAAAAAGUAAAUAAGUUUUUUGUGUUUAAAAUUUAAUUCAUUUGUACUAUUAAAAACUGUCGUGACUGACAAAAUAACCAAAUAAUGACACAUGGCUUGCCAUGUGUGUUGAUAUAUAAAGACCAAUUUUUCAUAAUAAAAAUGAAUGAAAUUUUUAAGAGACGAGUUUGCUAUUUGAUUAAUGUGCGAGGAUUCAUUUGCCCAUAUUUUGAGUAGAGAGGACAACAUGCAAUUCGACUCCUAAUAUAAGAGUCUCCAUAAACUUUUACCUCUUUUAUUUAAAAAUACUUUUUUUAAAUAUUAUAAUUAUACAUCAAUGUUAAAGUAAGUUUGCAUUUUCUUACCACUUUAUAUGAUAUAUGUUUUAAUUUGGAAUCGAUCUAAUAUUUCUAUCAUAUCAUUUAAAAAAUUAAUUUUUUUUCAAAAUAUAUCGAAGGAUUGAAAGAUUUGUAUAUUAAUUAAAUAAUUUGACAUUUUUAAUUUACUUAAACCUUGACUAAUAUUAUUUAUGUUAAUACAACAUCACAUAUGAUGUUGAAUUAAGCAAAUAUAUUGCAGAUAAUUAUUUCUUUUCUACAAUGAUGUAAAAUUAACUUAGGGUGGGUUUAAAUGGGUGAUUGGGUGCUGUGUGUUUAACUUACUUUUUGUCUCAUACUACAGUAUCGCUACAGUAUCUAAUCUCACCGUCACUGUUGUUUUUAUAGUAAUGGUAGGUAAACGCACCACCCAUCCAAACUCACUCUUAGUUUUAUAGUAAUAUAAGUGAAUUCCCUACAUAUAUAUACAUUAGAUUAUGAGAUAUCUAUGAUGUCGAUGAAAGAUAUUUAUGUAAAAAAUAUAUUAACUAAAAUUUUAUAUAAAAAUUAAAUAAAAUUUUAAUUAAAAUAAUAAAAUUAAAGGUUUAAAAACUAAUGCUUUAAGCUUAAAUCCCAUAAUGGGUACUUUUAAUGAUUUUAUAUACAAAAAAACUCUUAUAAUAAUACAAGUUAGAUUGUAAAAAGAUGACUUUUUAAUUAAUUUCGACUGCAUUUGUGUUCGAUUGAUUUGUAACGUUAACUUAAUAAAUGGUUGUAUGUAAAUUGAGACUUACCACAUUGACCUUGAAACUUAACAGGAGUGACAGCACCUUGGGCCCUCCAAUCCAAGCUUGUUGGAACAUCUGAGACGUUUUGAUACAUAAAAGAUGUUGAUUCGGACAGUGUGGGAUUGCCUUGCAUCUUGUAUCCGGUAUGAGCUGCAAUGAAUUUAUCUUGUGUCAUGUCUGCAAAUUCAUUGAGACUUAACUUAAAACUCCUAUUUCCGCCAUUGUUGAAGCUCUCAAUAUAUUCCAAGUUUUCCUUGAAUAUAUUAAGACGCUUCUCCUUCUCUAAUUUGCUCUCAUAUUUUCGAUUAUAAUCAACCAUCCAUUGCUCAUGUUUGUCAACAAUGAAGGUUUCAUGGAUUGUUCGGGACAUGGCAAGAGAUGCCAAUGUCCCAAAAAUUAAAAACAAAAAAACAUGGAUUAAACUCAUCAUUGUUUGGCAGAGAUACUACGCUAAUUGAAAGAUCUAGCACUCAAUGAAUCUAUAUAUACUACAAAAUUUGAUUAAAAUAACUAUUUUUAAUGAAGUCAUCUUAUGAAAAAUCCAAAUAAAAGGCCAAUAAAAUAUUUGAUUUAAAUAAAUAUUUUUAAUUGAUUAACCCUACUACAAGUUUGUUUGUAUUUGUUUUUCUUCCUUGAGUUGAAAAAAUUCAACACUCCCAUUAUGUUAAGGGUAAAUUGCAUAAUAGUCACCAAAUUAUUAAUAAAUUUCGUUUUUGGUUGCCCAACUAUGAAAAUUUAUAAAAUAAUCGCUCGACUAUUCAAUUUUGGUCAUUUUCUAUCACCAGCCGGCUAAUUGGCAUAAUAAUAACUUUAACCCUCAACAUCUAGACAUUGUUAUUAGACCAAUAAAAAGUCCACAUUUGACUUUCAUUACUGAGUUGACGAUAACUAAUAAGUGAGUGAUUGAAAUAUUUAAUUUAAAAAAAUCAAGUGACUAAAUAAAAAAAAUUAAUAGGUGGGUGACCAAAAUAGAACCAAGUGCAUAGUUGGAUGACUAUAUUUUUAGUUUACCCAUUAUUCAUAGUUGCUGACAUUCAAAAUUGACAUGGAUUAAAUUGCACAAAUUUUUUAGAGGGACGAGCUUACUCAAUUUCUUGUAGACAGUUGUGAUUUUUAUAAUUUUUUUUUAAACUCAAAUAAAUUGUAAAAACUUGUUUUUAAAAUGAUUUUUUUUAAAUAAAACCAAUUUGAUUAAAGUGUUGCAAUUGAUAAGGGGAAAUCUCAUUACCUUCGCCUACAAUUAUUUUAAACAUAGGUUAACACGUAAUUUGAGGACGAACUGAGAGAAAAACUUAUUAAACCAGAGUUAAAUAUUCAUCCCUUCAUUGCUGUUUUCCAGUUGUAUUGGUGCAUGCAAACACUUCACUUGGAUUUAACCAUCAACCUUCCAACUUCCCCACUAUGUACGAUUAAAAUAUCACACAAGUGAAGAGAUAUUUUAAAGGAGAAAAGGAUUGUUGGAAAAAUAUCCACCUAAGAAAGUUAAUCUAAAUUAAAAGUGAUCUAAUUUAAUUAAAAUUUAUUGAGCUUUAAUUAUUAAAUAAAAUAUGAAUCAAAUAUUAAUUUCUAACUAAUACUGGGCUGAUUAGGAAUUAAAGUAGAUUUAACUUUUUUAAAUUACUUAUCUACUAAUUUAAAAGAUUAAAACUACAAAAUUCAAAGAUCUCAUAAAAUCGAUAGAUUUAAGUACGCUUUUGUAUUUUAUUUUGCUCUUGACUAAACAAAUUUUACUUUAUUAAAUUUUGUAUCUUAAAAAAAUGGUUGGUUUGCAUUUAAUUUAUAUAUUUCUUAAGUUAGGCAAUUAAAUUAUUGACUUUGAUUGGCAUUUUAUGUAGAUAUUUCAUAAUUUUGUAAAGUCAAUUUUUAAAAAUUGGCUUACUUCGCAUUUAUGAUGUUAUUUUAUUCAAAUAAAUUUAAUGAAUGUGAGAUGCGUAUAAUUUUGAUAUAAAAUUUAAUUGUAAUCUCUGUAUGUUAGAGAUUUUAGCUCCAAAUGUUGGCAGAUAUUGGAUUGAAAUAAGAUGUGAGAGAUUUGGAAGAAUUGUGGAUAUAUUGAUAGCAGAAAAGAUCGAAGGUGAUACGAUAUUUGUAAAUAAAUAAUCAUUUAUUCAUUAUAUAGAUAAAAGGUUGGCAAGAGUGCAGGACUCAUAGUUCCAAACAAACCACAAACAUCAACACCAUAUGAAAGGAAGAAAAACACAACAUAUAUCUUAGACCAUUUGACACGGCUAACUAAUUGUAGUAAUAUGAACUUAUGCAGUUGGAUACGAAGCUUUCAUGGCGAUACCACAUAAGCCACCUUGCCUUUCCACAUUCCUUUGAAUCUUCAUAUACCCAUUUUCACCCCAACUUUGUCCCCAUGAAUUCUUAAUUAGCAAAUAGUUUAAACCUUUUUUACUUGUCCCAUAUCCAACAAUGGUGACUGCAUGGGUGAGAGAAUUUCCACAAUCUCCUGUAAACACUCCACCAUUGUAAAACUGAAAGUCUCGUCCAUGGCCUUCAAGUGCAACCGACACCGGUUGAUUCGGGACGGCCUUAAGCAAUGCUUCUUCGUCGUUUUCCGGUACCAUUCGAUAGCCACUGAUGGUGGCAACUUUGUUUAUCUGUGUGUCGCAAUUUUUUUGCAUUUGUUGAUAUGGGUACCUUUUUUCAGUGGUUAUUCCUUGGUUUUGGCUAAUGUAAUCGAAAGCAUUCAUCAUCCAUCCUCCUUUGCAACCUUGGUUUCCUCCAUUUCUACUGCAAUCCAACAGUUGUUGCUCAGAUAAUGGGAUUAAUUUACCAGUUUUGAUUUUGAUUAACCUUUCAACGGCUGCCACUGCUGAAAAUGCCCAACAACAUCCUGCAAAGUAAACCAACAAAUAACCCUUUUCAAGUAUUAGUGAAUAAAUAAAUGCUCGGGGGAGCAGUAUAUAUAAUUAUUUUAAAUUUUUAAUUAAUUUUAGUGUUACCUAUCAACUGAAAACUAACGCACACUACAGCAGAACAGGUUUUUAGCGGCGGUUUUUUAGGUCUUUAGCGGCACUUUUUAACGCCACUAACUCCAUUUUCAGCGCUUCUACAAGCGCCACAAAAAAUGCCGCUAACGACAACGUCGCUAACUAUUGCGGCGCUUACAUAAAGAAACGCCGCUAAAGAUCAUGUUCUUUAGCGGCGCUUAGAAAAAAACGCCGCUAAAGAUCAUGUUUUUUAGCGGCGCUUAAAAAAACGCCGCUAAAGAUAAUGUUCUUUAGCGGCGCUUAGAAAAAAAGCCCCUAAAGAUCAUGUUCUUUAGCGGCGCUUUAAAAAAACGCCCCUAAAGAUCAUGUUCUUUAGCAGCGCUUAGAAAAAAACGCCGCUAAAGAUCAUGUUCUUUAGCGGCGCUUAGGAAAAAAUGCCGCUAAAGAUCAUGUUCUUUAGCGGCGCUUAGAAAAAAACGCCGCUAAAGCUCAUGUUCUUUAGCGGCGCUUUGGAAGAAAACGCCUCUAAAAGUAAUGUUCUAUAGCGGCGCUUCUUCAAAAACGCCGCUAAAAGUAGUGUUCUUUAGCGGCGCUUAUUUCACAAACGCCACUGUUUUGAUAUGACUUUUAGCGGCGCUUUUUUAAAAAACACCACUAAUUUUGGAAUUUUUUUAAAAUUAAAUUUUUUAUUUUUUUCAGCCCUCCUGCAACAGCAAAUCAAAAGCAACCAAAUCUAAACUAACCAAAAACAAUAAAUUUAUAUAAUAUUUCAAAUUAAAUGACUAAAAUAAUAUUAAUUGAUAAAUAAAAGUGAAUUCAUACUUUUCUUUACAAAAGCGUUAAAAGUAUUUAUGCAACAUACACUAUGACAAUGGAAGUUGCGACUACUGAAACAUCUUCAUCAUAAUCUGAAGCUGCUGUUGAAGUUCAUCGUACUUUUUGCUCUGCUCUGCUUCUCUCGAUGCCGCAUCUUUUUGAAGUCGUAGCUAUAGUUCUUCAUAUUUCUUUUGAACCUCUGCUUCUAUUGCUGCUUCUCUCGCUGCUUCUCUCGCUGCGACCUCUGCUUCUCUCGCUGUAGCCUCUGCUUCCCUCGCUGCCGCCUCUACUUUAAGUUGCUGCUGAAGUUCUUCAUAUUUCCUUUGAACCUCAAAUGUGGUCGCUUGCAUCUGAGCCAUCUGGUCUUUUAACCUCUGAACUUCAACUUGAGAUUGACUCCCCGAAGCCAUGUAUUGGUGCGAGCUGGAUCCAAAAUAUUGGGUUGGGCUGAUAAAAUAUCCUUGAAAUCGAACCCGACCAUACUUUUCAGGACCCAAAACUUCAGUAAUAAUCUGGUUAUCAAUGUCUUCAAGAUGAACAGAACUAUCACUAGAAGCAAUCGCUUCGUACUCCGUCUUUUUUUCCUUUAGUUUUUCCUAAUAAAUAAAUCACAUAGUUAGGAACGCAAUAUAUAGUAAAAAAAAUGCAAUAUAACAAUGUCGCAUUACAUGCAAUGAAUUAAACCAUUAGAUAAAAACACUAUAAAUAACUAAAACAAGUGAAAUCGUAUUAAGUAAACGUACCAUAAUUUCACCAGCUUCAAGAGUCAUAGCAGAUCCAUCUUUCUUCUUAUGUGUAAUUUCAAAAAGUUGUAGGCGUCCAACUUUUUGACCGGACUACCGUUCCUAUAAUAUAGUAGUAAAAAUAUUAUUUAAUAUAAAUUUAUACACAUUUGAGAAUAUUAAAAAAUUAAAAAUACCUCCGCCUCAGCUACACAUGAAAAACUUCUCGACCCGGCUGUGUGAGUGAAUUUUUGUUGCUGCCGGCUGCUUUUUCCAACUCGUUCACGAUCCUACGUUAUAAAAUUUUUAGUACGUAAAUAGUAAAUACUAUAAACCAAAAUAAUUACAAUAGUUUGGAAGUAUGUCGUACCUCGCCUUUCUAAGAAUGCCAAAAUCUAACCGUAUCUUCCCAUUGGUACCUCAACAUACCCGGCGGGACAUUUUGCAAUUUCUCAUCGAGGGUGGUUUUUUUCUUAUAAUAUUUUUUCUUCAAAGUACUUUUAUUGUCUCUCCAUCCUUUUCCCAAUGCCUUCUUUACAUAAGCAUCGGAGGCCUCUAAAGCAAACCUCGCCUACAAAAAAAUACAAGUUAAUAAAGUAAAUAUAAAUGAAACUAUUUCCCAUAAUUGGUUAUGACAUUAACAUUUUGUUACCUUAAUAUUAUCGAGGGCUUGGUUUUUGUUGCUAUCGGGCAUUUGACGCCAUGACUCGUAGUUGAUAGGCAACAUAUUCGGAUUUCGUGCUAAAAUGCCCAUGUAUCCUGCUAAAAGUUGAGCUUCUGAUCCAACAGGCUGACCAAAACUAUUUCUACAUACCUUGACACGCUCGACUGGAUCUAACUCGUAUAACUCUCUAAGUAUCGCACGUCCUCGACCUCUACGCGUCCCACCAUUUUCAGCUACAAAUGGUAUAUUAUAAUAUAAGAAUUUGAAAAAUAAAUCAAUUAUAAGUCAACACGCAUGGAAUUAAUGUAAGUUACUUUGAACUUCCGUAGGAUCCUCGUGUGUAAUCGGAACAUUCGAAGAUCCAAUUGCUGUCUGUUGUUCAGUACUAUUUGUUUCUGUCGAUUUUGGAUCAUUUUGAACAAUGCUUUCCCUUAUAAUUUUUCUUCUAGGCAUUUUAUUUGCAGUACACAUAAAAUGUAAUUAAACUUAAUAACUAGUUACAACAAUAACAACACAUAUAAAAUAGUUGAGUUAUAUAAUAAGACCAAGAUUUAAUACUAAUGUAAGUUACAUAUAAUUAAACAAUCGUAAAAUCUUACUACAUCAUUAUUCGUAAAUAUCUUCAUCCGUAUCCUGACGAACCCAUUGAAAUUGUGCACUAGUACUAGGGAUAUUAUCGUUUAAGUUUUGUUCUGGAAAUGAAAAAGUUUCUGAUCUGUCGUCGAUGUUAUCUCUACUUCCACUGCCCAUGUCAAACAAGUCUCUAGGGAUGUUACGGAGUACAACGUACCAACCCUCAUCAGUUGGAUCUUUUGAGUAAAAAACUUGUUUGACUUGUCUUGAGAAUACAUACGGCUCAUCUAUCAGUUGUUGUCCUGUGUGAAUCAAUCGGUCAAAGUUCACCAUUGUAAAACCAAAUUGAUCUUGCUUGAUUCCACGAGCUGUAUUAACAUCGGCCCAAUCAGCUCGAAAUAAGACAACUUUCCAUUUGUCGUAGUAAUCCAACUCAAUUAUGUCAGUAAGCUGUCCGAAAUAUUCCACAUUUCCCUCGACAGGAUUAUUGUCCCUGUGCUAGCAUAACUUGUAAUUGCAGAAUUAACAACUAUUCCACAAUUUUGCAUUCUCCUCAACCUCUCGCGAUAUUUUGUAUGAAAUCUGAAUCCGUUGAUGAGGAACGCACUAUAUCUUUUAACCACUCGAUUUGGACCUUGGGAGAGCCAUUUAACUUCGUCGUUUACGCUCUUCCCAUUCCAAACCUAUUGAAUGGAAAGUNNNNNNNNNNNNNNNNNNNNNNNNNNNNNNNNNNNNNNNNNNNNNNNNNNNNNNNNNNNNNNNNNNNNNNNNNNNNNNNNNNNNNNNNNNNNNNNNNNNNAAAAUGUUAUGAGAAAGCAUUAUAAUUUGUAAGCGAAAGCUCCAACCACAUACCGUUUGGCUUAACCAUUCAUAAAAAGAUUCUGUAAACAACUUAUUGAUAUCUCGAUGUUGUGUUCUUCGGGAGCGCGCACGAGAUCUCAAUAUUUGUUUGUACUCACUAUGUUAAAAAAUGUGAUCUUUGUUAGAAGAUAAACAAUUUUUAGUUUGAUAAAUAUUUAUAAAAUUUGUAGAACUUACUUCCGUAAAGGUUCCAAUGAUUCGUGGUGAAACAGAACAUAUCGAUGUGCUUGUACCCACGAUAAAUUAUCUAAUUCCGUAAUUUCAACUUUGCCGAUUGGUUGUCCAAAACUUUGGAACAAAUAAGUAUCGGCUAAGUCAUAGUCCGUGAGUCCAGCAUUCCUAUUUGGUCUGUUCAACCUUGUUUCGACAUCUUCCAAAUAUCUCGAGCAGAAGGUCAUACAUUCCUCUGCCAAGUAGCCUUCAGCAAUCGAUCCUUCUGGAUAUCGCUUGUUGCGGCAGUAAGACUUUAAUUUGGAUAGGAACCUAAACACAAUAUACAACAUUAUCAAAAGUUGUAACUAAAGGCAUUGAGGUGAAUGAAGGAAAAUUUUAAAAAUAAUUCUUUAAGACCUUUCUAUGGGAUACAUCCAUCGAUAGGAAACGGGUCCACCAAGAAUUUCUUCGUACGGGAGAUGAAUUAUCAAGUGAACCAUAAUGGUGAAGAAGGAAGGUGGGAAGAUUUUCUCCAUGUUGCAUAAAGUCAAAGCGGAUCGAUCCUAUACCUUCUGAAGUUCUUGAACAUCCAAAACUUUGCCACAAAUGGCUUUCAUUAUGUUGGAUAGUUCAAUGAUACAAGACGUCACCUUCUUGGACAUACAACAUCGUAGAGCAACUGGCAUUAAGUCUUACAUCAAGAUGUGAUAGUCAUGUGAUUUUAGCGAAUAUAAUCUUCGAUCUUUAACACUAACACAUCGAGAUAUAUUUGAUGCAUAUGCAUCCGGAACCUUUAUAUCCUUCAACACCAUGCAAAACAGUUCUUUCUCCGUCUUGGACAUUGAGAAAAUAGAAGGCGGCAACCGAUAUUUCCCAUUCGGAAGUGGAUUGGGAUGAAGAUCAGGCCGAAUUCCCAUUUGGACUAAAUCAAGUCGACUCUGAAGAUUAUCUUUUGAUUUUCCAUCGACGUUCAAAAUUGUACUCACAAUGUUCUCGCAGACAUUUUUCUCAAUGUGCAUAACAUCAAGAUUGUGUCGUAAAAGGUGAUGCUCCCAAUAAGGCAACUAAAAAAAUACUUCUUUUUUUCCACAAGUCUGCCUCAUUAGGAUCGUCCUCUUCGUCGGAGCUUUCAUCGGCUUCAUCAUUUGAUCUUCUGUUUCUCUGUGUGUUUGGCGGUUGGUUCAUCUUCCCAUAAAUGAAAUUCAUAUCUUCCAACAUGAACAAGAUUUUAGAGCCACUGGUCUAGGAAGGAGCUUCUCUGAACUCUUCAGUGCCGUCAAAUACAGAACUCUGAAAUCUAAAUCUAUGAUUUUUCGGUAACCACUGACGAUGCCCCAUGUAACAGGACUUCUUCCCAUUGUACAACCAUUGCGAGCAUGUUUGUGUAGCAUAACAAGGACACGCAUAACGACCCUUAGUACUCCAACUGGAUAAAUUGGCAUAAGCAGGAAAGUCAUUUAUGGUCCACAUCAAAGCUGCACGUAAAUUAAAGUUCUCCUUUCUCAGCACAUCGUACAUCUCGACACCAGCCCAUUAUUGUUUUAACUUUUCAAUAAGUGGCUGUAAAUAAAUGUCGAUAUCAUUCCCGGGCCCUUUCUCUCCAGGGAUAAUCAUAGAUAAGAUAAGGGAAGAUUGCUUCAUGCAAAUCCACGGAGGCAGAUUGUAAGGAACAAGCACUACUGGCCAAGUACUGUNNNNNNNNNNNNNNNNNNNNNNNNNNNNNNNNNNNNNNNNNNNNNNNNNNNNNNNNNNNNNNNNNNNNNNNNNNNNNNNNNNNNNNNNNNNNNNNNNNNNAAUCCAUCAGAUGCUAGCCCAAGCCUCACACUCCUAGGAUCGCUUGCAAAGUUUGGAAAUUUAUUGUCAAAUGCUUUCCAAGCUAAAGAAUCUGCCGGAUGUCUUAGUAAUCCAUCAUCGGUUCGUCCAUCAUGGUGCCACGUCAUUGACUCCGCUGUCUUCGAUGACAUGAAAAUCCUUUGAAGCCUUGGUAUCAACGGAAAAUACCGCAAAAUCUUAACUGGCUUCUUCCUCGACUGUGCAUAAUUUUCAUCGUCGUUCCCGUCUUCUGUGUUUCUAUUUAUCCAACGGGAUUGGCCGCAUACAUGACAGCACUGUUGGUUUUUUCGAUCGCCCCAAUACAACAAGUAGUCAUUUGGGCAACUAUAGAUUUUGUUGUACCCAAGGCCUAAAUCUUUUAUCAUUUUCUUCAUAUCCUUGCAUGACUGAGGGAUUUUUGCAAACGGGAACAUCUCUCUCAAAAACUCUAAUAGCAUUGUCAACGAGUUUCCGGUCCACCCUCCCAAACAUUUUAACUGAAAAAGACGAACACAGAAGGCCAUUUUUGAAAAUUUUGAUCCCUCAUACAGUUCUUCGUUCAUGUCACUAAGUAGAGCGUAGAACUUUGCCGCUUCUCCAUUUGGCUCUUCAUGAGGUACACUACUUCCCGGUUCGGUAAAAGCAGUUCCACCAAUAUUACAAUCAUCAGAUCGAAUAAAAUCCCCUGGGAACAAUUGCACACCAUGAUUGUGCAUAUUAAAUGCAUCCCGCAACAUACCUUCCAUGUCAUCUCCUCUAUCAGACUGAUGGUAAGCAGUACCAGGAUAAGAUACCUCCAUCGUUGAAGAGGAAGUACUUCUAGGGCAUUCUCCAUGAAAAAGCCAUUGCUUAUAACCCUUAACAAACCCAUCAACAAUUAGAUGCUCGUAUACAACCUCACGAUAAUGCCAGUUUAUGUUGACACACUUCUUACAUGGGCAAAGAAUCAUGUUCUCUUGGCUUGCAUAUUGAAAUGCAUAAUUUAGCAAACUCUGCACCCCAUUUCGAUAACUGUUGCUAACCCUUGACAAAUUCAUCCAAGACCGGUCCAUUUCUUAAUUCUUGAAGUCUAACGUUGACGUAAAUUUGCACGGGUUAGUCAAAACGCCAGUUAUAACUAUAAAUGAGUUAUGUAAGUUAUGUACUAAGUUAUGUAUUAAACAAUAAUGUAAGUUAGGAAGGUUAUGUAUUAUGUAAGUUAUGUAAGUUAUGUAAGUUAUGUAAGUUAUUUAAUUUAUGUAAGUUAUGUAAGAUAUGUAAGAUAUGUAAGUUAUUUAAUUUAUGUAAGUUAUGUAAGUUAUGUAAGUUUAAUCUAAAAAAAAAAUUAUAAGUUAUGUAUUAUGUAAGUUUAUAUUAAAAAAUUUUAUAAGUUAUGUAUUAUGUAAGUUAAAAGUAAUGUAUUAUGUAAGUUUACAUAUAUGUAAACUUGCUUAAAUUUUAGUAAGUAAUAAUUUUAAGUAACAUACUUAAAUUUUACAUAUAAGUAAACUUGCUUAAAUUUUAGUAAGUAAUAAUUUUAAGUAACAUACUUAAAUUUUACAUAUAAGUAAACUUACUUAAAUUUUACAUAUAAGUAAACUUACUUAAAUUUUAGUAAGUAAUGUAUUUAAUUAACAUACUUAAAUUUUAGAUAUAAGUAAACUUACUUAAAUUUUACAUAUAAGUAAACUUACUUAAAUUUUAGUAAGUAAUAACAUACUUAAAUUUUACAUAUAAGUAAACUUACUUAUGUAAGUUAUGUAAGUAAUGUAUUUAAGUAACAUAUUUGAGUAAUAAAUUUAAUAUAUAUAUUAGUAAUAAGUUAAAUGAAAUUGUAAAAAUAUAUUAAAAAUAUAAUAAAUUUGAAUUUUAACUUUAAUUUAUGUAUGUUAUGUGAAUUUUAACUUCAAAACAAAUAAAAAAUAACUUUGAAUUAACUUAUAUAUGUUAUGUUAGUUUUAACUAAAUUUUUGAAAGUUAUCUAAAAUUAAACUUAAAAAAAAUUGAAAGUUUGAAAUUUUUUUCCAUGAUUCAAAUUAAAUAAAAGAAAACAAAACAAAGUAAAUUUCCGUGAUUAAAAUAGCAACUAAAGGAAAAACCAAAAUUUUGGAGGAAAACAUAUAAAUAUUUGCAAACUAUAUACAAGCUUUUAGCCAAAUGUUUAUAUUAUUUAGACAUAAAUAACCUUCAUUUUCGAAAUAAUUUAGUUGCGAUAUGGAAUAAUAUGUAUACAACAAAUAAGCAUAUUUGAUAUCAAUGAAACUUAGAUGUGAAAAGAAAGUGGAUUAAUUUGUUUUUUAAUGUAACGUAUAGUUAAGAAAUUUCGAAUAAUUUUAAAAUAAACAAAUUUAAUCCAAUUCCCAAUACAAUUUAUUAAAUUGCUUCUAUUUUGCUCAACAUAUAUAGCAUUCGUUGAUGGAUGAUAACAGAAAACAUAAGUCAGAAAAGUACAUGGCAAAAGUAAAAUAAGUAAAAUGAAACAUAAGCUAAAGGAAAACAUCCAAAACCAAUUACAUAUAUACAAAACAAGAGCCCCAAAAGAAACAUUUUUCCCUAAACAUCAUGAUAAAACUAUUACUGAUUUAAGUUAUGAACUAAAAUAUACCUUAAUAUUUCACUCAACUUUGUCUACUUCACUCUCACCAGCAAAUAGAGACUGCUGUGAGAAUUAUAAAUUUUGUUAACUGAUUUGGGAGAAUGCAUAUAAAUAAGGGAAAAACUGUCAAAUUUUAACAUGUACCUGCCGAAACAAUAGUUCAGCCAAAACACAGGCAGCAAACCAGAUGUCAAUGGUCAGAUAUGUAUUAAGUUGCACCAAAUAUUAAUUCUGCCUACAAUAGAUGAACCAUGAUCAGUUAGCAGCAAAUAUGUUUUCAUUUUAGCUAUCAAAUAUGUAAAAGUUUAUCGAUAUCACAACCAAAUAUUACUUGGAAACAUUAAAUGGCAGCUUAAAACUUUACCAAUUUUAAAAAAAUUCAAAUACUUAGAAAAUAUUGGGUUCCAUCCACUGCAGUAUUUCACGUUUGCAAAUUAAACAAUCAUAUUAUAUACACNNNNNNNNNNNNNNNNNNNNNNNNNNNNNNNNNNNNNNNNNNNNNNNNNNNNNNNNNNNNNNNNNNNNNNNNNNNNNNNNNNNNNNNNNNNNNNNNNNNNUAUUUUACCAUUCCUAUUGGUAGAGAUAUUGCUUUAUAACUAAAAUUUAUUAUUGCAAACAUUCUUACAUUUUCAUAUUUUACCAUCUAAAAAUUUAAAAAAAUUAUUACAGAAACAUAUCUAAAUUUGUAUUAUAAUAUUUAGGUAGAUGAUAAAUUGAAAUUGAGCAGAAUGGUUAUUGGAUUAGAUAUUGAUAUUUAUUAAUAAAAUUUAAUAUUUAAAUAAACUUGUUAUUAUUGUUAUUACUUGAAAUACAUUAUAUAGUACUAUAAAAAAAUGUUUAAAAACUAUUUCCUCAACGUUAAAUUAAAAAAUAUAAAAAAGAUAUUAAAAAUUUAUUUUGCAAUUUAACAUGCGGGAUGAGAACUGAACCAAACAAUGGAUUGGCAAUCACCAUUUUCAUGUCUACUGUAUAAACAAUGGAUUGGCUUCAACUCAACCAAACAAGUAUUAAAUCACUGACAGUCACCAGACCAAAUAAGUGGAUUCAAAACAGUAGCUUUAUACCUUGGAAAGUGUAUCGGCCAAAACUGAAGAUGGAGUCCAAAAAGCUUCGGGGAAAGUUGAAGCUUCAAAUCGUCGGUAGCUGAAAGAAAGGAGCCGUUUUAGCCUUCACUGGAAGCCGGAUGAGAGGAAAGGGAAAAAUAAAAAUAAAAACAGUUAGUUGCUUAAAAGGACGAACUUACCGAUGGUUGCGGCACCGGAGACGGACGGAGAAUGUGAUGCAGCACAGGAGACGGCAGAGUACCAAGUGGUCGGGUUUGGGGAGCUGUUAGGGAUUAGGGGAGAUUUUAGGGAUUUGGGGGGAGAAAGAAUUUUGGGGGAAAUCAGGGGGAGAAAGAAUUUUGGGAUAACGGAUGAAAAAAAAUGAUCGGGUUCCAAUUUUGGUCAGAAUGAUGGAAAAAAAUGACGCCGUUUUCAUCUAAAAAAUUAACCAUUUUGCGGCGUUUAUAUUAAGCGCCACUAACUAUAAGUCGAAACGCAGUCGUUUCAUCAACAAAUAGCGCACACCUGUGGCGUUUUUGAAUAAACGCCACUAAUAAUACAGCGACACGGCCUCGUAUCGAUAAAUGUUAAAACAUUUUUGCGGCGUUUUAAUUAAAGCGCCACUAACUAUAAAUCAAAACACAGUCGCUUCAUCAAUACUUACCUCAAACUCGUGGCGUUAAAAAAAUCGCCACUAAUAACAUUUAAAAAACGGCAGCGUUUUUAUAAAUGUUAGAAUAAUGUUGAGGCAUUUUAAGCAAAGCGCCACUAAAUAUAAGAUCAAACGAUGUCAUUUCCCCAACAUUUAACUCAAGCUUGUGGCGUUUCCAAACAAACGCCACUAAUACCAUUGACAAAACGACAACAUUUCGAUAAACAUAAAUACAAAUUUGCGGCGUUUCAUGUAAAGCGCCACUAAAUAUAAGAUCAAACGAUGUCGUUUCCCCAACAUUGAACUCAAGCUUGUGGCGUUUCCAAACAAACGCCACUAAUACCAUUGACAAAACGACAACAUUUUGAUAAACAUAAAUACAAUUUUGCGGCGUUUCAUGUAAAGCACCACUAAAUAUAAGAUCAAACAAUGUCGUUUCCCCAACAUUUAACUCAAGCUUGUGGCAUUUCCAAACAAACGCCACUAAAAUAAAACAUAUAAAACGUAACGUUUUACAGUAUCAGACACAAAUUUUGCGGCGCGUUUUAUAAAAAGCCACGAAUUUCUAACCUUUUGCGGCGUGCGGUUGAAAACGCCACUGAGGACACUGAUCAAAACGCAACGUUUUGCCAUUUCUGAAACAAAGUUGCGGCGUUUUUAUAUAAACGCCACCAUGAAAACAGAGUAAAACGGCAUCGUUUUUCAUACUAAUCCAUAUUUGUGGCAUUUUUUACUAAAAUGCCACUAAUGCAUAAACACUAAAAUAAAUUUAAUUUCUAUCCUUUUUUAUUAACCUUAAACCCUUAGAACCAUAAAUAGUAAGACAUUAACAAUAAAAAACUAAACCCUAAAUCGUAAACCCGAAAUCUAAAUAAUAAACAUUAACCACUGACCUAAAACACUAAACCCUAAACUGUAAUAUACCCUAUAACACCCUAAACUUAAUUUAAACCAUAAAUAUAUAUUAUAAGUUACAAUUAAAAGUAAUUAAAAAGAAUCGUAUAUUGCUUGUUUAAACCCUAAAAAAUAACUUUUCUUUAUAUUUUUUAUCAAAUCCCUAACCCUACUUAAACCCUAAUACCAACUUAACCCUUAAACCAUAAUUAAACACUAAGACUCUGACUAUAAAAACUAAACUCCAAACAAUAAACUUUAAAACACUAAAUAUCCCAAACCCAAUAUAACAUACCGGCCUAAACCUUAACCUACAAUAUAUUAAUAUAGUACUAAACAUUAAACCUUAAACCCUAAACCCCUUAAACUAUAGCCCUUAAACCCUCUUAAACCCUAAAAUUUUUUAAUCAAUAUUAAGUACUGCUUCCACAAUUCUUUAUAAACAUAUAUGACCUUUUACAUUAAUAUAUAUAUAUAUAUCUAUAUGUGUAUAUACAUGUACAUCAAUAUCCACAUGAAAUUUUUAGGGGUUUAGGGUUUUAAAGAUUAUGUUUUUAGAGUUUAAGGGUUUUGAGAAAGCAAUAUGGUCGGCAUCGAUUUUAACAGCUUAAUGGUAACUUAAAUGAAAACUUCUAAUUAUAAUUAAUAUAAAUAAAUCAAUUAAAUAACAAAUAGAAAAAUAAUUAUUUUGCGGCGCUUAUCAAUAAAUGCCGCUAAAUCACCCAAAUACUAAGUAAAACGAUCGCAUUGGGCUUAUGUUAUUGGCAGCGCUUAUCCAAAACGCCGCUAAAACCCCGAAUACUCAGAGAACGAUGUCGUUCGGCUUAUAUUUAUUUGCGGCGCUUUCGUAGAAACGCCGCUAAAGUACUGAACAUUAGCGGCGCUACCUCAAAAACGUCGCUAGAUUAUCGAAUGCUCAGAAAACGACGUCGUUGGUCUUAGGUUUGUUUGCGGCGAUUUAUCAAAAACGCCGCUAAAUCCCCGAAUGCCCUGAAAACGACGUCGUUGGGCUGAGGUUUUGCGGCGCUUUAUAGAAAUCGCCGCUAAUGCUUUUUCUUCAGCGGCAUUUUCCGUUAAGCGCCGCUAAUGAUUGAUCUGGAGCGGCAUUUGUUAUUCAAACGCCGCUAGAAACGCCGCUAAAAUCCUGUUUUGGUGUAGUGGCAGUUGUGAAAUUAUUAAAAUAUUCUCGUAACACCAAUUUAAUUAUAUGUAUUAUUGAGACUUACCAUAUUUACCCUGAUUCUUAAUAGGAGUAACGGCAUUUUGGUCCCUCCAAUUGAAGCUUUUCGGAGCGUUUAAGUAGUUUUCAUACAUAAACGAUGUUGAUUCCAACCAUGUGGGAUUGUUCUGCAUCUUGUAUCCAGUGUGAGUUGCAAUGAAUUCAUCCUGUGUCAUGUCUGCAAAUUCAUUGAGGCCUAGCUUAAAACUCCUAUUUCCGCCAUUGUUGAAGCUCUCAAUAUAUUCCAAGUUGUCUUUGAAUAUAUCAAGACGCUUCUCCUUCUCCAAUUGUCUCUCAUAUUUUCGACUGAAAUCAACCAUCCAUUGCUCAUGUUUGUCAACAAUGGUGCUUUCAAGAAUUGUUCGACACAUGGCAAGAGAUACCAAUGUCCCAAGAAUUAAAAACAAAAACACAUGGAUUAAACUCAUCAAUUUUUUUUUUUUGCAAUACAAGCAGAGAUACUCCACUAAUUUAAGGGCUUUUUUCUUUUCUAAUUGCUAAGUUGUGAGGAACUAGCACUCAAUGAACCUAUAUAUAUACUACAAAAAAAUUAUUGAAAUAAAUAUUUUUUUAAUUAAGUCAUCUAAUGAAAAUUCAACUAAAAUGCCAAUCAAGUCUAUUUUUUUUUAAAAAAAAAGAACAACAGUAUUUUUUUCUUAGCAAAAUCCAAAUUUGACAAAUAAAAACUCUGUUCACAAUAUAAUAUGAAAGAGAAAAUUGUAAUCUUUCUAAUUGAUGAACCCUACUCACAAUAUUUUCUAUUUUUCUUUCUCUUGAAUUGAAAAUCGAUUUUAGGAAAUCACCCAAAGUUCACAUUAUGUUAAUUACUACUACAUAUUUUCAUUUUUGGACCUUCUAAUCUCUAUUAUUUUGUUAGAAUUGUAACUUUGUGAAACUAUAUACACGUUAAUUAUUUUAAUAAGAUUAUGUUUUGUAAUAUAAUUAGGGAAUGUAAGAUGAUGAGUAAUUCCCUUGUUUGGCUCAUUUGAAUGGAAUAUAAGAUUCAAAUGGUUGAUUUACAGAAUGUAAGAUUAUUUAGAAGCACAUUUUAUUAAAUUAUAUUUGUUAUAAAUUUUUUUAACAAGUAUAGUUUCUUUAAUAGUUUUUAGUCUAAAUUUUCAGAAAUUAAUAAUAAAUUAUUAUAUUUUUUAUUACAAUCUAUAUACUAAUAAGUAUAUAAUAGUUAAAUAAAUUUAUAAAUCAUAAUUAUAAUAAUUAAUGAAAAAUAAUUACGUCACCAAUCAUAAUUAUAACUAUAAUUAAUAUAGUAAUAAAUAAGUCAUUACUGUAAAUAUAGUAAUUAUAGUUUUAAAGUAUGAUAACUGUUGUUUCACGAUUUAUUAAAAACUUUAAUUUUAUUAAAAUAAUAAAAACAAAGAGUAAAUAUGCCCGAAAUUCAAGAUUAUAUCCAUAAUCUAAGAUAACUUAACAAAUGAAUUGUAUUAAGAUUACGAUAUCUUGAUACUAUUUGAAGAUGUAAGAUUAAGGGAUGAUUAGAAUAUUGAGAAUCCAAAUAAGAUAAUCUUCUUCUAGAAUGUAACAUUACAUGCAAUAAUGUAAGAUUGAGCCAAUUAAACAUUACAUGAAGUCUUUAGUGAAAUCAUCUAGGCCUUCAUUAUCGUCUCUUACGCCCCACUACAUAAUUGGCGCGCCGAUGAAGCAAAUGAGAAUGUUGACAAGCAGGAUUUGCGCUAUUUUUUCUCUUAAUUUCUUAUGUUUGAUAGUUGCUGCGUGGAAUAGAAAGAUAGACCAGAUGCAAGUCACGGUCAACUGCCCUUAUUUGCAAGAGAGCCAGGAUGAUUUUUUUUAUUAAUUUAUUUUGAAUAUUAUUAUUAAAAAACGGACAAAACAAAAUUUAUUGUGGAUUCAGUUAUUAUAGUAUUUUGAGUUUAAGGUAAUUAAGAUACGAACAAUUUCCUCUGGUUUGCAAAAGUUAUUUCAUCAAUGGUAGUGGGACAUUUAGACUUCACCAUCAUGAGUCGUAGAAUAAUACAUAUUCGUAUAUUAAGAAAGAGGAAUAAAUAAAACAGAAGCAAACCCAGUGAUUGUUUCCUCUGUAGGGAGCACAAGCAAUCUAAGGAUAAGAAAAUGGUUAAAACUUCAAGUUAUCCCAAAGCGAACAAAAGAAGUAUAAAAACUUAUUAAAAUCUAACUAUUUUUAUCAACAAGUGUUGGUUACAAUGGUAAAGUAUAUUGCAUUGCAGACGACAUUGUUGGAAGGGACAGUCAUAAACCUAGAACAUAGACCAUAAAACAUACAUGAAUAAUACCCCAAAAAAGGUCCAAGUGUUUCUUUUGUAAGAACAAAAAGAUCACUGCAAGGAAAAAUGCAAAGAGUGUAAGGAUUACCUAGCCUCUAAGCGUAAAGGUAUGAAACUCUUGAUUAUUGAAACUUGUUUAGCGAAAGACUUAAUAGACCACUAAGUCAUUUAUUAUAGAGUCACUAGUCAUGUUUGUAUUUCUUUGUAGGGGUUUAAGGAAAUGAAAGAUCUUCAAGAUAAGAAUCUACCAUUGCGAGCCGGAGAUGGGAGCUAUGUGGCUACAAAAACAAUCUGAGAAGUACAUCUUUAUUUUGAUAGUUUUAGGAAGAUUGCUUUGGGAGAUGUUUUCUAUGUACCAAACUUUAGAAGAAAUGUAAUUUAUGUUGCAUGUUUAUUUAAAGACGAUUAUACUGUGACUUACUGUAAUGGUAUUGCAAUUCAUAGAAAUCAAUCUCUUAUCUCUAAUGGAGGGAUGCAAAAUAAUAUUUAUUUUAUCAAACCAAAUGUGCACUUACUGCUAGAAAUUGAACUCGUAAAUAAGAAACUUGAAACUUCUCUCUAAUGAAGCAUACUCAUGGCAUCUAAGACUUUAUCAUAUUAAUGAAGAUAGAAUCACUACAUCUUUCAUAAUGAGAGUCAUUCCUUAAAGGCAAAAUGAUCAAGUGACCUUUUAAUGCAAAAGAUACACAAAUCGUUCAACCCUUAGAACUUGUGCACGCUAAUGUAUGCGGUCUCAUGAACAUUAGUGCUUGAUAUGGUUACGAUUAUCAUGUAACUUUUAUAGAUGAUUAUUCCAAAUAUGAUUUGGUGUACCUAAUACACCGCAAGAGCAAAAUCUACAAUAAAUUCCAAGAGUUUCAUGCAGAAGUGAAUAAACUAUUAGAUUUUCCCAUUAAGGCACUUCAGUCUAACCGAGGUGAGGAAUACUUAUUAGAAGUCUUCUUAGAAUACCUCAUAGAAAAUGAAAUAUUAUCCUAAUUAAUUAUGUCGGGUACUCCACAAGAGAAUAACAUAGCAAAGAGAAGGAAUAGAACUUCACUAGGCAUGGUUUAUUCAAUGUUAAGUGAUUCACAACUGUUGAUAUUCUUUUGAUGAUUUGCAUUACAAACAACUUAAUAUAUUUUGAAUGAUGUACCAACUAAGGCACCAAAUAAAACUCCCUACCAAUUGAUAGGGCAAGAAUCAAGCGUAAAGCAUUUGAGGAUUUGGGGAUUCCUAGCCUAUUCGAAAUAUUAGUCUAGAAAAUAAUGUUUUUAAGCAUAGCAAAAGAUUGCUUUUAUUUUAAAUUGAGCCCUUUUUAUAUUUAUAGUAAUAAAUCCAUAACUGAAAUUAUAUUUGUGUUUUAAACGAGGAGGUUAAAGUCAAUGCCACCUUUCUACCGAAUGAUCUUCUUCGCUAUUCUCGAACACAAAUUGGUUUGAGUGGGGGCUGAAAUUAAUCGAACCAAGUUCAUAGAACAAAAUAUUUUAUUAACUUUCAAUAGGAAAAUUUUAUAACAGGAAACUAUGUGUUUUCCCUAAAAAAUAAAAUUUAUUAUAUAAUAUAAAAUUUCGACGCUCAGUAGUGUGUGUACUAUUGGAAAAAAAAUUCUGGUUUGAAAACGAUUUUCUUACACAACGGGAAAUUAAAAUCUUGAGAAUCGACUCAGUUUGUGAUAUUUAUAGCAAUAAGCCCUAACCAAAUUCAUAUCUGGGUUUUCAGCCUAGCGAAUGUUCGUUGUUCUUGACUUUCAACUAAAUGAUGUUCUUUGCUAUUCUUGUACAACGAGCUUCUUCGAGUGUGGGCUCGAACCAAUUGAAUUGAAACACAGAACUAUAAAAAGUUUUCUCUUUUAUUUAGGGUUAAAACAAAAAUUCUCUCUUCUUUAAAAGAAACUGGUAGAAUUCUUAUUCAUGAAAAAUAUGUUUAAUAGUUGAUAAUAAAUUCUCUUUAUUUUUCGGUAGAAUAACAAUCUCUCAAAGUUGUAUAUAAUGUCCUACUAGUGUCAUCUAUUUAUAAGAAGAAAAGGUAGAAGAACCAUUAUUUUGUUGUAGUGGUUUAUUUCAAAUAGAAAAAUAAUUUCUUAAUUAGAGUAGUAGUGGGGUGGAUGACACACCCUAGUAUUCUUACUAGGGUUGUCACCCCCUUAUGUUAUAUGAGGGGUUUUGGGCCUCUCUCACAUCGGGUCCAAUUACGAGUACUUCUUGGACCUUUUGACUCAGUACUCUAUAAUGUGAUCCAACCAGAUUUGGUUUUUCUAUUUCACAAAAUAAACUUUAAUAUUCUAUAUCAAAAAAUUCUCAUCCUUAUUUUACCCCAAUAAAAUUUUGACGAUGCCGAAACCAUUUUUCAAUUUUUAAAAACACGGGGAUCGACUUUGAAAAUAAAAUGGGAGUCGCCACCGAUCUUUUAUUAAGGUGUGAUCGGUUCUCCAUUAAAAAUAAAUUUUAGGUCUGCGAGAUUUGAGAAAAAUAGGUUCGGGAGUCGGUUACGCACAAGGAAGGGUUAGCACCCUCGUAACGCCCAAAAUUGGUACCGAAUUGAUUGUUUAAUGUCUUAAUGUCGAAAUUUUGAAAAGAUUUUAAAAUACUAUCCUUGGAUGAGAAAACUUGAAUAAACUAUGUUGGAGAUAAGAUGCACUCAUUUCGUAGAAAUAAAUUGCUACACUCAGUGAGUUAGGGUGCAACAAUUCAAUCUUUGAAAUUAGAUUUGUUCCCUUUUUUUUAGAAAAUCAUGUGUUUUAAGAAGGAUAUUUGAUUAUUUGAGUCAAUCGAGAAAUUCGAAACCAGUAAGUUAGGGUUCAAUUUCUCGAAAUUCUUAAACAUCAAGCAUUGCCUUUAUUUUAAAAUCGAGAUAACGAAAUGUCAUAUCCAGUAAGUUAGGAUUUAACAUUUUGAAAUAUUAAGAAUUUUAUUUUAAUAAUUGAAUGGUUUUAAUAAAAUGGGAGCUUGAUUAUCUAAGUUCAUCGAGAAGAAUCGAAGCCCAGUAAGUUAGGGCACAAUUCUCUCGGGAACCUAUGAACGCCAAGCUUCCUUUUUUAAGGAUUAUGAAAUAAAAUGAUUAUGGAGCUUUAAUAAAAAUCAACUCUUACAAAAAGAACAUGAUUAAAUAACGAUACAUAUAAUGUAAAAGAUAAAUAACAAUUUAAACUUAAACUAGAGGCAAUUUAACAAAUAAUAGGCAAAUAAAAACGUUGACUUUAAUCAUAUUAUACAAACAUCCAUAUUAAAAAUUAAGCAACCCAUAAAUUCAUAAUCAAUUAAAAACAGAAAAGGACAAUAAUAACAAUAAGUAAUAUGAAUAUUUGAUACAAUUUGGUAAUGGAACUAAGGAAACAAAUAAAAGGUUUCAAUGAAUUUUAAUGGAAGAUUAAAAAAAAAACAAAAUGAAAUAAAAGUGAAUAACUUAAAAUGAGUACCUACAUUUUGAUUUAUAUAAAUAAAAUCUAGUAUAAAUAAUAGUAUAUACAUAAUAAUAUAUAUAGAAGUUAAAACAAAACAACAAAUUUAAAAGGAAUAAGGCUUCCAUACAUAAAAUAUAUUAUUUGAAUUUAAUAAUGUAUUAUUGUAUAUAUACAUACGUAUAGUAAAAAAAACAUAUUACAUAUACAUAAUAUAUAAAAAUAUAAAGUAUUACUAUUAGAAAUUAACUUUCUAUAAAAAUAUAAAGUUAAUCAUAUAUAUAAAUAACAAAUAUAUAAAAGAAAAAUAAUAAUACGAUAAUAAGAAUAAGUAUGAUAAUAAAAAUAACAAUAAACUUCCUAAUAAAAAACUAAAUAACAAGAAGGAUUAAAUCACAAACAAGUUCAAAUUAACAGGGAACAACUGGUAUUAAAGAACAGUGGGGGACCAUGCUGCAACACGCGUAUUACAUGGGGGCCUGAUUGGGAAAUAUCCCGCUUCCCCAAAACGUAGUGUUGCAAGCUGGAUUGAAAUGGAACAAAAGCAGAAUACGGGGCCAAAUUAGAAAGAAGGGAGAUAGCCGAUUCGAAUACACCAGAAGAGGGGUGGACCGGUCGCGCAAAUAUCCCUCCCUACGCCAAAACACUUGGAUCUAGCCGCGUUUGGGUCGGGUCAUCGGGUCGUGGCCUAAAACGGCACCGUUUCAGAGCCACUGUAUCAGGCAAUACGACGAUGUUUCAUGAUUCCCCACAUUAAGCCAACAUUAAAACUCCAUUAGUCUAAACAGAAAAGGAAAAGAAAAAAACCCUAAUAAAAAAAAACCAAUCUCCUUUCAUUCAUAAGUCGUGCCGCCUCAGCCCUCUUUUCAUCCGGUCCAAACUCUGAUUACGGUGGAGUGAACCAGGAUCCGACGCUCCCACCUCUAAGGUGAGUCUCUCUUCUUUCUUUUUUUUACUCUUUUUUCACAGUAAUAAAAAAAGAAGACGAAUCUAAAAAGGAAACAGGAAAAUCACUGAAAAAUCAAAGAGGAAUCACCUUUCGAACUCUUUUCUUUUCGAUUUCUCUGAAUUUUUGGCAAUUUUACUCCUGGUAAAUGUUCGAGAAAAUAUAUUCAAUAUUUCAUAACUCAACAUGUUCACCGCGACUAAAUGAUUUAUUUUCAUUUUUGGGCUUCAAAAUAGCUAAAAAAUGUAAGCUUAUUCUUCCGAUCAUUUUUAAGCAAAAUGUAAGCUUAAAUUUACACCCAAUGAACCAGCUUUCACUUCCGUAUCUAUUUAAACUCGGGCUUUUACUUACAUCAAAGUGUACAAAAUAAUUGUAACCUUCUCUUGCAUUAAUACUCAUGGGGCCACAUAAGUUAGUUUAAACAAGUUAUAGGGGUUUUCUAGCCCUUUCUCCUUUUGCAUUAAAAGAUCACUGAGUUAUCUUACAUUCCAAGCAAGAUUCACAUUGUGGAAGAUCAACUUCUUUAAGCGAACUUAAGAUGUCAUCUUUGACAAGCCUAGUGAGUUUUUCUCAGUUAAUUUGACCAAGUAUCAAAUGCAAAAUAUAUGCAUUAGAGUGAGAAGUUUUAAGUCUUUUAUUUGAUAUUUUAGUCUCAAGUAAUGUGUACAUCUUUGGUUGGAUUAAAUGAAGAUUAUUGACAUCCACCCAUUAUAAUUAAGAUUGCGAUUCCAAAAUAUUGCAAUUCCACUAUAUAACGAGGCAACAUAAAUUAAGUUUCUUUUGAAAUUUGAUACAUAGAAAACGUCUCUUAAAAUAAUCAUCCUAAAAUUUUCAAAAUAAAGAUGUACAUCUCCCACUACUUCAUCUGCCACACUUGUCCUGUUCCCAGACCACAAUGAUAAGCUCUUAUACCUAAGAUCCUUUCUUUCCUCGAACCCCUAUAGAUAAACACAAACAUAAUUAGAGGAUCCCAAAUCAAUGACCUAGUGCUCUAUUGAAUCCUUCACUAAACAAGCUUCUAUCAUCAAGAGUUCCAUGCCUUUAACUUUGGUGGUCAAAUAUUCCUUCAACUAUUUACAUUUUGGCUUGAGGUGUCCUUUCUUGUUGUAGAAGAAGCAUCUAGACUUAGAUAAGUCUUUCGGCUUCCUAGUUCUCUUCCUUUCCACAUAUGGUGGCCUCGAGACCAUUGCCUUGCCUUUCUUAGCACGCUUUGUAACAACCCUUACAUGUCUCCGUCACCUGAUUAGGGUUACAAAAUGCUACCAUACAAAAUAGAAUAGAAACAAGCUAUCAGAGUUCAAAUUUUAUUUUUAAAAAAGUAUUCAUUAAAAUCUUGAAAAUCGACAAUAAAUUCCAAGAGUUUUGUGCAGAAGUGAAGAAACUAUUAGAUUUUCCCAUUAAGGUGCUUUGAUCUAACCGAGGUGAGGAAUACUUAUUAAAAGUCUUCGUAGGAUACCUCAUAGAAAAUGUAAUAUUAUCCUAAGUUCAGAUUCAGACAAUUUUGUUUAGCCUUAGACACGACAAAGUGUUCUAAUAGCACAUCCCGCAUGUCACUUAAUUGGCUGAUGUCGAUAAGUAAGGAUGCCCUAAUUCCCCCCCUUUAAUUUCUAUCCUUUGAUAGUUGGGUGAUUGGGAUGAUUUAUUUAUUCAUUUUGGAAGUUUUUAUUAGAAUUUGACUUGCUAAUUUGCAUAUUUAUAUUAUAUUUGUGCAUUUUCACUCGAAUCAAAUUUUAUUUCACUCGACUCGAUUCGAAAAAAAUCAAAUUGACUUAAGACCUUAAAAUAAGAAUCGUAAACUCGAUUAACUCGAAAUUUUUUCUUUCGUUUCAAUCGAACACUCACCCCUAAUAUUUUGUAUAGCAUUAUCAAAUCUACUUAGAACCAAGUAGACGAAAAUUCUAACCCAUACGAUACUUUAUUACUUAGUUGACGCAGCAAAUGUUGACAAAGCUGCGUUUGCGCCAAAUUUUUUUUUCUUAAUUUCUAUUGUGUGAUUGGUACAUGGAUGAGAACGAACAUAAUUAGUGCCAUCCCACCAUGCAAUUGCAAGCCUAAAAAAAUCUAAAGAUGGUAAAAAAAUCUAAAGAUGGUGACAAUUCAAAAUGGUAAUAAAUUGAAAUAAUUCUUUUUAUUUUACCUUGCUCAAUUUUUAUUAUAUUUAGUUUUAAUUCAUGUGUUAUCUCUGAAUGAUAUCACAAUAUAUUUUAAAAAAAAUUAAUAUUAAUAAUAUUUAAUAACAUAAAAUAAUUUAUAUGUAAUAAAAAUUUAUUAACCACUUUAUAUUAGAAUAAUCUAUCAUUAUUUCAAAAGGUAAAAAUGUUAUUAUUACACCAAUUAAAAAAUAUCAUAUAUUCGAAUAAUUAAUUCAUCAUAAUUUUAAUAAAAAAUGUCACAUAUAAUAAUGAUAAAUGUAAAAUAAUUUAAUUUAUGUUUAUGAUAUACAUGACUUAUUUAUACCUAUUAAAAUAAAUAAUUACAAAUAAUAAUGUAUAAAAUUUUGGCUUGAAGUGUCCUUUCUUGUUGUAGAAGAAGCAUCUAGACUUACAUAUGGUGGCCUCGAGACCAUAGCAUUGCCUUUCUUAGCACGCUUUGUAACAACCCUUACCCGUCUCUGUCACCUGAUUAGGGUUACGAAAUGCUACCAUACAAAAUAGAAUAGAAACAAGCUAUCACAAUUCAAAAUUUAUUUUUAAAAAAUUAUUCAUUAAAAUCUUGAAAAUCUACAAUAAAUUCCAAGAGUUUCGUGUAGAAGUGAAGAAACUAUUAGAUUUUCCCAUUAAGGCACUUCUAUCUAACUGAGGUGAGGAAUACUUAUUAAAAGUCUUCUUAGGAUACCUCAUAGAAAAUGAAAUAUUAUCCUAAUUAAUUAUGUCGGGUACUUCACAAGAGAAUAACAUAGUAGAGAGAAGGAAUAGAACUUCACUAGGCAUGGUUUAUUGAAUGUUAAGUGAUUUACAACUGUAGAUAUUCUUUUGAGGAUUUGCAUUACAAUCAACUUGAUAUAUUUUGAAUGAUGUACCAACUAAGGCACCAUAUAAAACCCCAUACCAAUUGAUAGAGCAAGAAUCAAGCGUAAAACAUUUGAGGAUUUGGGGAUUCCUAGCCUAUUGAAAAUAUUAGUCUAGAAUCCAAAGAAGAUAAUGUUCUUCUAGAAUGUAACAUUACAUGCAAUAAUGUAAGAUUGAGCCAACUAGACAUACAGUUUUAGAAAAAUUACGACUACAAUAAUUAGAUUUUAUUAAUUUCUAUUAGCAUUUUAUUGUUAUUAUAUCACUACAUUUACAUUAAUUAAAUUGAGUUUUUUUAGUCCAUUGUUAUUUUUAUAGAUUAAAAUUUUCUCUUUAAGUUAUUUCCGUAUUUAUCCCAAUUCUCUAUAACAGUCACCCAUUAUAAUAAUAUUUUAUUAUAAUAGUUAAGUUUCUAGUGGAAUCGGGUUUUUUAUGUUUUAUUUUAAUCUUGUACAAUAGCUUUUCAUGCAACAAUCAUAGUUAUGAAAUACAUUCCUUAUUAAAUUAGUUCUCAACAAUAGUAUAUUGUCAAAAUUUGAAGCACAAUUAUAACUAUUUCUCAUAAACAAGUCUACCAAUUCUAAUUUAUUAUACAAAAAUGAUCUUAAUUAAAAUGUUAUUUCAAUAAAAUGUUUAAAUUUCACCUAAAAAAUCUAUUAAUUAUAUUUUAUUAAAUGAAAAUAAUCUUCAAUGACUGGAAUUAAAUAUAUCAAUUCAAUAAACUAUUAAGUUCUCUAAUUAAAUAUUUACUAUGAAUUUGGAACAUUAUAAAUUUAUAAAUUCAUUACUUGAAUUUAAUAACUUAUUAUUAAUUAAUUAAUUUAAUUUGAUAACUUAUAUUGAUUAAUUGAACUUGUUAGAUUUAUGAACAUUAUAAUUAGUCAUGUGAAAGAAUGUACAGUAAAAGAUGCAUAAAAAUAAUAAUGUGUGCACCAACUAUAUGUUUUUUUUUAAUUUAGGCCUUCAUUAUGGUCUCUUACGGCCCAUUACAUAAUUGGCGCGCCGAUGAAGCAAAUGAGAAUGUUGACAAGCAGGAUUUGCACUAUUUUUUCUCUUAAAUUUUCCCAAUUCUCUAUAACAGUGACCCGUUAUAAUAAUAUUUUAUUAUAAUAGUUAAGUUUCUAGUGGAAUCGAUUUUUUAUGUUUUAUUUUAAUCUUGUAUAAUAGCAAGAGAUACUAAUGUCCCAAGAACUAAAAACAAAAACACAUGGAUUAAACUCAUCAUUUUUUUUUUUGCAAUAAAAGCUGAGAUACUACACUAAUUUAAGGGUUUUUUUUCUUUGCUAAUUGCUAAGUUGUGAAGAACUAGCACUCAAUGGACCUAUAUAUAUACUACAAAAAAAUUAUUGAAAUAGAUAUUUUUUAAUUAAGUCAUCUUAUGAAAAUUCAACUAAAAUGCCAAUCAAGUCUAUUUAUUUAAAUAAAUAUUUCUUUAAAUAUUAAUUUCUAACUGAUAAUGGGCUGAUUAGGAAUUAAAGUUAAAGUAGAUUUAACUUUUUUAAAUUACUUAUGUACUAAUUUAAAAGAUUAAAAGAUUUAACUUAAUUUCUAUCCUUUGAUAGUUGGGUGAUUGGGAUGACUUACUUAUUUUGGAAGCUUUAUUAGAAUUUUGUCUCAAUGGAAAUUUGUCCUAUAGGACACGCUUUCAGUUAUGUCAGCUAUAGGACGUGUUUCGGUGUAAAUGAUAGUUAAAUAUUAAUAUUUUUGUUCUUAAAUUUUUGUGUUCGAUUCGUCUUCUCCUCAAGGAUUAUCGACUUCAAUCUGCUCCACUGCAACCUCAGGGAGAUAAGAUUUGAUGCAAUUUGCUCCGCUACUGCUUAGGGAGACAAGAUCUGCAAUGUCCAACCUAUUCCACUGCUGACCAGGGACAUAGGACUUGUGGCUUAAAUCUGCUUCCUUACACUUGAAGAUAAGAUUCGCCGUCUUCGAUCUGCUCCGCUAUUGCUUAGGGAGACAAGAUUUGUAAUUUCCAACCUAUUCCACUACUGGUCAGGGAGCUAGGUUUUGUGAUUUCACCGAUCUGUUCUCUGGGGAACAUGACCUGUAUAAUUCAUUUAUGAACUUAAUUAUGCUUAGUGAUUAGGACGUCAUGAUCAGCAUGAGUCAAAUGCUCCUAACUAGGUAUGUAUAAAUGAUGUUUGCAUGAAUGCAGAAUGUCAUUUUUGACAACGAUCUUUCUUUAUCGCUUAAGUUGUCAUUGUUCGAAGUUUAUUAAGGCUUUAUCACUGACGUGCUACAACGCCUUCUUGCUCGGCUGGCAUCUCCAAAGAAACACUUAAUGAUAUUGCCCCCACCAUGAACUUCAAAGUUCAAUCCACUGAGACACACAACUUGUACCAUUUUUCUCCCACUGCAACCCAAGGGUAGAAAUAUAUGGCUUUUCCUCAGUCCUUUCCUAUCACAAUUCAAGGAUACGAGAUCUAAGUCUGUCUGGUCCCUUACACCAUUCCCAAGGUGUCGUACCAAAGACUUAUGCACAGAUGAAGGCUCUCUUCUCCGAGGUAACCUCUUCCUCUUGCCUGGUGAUCAUUGUUUGCUUGUCUAUUUAAGCUUUGUCAUCAACUUGACCUCUUGUCAUUUUGUUCAAUCAAUGCAUUUGACGAAAAACUCCAAAGAGAAAGUCCUAAUUUAGACUCUUCCUUCUCAGAUUUCCAUCCUUUAAACUUGGUGCGUUCUAAACAAUAGUCCUGUUUCAGGUUCCUGUAUUAUUUAGAAACUUUUCAGAGUAAUAUGCAAAACUUCCUUUGUGAAAGUUUUAUUAGUCCAUUAAUCAUUAUUCCAAUGCAACAUGUUUACAAAAAAAUGUCAUAACAAUGGAUAAGAAUAAAGUUGGUUCUGAGCAUAGCUCGAAAGGAAUAAAUUAUCAAAAAUAGUAAAGAAGGAUAAUAAAGAAAUUGAUUAGGAAUAUUCUUGAUAAAGAAUGAGGUAUUCCAGGAACAACAAAUUCAAAAUAGUAAGAAAAUUGGGUGCCCCAGAUAUCGCAGCUUGAACUUCUCUGUACAAACUUUCUGAAGACCCUUCAUGUGUUUAGGAGAUCUUUAGUGCUUUGUCGAUGCCCCAAGAUGUCGCCUAUCCUUUCCUGUUGAUUUAGGCAUAACAAGAUUACCACAUGCCCCAAUCUGAUUAAGAUUCGAAUCGCUCUGAUCACUUCAUGCCCCAUUCUGAUCAAUAUUUGAGCCACCUUUUUCGGGUUUUCAACUCAGAUCCCCUUUGGCCUAAGGCGCCCUUUGCGGGUUUUCCCCUUAGCCUCUCCAUUUUUACUUUUUCAUUUUUUUCAUUUUUAUUUUUUUGGAAUUGGUCCUUUCUUCUUCUUUAAAUGAAGCAUUUCUUGACUGGAUCCGUGUUUAUAGGAUCGGCAGUCUCGCUCAGGAUCAGUGCUCAUCUGAAAAGGUCUUCUUUACAACACAGGGACAUCCCCGGCUUAACAUUCAUAUCCUUCUAGAAUCCUUUUGUUGAGGAAGGAUCUUUUCCAACAUCCAGCCCUCUCGUGGAAUUCUCUAAGACGACUCUAUUUAUUAUGGGCUUGUAUCAUUUGUUUCUGAUACAUCCGACCCUGAUGAAUAGCUUUUAACCCUUUUCCUAGGUCCAACUGAUCACAUCGCGAUUGGAUCCUUCCAACUUUAAUACCCGAAGAGAUGGGAUUUCAAUAGGUAAUACCACUUCAAUCCCGUAAACCAAAGAGAAGAACAUUGCUCCGGUAGAAAUCUUGAUAGAUGUUCGGCAAGCAAGGAGGGCAAAUGGUGAUUUCUCAUGCCAGUCCUUGUAAGUCUCAGUCAUUUUUGCAACUCAUUGCAGUGAUGAACUACGGUAUCUGAUUUUGAAUUGAUCACAGACCUCAGCUAUCAUACUAACAUUCAUGAUAUCGUCUUCUCCAUAAUUCCAUACCGGCAUAUGAUGACAUUGACACAUGAAGCAGCCUCUACCCGUUUGACAAAGUAACUAAUGAUAUCAAACAUGAAGCAAUGCCCAUUAGAAACCUUCGAUGAUGAUGACGACCAUGCCCCAUUUGCUUAAAAUUUGAGUCACCCUUUUUGGGUUUUCAACUCAAAACCGCCUUUGGUCACAAAGCGCCCUUUGAGGGUUUUCGCUUUGGCCUCUCCUUUACUUCAUUUUAUCAAUUUUUAUUUUGAUUUUUUUCUUCUAGACUUUUCUCUUUUUUCAUUAUUUUUCCUUUUUCUCUCAUUUUCAUUUUGACCUUGAUUUUGAUUUUUCUUUUUUCUUCUUUUUAUUUUUUGAUUUUGAUUUUUGAUUUUUUUUAUUUUUUUUGGGCUCAUAGGGUUAGGCAAGUCCUCGUUAUCCCUUUCGAAGAAUCCUCUUUGAUAUCAGAUUUCCUUCAUAGAGCCUUUUGGGGUGACACUACGACUGAAAACUUUUAAUCUUCCUCUUUCAUCAGGACGAGAUCCAAAAAAACUUGAAGAGAUGAAAACUCGACUUCAAAUGGACAAAGCUAUGCUGACCCAACGAGAAAGGCAUUGCCACGACAAAGAAUUGCAUCAUUCAUACUCAAAUUUUUGCCAUCGCGCUGUUGUGCAGAUUUCAUUAUCAGCGGUUAACUCGGGCAUAUCCUGGCAUGAUCAUACAAAAACAUCUUUGAACCCUAGAGGUGACUCAACAAGGUCUUGCUUCGUCUUUGCAAUCAGGUCAAUUCUAAUAUUCACCAAGCUCACAAUUUCUAAUGAUUCCUUGUGGGGUAGUAUCCGUCUAUCCUCUUGUUCAACCAUCCUCAACAAGUCCAGAGAUAAGCUACAAUCUUUGUCAUUUUCAAAGUCAUGAGAUCCCUCUAAACACAUGCCUUGCUCAAGAGGAAAAUUUGAAUCUGUAGCAGUGUCAUUCAUGUAAUUGAUAUCUAAGGACCCAUAAUAAGUACCGAAGGAUAUACAAAAGAAUGCACAAAUUCAUGAAUAAUUAUUUGUACCAUAUGAUUAUGAAUAACAAUUUAGAAGAAAAUCCAAAAGAAUGAAAGAAUCUGGAAUUAUUUGUAAAGAAUGAAAAUAUUGGCUCAGUAAUAAUUGUAAAGAUAUAUUUCAUUAAAAUAACAACGUUCAGACAUGAGCCUAUUUCACAAAGGAAUUUCUAUCAUUUCUAGGCUAAGAAUAAGAAAAUGUUCAGAACAUUACUCUAAAUAAGCUCUAAGAACUAUAGGAAUUUCUUCCGCAGUCUAAUUGCUUAGAACACUCCAUAUUUAUAAAGGCAGAUAUCUAGCAAGGUCCCUUUUCAUUCUUGUCUUCAAAUAUGUCAUUAAUGUGGACACUUCCAACACCUUUUAAUACAUUGUAUUCACUCCAUUAUCAAUCAUGAUUGGGUAGCGGGCUUUCUGCACUAGAUGAGCGAUCAAGCUUCACAAUACCCAUGUUGAUGAGUCUUUCAACUUGCUUUUUGAAGGCAAUGCAAUUCUCUAUUGAGUGCCCCGUAAUUCCCGCAUGGUAGUCACAUUGUACGUUCGCAUCAUACCAGUUAGAGUAUGGAGGUUGUAGACGUUUCACAUAAAAAAAGGAGACAACGUGUGCAUCAAACAAAUUUUGAUACAGCUCUUUAUACGACAUCAAAAUUGGUGUGAACUGGAGCUUCUCAGUACUUGGUUUCACUCCAGAUUCUUGUCUCAAUAAACCUUGUUGACUAGCGACCCCUUUACCUGGAUGACUUACUGACCUUGAGUAACCUAUUUUAUUCAUCUCAUCUUCUUUUCUCCUUGAGACUGAUCUCUUAUUACUCUCUUUCGCCUCAAUUUUUCCAGUCCUUAUAGCAUUCUCAAUCAUUUCACCAUUCAUCACUACAUCAGAAAGGCUUUUUGUUGCACUUCCUAACAUAUGCGUGAUGAACAGGGCCUUCAGUGUGUUGAUGAAGAGCAUUGUCGUCUCUUUCUCCAAGAGGGUGGCUGAACCUGGACUGCAACCUCCUUCCACCUCUGUGCAUACUGCCUAAAACGUUCAUUCGAUUUCUUUUCCAAAUUUUGUAAAGUGACUCUAUCGGGAACCAUAUCUGUCACAUGAAUGUAUUGUUUCAUGAAUGCCUGUGCUAGGUUCCUCCAUGAACCAAUCUCGGUACGACUCAACUGAUUGUACCAUUUCGACGCUGCUCCAAUGAGGCUAUCUUGAAAAACUGUAUUAAUAGCUGAUCAUUGUUAAUAUACCCAGUCAUUCUCCUACAGAACAUGGUGAUAUGGGCUUCGGGGCAGCUAGUCCCACUAUAUUUCUCAAAUUCAGGCAUCUUGAACUUGUGAGGGAGUACUAAGUCUGGAACCAAGCUCAGAUCUUUUGCAUCAAUUCCAUGGUGACUAUUGGCGCUUUCCAGGGCUUUGAAUUUUUUCUCCAACCAUUUACACCUAUCUUCCCACUGUUUUGGCAAUUUCGCGUUCACCUUUCAUUCCUUAGCUGCUUCAUCAAAAUUAAAGAUGGUAAUAUUAACCAGAUUACCACCAGCGUUAGAACCUGAUCCGGCCAGAAAGUUCAUCGGUAAUGAAACAUCGGUUUGAAACCUCUGAGGCCCAAUUAAAAUAGAGGAUCUGGGCGGAGGUACCUCGGUCUGAGUCUGCGCAUGUAAAGGCGUAAAACCUAGAGGAUAGAUAGGUCUAUCCUUGUCUUCUUCUUCAUCAUUCACCACAGGGCCUUUCCCCUUAUUUACACCUUUAGUCAAUAGAUAGGUCAAUUCAGCCAUCGCAUCUUUUUGAGCCUUGAUCAAUUUUUCCAUCAUGUCUUUUUGAAUUUUAUCUAGCCGCUCUUGCAUUUGUACUUGUAACCGUUCUUGCAUAUCCUUUUGUAUUUUCUCCAAUUUCUCUAAUCUUUGAUCCAUUUCCUUAGUUUUGCGAUGAGUACCAUAACGAUGUUUGGUUGGUUGGUUUUCCAGAUUAGCUGAAAUAAAUUUACUCAAUUAGGCUCUUUCAAUGGACUUUAAUGCAUGUAAUGUAAAUGCAUGAAAUUAAUGCCUAAAGAGACAUUGAUUCUGAUUCAAUUACAUUUAGAAAACUUUACUAGAAGGCAAAUUCCUUUACAUAAAGCAGAUGCAUGUACAACUUUGCCCUUAUAUUCCAAGAGACAACAUCGAUCUUUUUCUUCAUCCGCAUGUUUGUGAUAAUAUUGCCAAUUUCCAAUUGAUGCCACUGCUAACUCCUUUUCUUGAUCUUGGUCGCGAUCCAUCAUCUGUCCAUCUUCAUAAGGCUCGUCAGCUUCUUUAAGGGAGUUGGAAUGUCAAAGGCUCUUAGACAAUCGCCUUGCAUCCUCGGGCCACGAAGUAAGGUUACGAACUCUUCCAUCGCCCUUCUUAUGUUUCUCAGAAUAUAUUCAGGCAGCCGUAUUAUUUUCCACUUUAUCAAGGAAUCCGUAUUCCAUGACAAGAUUUCUAAUUUAGUAAUUGGAUUUGAAUCAAUAUCUCUUUCCUAAGAUGCAAAUGCAAUGCAAUCAUAAUCAAAACAAAACAAGAUGGGUUAGUACAAAACAGAAGCAAACAAGGAAAACAAAAGUACCUAGUCGGGUAACCACUAAGGAUUUGCAGUGGCUCUACCUAGGAUGGGUUCCUAAGGUCUUCUACAUGCGGUUUGGCUCUAAAGUCAAGGUACCUGAACUAGCUGAUUCCUUGAUCUUCACCCAUUAUAGGCUCAUACAGACCGAGUUCGGUUCAGGGGAAUACAUUUCCCUAUGGCUGCACAGAGAUGAAAAUCUCACGAAGACAUAGGUACGGAUGUAUCCUGAAAGUGAUUCACUAUCCUGCACGGAGGUGAAAACCUCACGAAGGAGUAGCUUCUCACUCCCACUUAAAAGGACAAGACUAAACAGUCUUAUGCAAUAUGACGCCAAAAUAUACAACUCAAUUUACAAUAAUCAUGCAAACAAGUGCAAAGAAAAGAUCGUAAAUUUUCAAAUCAAAUUUUCAAUUUUCGAUAAUAAGACAGAAAACAAUCAAUUUUACGGCUUGACUCUCUAAAGGUCCCCAGUGGAGUCGCCAAGCUGUCGAAACAAUUUUUAAAAUUGAAAAAUGAGGAUCGACUUUGAAAAUAAAAUGGGAGUCGCCACCGAUCUUUUAUUGAGGUGUAAUCGGUUCACCUUGAAAAUAAUUUUAGGUCUGCAAAUUUUGAGAAAACAGGUUCGGGAGUCGGUUACGCACGAGGAAGGGUUAGCACCCUCGUGACGCCCAAAAUUGGUACCGAAUUGAUUGCUUAACAUCCUAGUGUCGAAAUGUUGAAAAGAUUUUAAAAUACGAUCCUUGGUGAGAAAAUUUGAAUAAAGCAAAUUGAAUGACAAGACAUACUUAUUUCGAAGAAAUAAAUUUCGCACUCAGUGAGUUAGGGUGCUCCAAUUCAAUCCUUGAAAUUAAAUAUGCUCCUUUUUUUUUAAGAAAAUCAUGAGUUUAAAGAAGGUUUCUUGAUUGUUUAAGUUAAUCGAGAAUUCAGAAUCCAGUAAGUUAGGGUUCAAUUUCUCAAAAAUCUUAAACCUCAAAUAUUGCCCUUAUUAAAAACGAGACAACAAAAUGUUGUAUCCAGUGAGUUAGGAUCCAACAUUUUGUAAUCUAAAGAAUUUUAUUAUUCGCAGUCGUAUGGUUUUACAAAAUGAAUAUUUGAUGAUCUAAAUUCAUCGAGAAGAAUUAAAGCCCAGUAAGUUAGGGCACAAUUCUCUCGAGAACUUACGAACGCCAAACUUUUUAGUAGACUUGAAAUAAAAUGAUUAUAAUAUUUUAAUGAAAUGCGAUUCUCUCAAACAGUAUAAUUGAAUAGCUAAAUAUAUAGCAAAUGAUAAAUAACAAACUAGAUUUACAACAUGAAGCAACCAAACAUAUAAUACAUCAACAUUAAAUAAUCAAAUAAACUAAUAAUCAAUCUUACAAAUAACAAAAAGAGAGUAAUUAAUAUAAAAAUAAAUUAAUCACAAGUAAAUCGCCUAAAAUAAUUGGAAUGAAUAAAAUUUUGAAGCACAAAAAUAAAAUUUGCGCAAAUUACAAGUUAUGAUGCAUUUUAUACGCAUAUAUGUGUAUUAAAAUAGUUCCAUAUAAAUUAUACAUAUAAGUAUAAUAAUCACGAGAUGUCAUGGUCAAAAUAAAAUCUAGAGCUAUAGUCUAAAAUACAUUAUUGAGAAAUAUGAAGUAACAUAUCGAAUUCUUAAAAUGUAUUAAGUGUGAUAAAAUAAAUAAUAAUGUAGCAAAUGGGAAAAUAAAAGUAUAAAAGGUCUGUAAAUAAUAUUAAGCCAAUAGUAAAAAAAUGCUUUUUUUUUAAUAUAUGAAUAUAAUAAUAGAUUUAUUCAGAAACUAUGAAGGCAAAACAAAAUAUGAAGAAAACAUUUUUUUUUUGAAAUUGAAAAUAAUAAUUUACAAAUUUAAAACCAAAUUUUCAAACGAAAAUAGGAUGAUAAUAACAAUUAAAACAAAACUAAAUGAUUACAAUAGAUUCAAAAUAUCGGUAUAUAAUGGUUUUGAAAAUAUAAGAAAAAGCAAACUAAAACAAUAAUUUAUUAUAAUUUGGACUAUAAUAAUAGUAAACCUAAAUACUAUCAAAAUAAAUAUUAUAAAAAUAUUAAAUACUAUAAUAUGUAAAAUAGAAUUAAAAUAACGUUGAAUUUUGAAAGGAAAACUAAAUUAGUAUUAAAAUAAAAUUUAUUUUAAAAUGAAGGACCAAAUCAGUAAUUAUGCGCAAACAUUAAGAUUAUUUCAAUUAAUCAUAGAAACGGCAACGUUUAAAACUGGAUUUAAAUGAAAAUAAGGUUAAAUAUGCGAUACAAAUUUCAAACAAUUAAAGAAAUUAAUUCGCCAUCCCCAUAAAUGCUCAAGGACCUAUUAGACAAAUAAACCAGACACCCAUCACUCGCGGAUCCUACCCGAAUCGGGUCACCACUCGGGUCUGGAUCUUUAAACGACGCCGUUUCGAAGUCAUUGCACUGACUUCAAACGUCGUUGUGUGAGUCUCCGCAUUAAGAAGCCAAAACCUAAAAUACUUUCAUUUCCUAAAAACCUAAAUUGAAUCAGAUGAAUGUUGCGCCGUUCCACACCGAAGGCAUAUGAACGGUUCCUCAACCCAGCCUAUACUCCGAUGACGACGGAGAAGGCCAGGAAUCUGUCAUCAGGUAUGUUUUCUCCUUUCUUUUACUGUUUCUUUCCUGAAGAAAACAUUAGCCAAGUAAAAGCGAAGAAAGAAAAAAAAAGGGAAUCGAGAAGCAAUCUGCAAAAAAAAAAAAUGAAAGAAACCCCGAAAAUCACCUUUCGAUAUUUUUCUUUGUAUUCUGAAUGCGUAAAAAAGAAGAAGAUCCUUUUACAUUGUUUGCCUUGGCUCUUUAUAGCCAAAAUUACAACAUAAAAAAAUAAAAUAAAAAAAAUGAUCUGUCAUUGCCACAUUUUCGCUUUUUGUUUUCUCUUUCUUUUUCGUUGCUGGUUGUUGCUUUGUUGGUGUUGUUUGUUUCUGUUGCAGGUGUGGCAUUUGUUGUGUGCAGGUAUGGCCUGGAGAAGGCUCGCGUGGACUUGGCGCGGAGGCGCAGUACGCGCGGGGAUCUGGUUCGGUUGCGGCGCAACAACUGCUAGGGUUUCUGACUUCUAGUUGGGUUAGUCGGGCCAGGGUAUUGGGCUUAGGUUUAAGCUAAUUGGGUUUGUACUGGGCCAUUUGUAAAUGGGCUUGGCUUGUAUUUUGGGUUUGCUGUUGUAAAAAAAACUGGACAUUUUAUUAUUAUUUAUUUAUAUAUUUUAAUUAUCUGGGUUUUAAUAGUUGGGCUCGGGCCGGGUAAAAUUUGGGUAUUACAUAUAUUUGUAAAAAACUCAAAAGAAAUUGUAAAAAAUUAUUAAACAGGAGUUAAAUAUUCAUCCCUUCAUUGCUGUUUUCCAGUCGUAUUGCUGCAUGUAAACUUAUUAUAUUUAAAUUCCAAAUUCUUUAGUGCAAGUGUCUGGGUCUUCAUUCUUUUCUCUUAUAAGAAGUUCAGAUUCAGACAAUUUUGUUUAGCCUUAGACACGACAAAGUGUUCUAAUAGCACAUCCCGCACGUCACUUAAUUGGCUGAUGUCGAUAAGUAAGAAUGCCCUAACUCCCCCUCCCUUUAAUUUCUAUCCUUUGAUAGUUGGGUGAUUGGGAUGAUUUAUUUAUUCAUUUUGGAAGUUUUUAUUAGAAUUUGACUUGCUAAUUUACAUAUUUAUAUUAUAUUUGUGCAUUUUCACUCGACUCAAAUUUUAUUUCACUCGACUCGAUUCGAAAAAAAUUAAAUUGACUUAAGAUCUUAAAAUAAGAAUCGUAAACUCAAUUAACUCGAAAUUUUUUCUUUCGAUUCAAUCGAACACUCACCCCUAAUAUUUUGUAUGGCAUUAUCAAAUCUACUUAGAACCAAGUAGACGAAAAUUCUAACCCAUACGAUACUUUAUUACUCAAUUGACGCAGCAAAUAUUGACAAAGCUGGGUUUGCGCCAAUUUUUUUUUCUUAAUUUCUAUUGUGUGAUUGGUACAUGGAUGAGAACGAACAUAAUUAGUGCCAUCCCACCAUGCAAUUGCAAGCCUAAAAAAAUCUAAAGAUGGUGACAAUUCAAAAUGGUAAUAAAUUGAAAUAAUUCUUUUUAUUUUACCUUGCUCAAUUUUUAUUAUAUUUAGUUUUAAUUCAUGUGUUAUCUCUGAAUGAUAUCACAAUAUAUUUUUAAAAAAAUUAAUAUUAAUAAUAUUUAAUAACAUAAAAUAAUUUAUAUGUAUUAAAAAUUUAUUAACCACUUCAUAUUAGAAUAAUCUAUCAUUAUUUCAAAAGGUAAAAAUGUUAUUAUUACUCCAAUUAAAAAAAUAUCAUAUAUUCGAAUAAUUAAUUCAUCAUAAUUUUAAUAAAAAAAUGUCACAUAUAAUAAUGAUAAAUGUAAAAUAAUUUAAUUUAUGUUUAUGAUAUACAUGACUCAUUUAUACCUAUUAAAAUAAAUUAUUACAAAUAAUAAUGUAUAAAAUUUGCUUAAUAAAAAUAUAAAUUAAAUAAUAAAUAGCAAAACUAUAAUGUUAUUUAUGAACAAGAUGGAUCCGGGGUGGGGAGGCUUGCACCCCCAUUGGAUUUCUCAAAAAUUCUCAAAAUUUUAUUAUAUUCUUAAUUCCUCCCACUUCUUAUCAAUUCGCUCCUUUUAUCUCAGAUUUUAAUAAUUUUUUGUUGAUUAAAGUUGUAAUACCCAAUUUUAGCCCGGGCUCACAAUAAUAAAAUAAAGUCUAAGUCCAGUACAAAAUUAUAUCAUUUGGCCCGAUCAGAAUGGUUCAUUACUUGAAAAUGUAGAAGGUCCAUCUACAAGCUUAUGGAAACAUAAUCUUCAAGGAUGUGCAAUCUUAGAUAUGAUAUAUGCAAUCUUAGAAGAUGUGAUUUUGUAAUCUUAGAGAUUUAAUUUGUAGAUACCCUUUAAUCUUGGCCAUUGAUGUAAUUGAUCUGUACCGUUGAAUUUGGGGAGGCUCAACUAUAAAUAGAGGCCUCUCCCUUCAUUGUAGAGGGGGAAGUGGGGAGUAAUAAUAAUUCUUAAGAGUAUUUACUCAAAUUUCUCUCUCUCUUGCAUUCCUAUUUUGUUGAUUGUGUAUAAUUUAUUUAUUGAUUUGUAUAUUGUUGAUUUCAAAUCUCUUUUUCCAUUAUUAUUCAUUUUCAAAUUCAUUAUUUUCAAAUUUGUUUACAUUUUAUUUGGCCUUAUAUUUUUUUUUAUUUUAUACUCUUUGUUUUAAAUUCAUUGGUAUUUGAUUAUUGAUGCUAUUUAAUCCUCUAUUUGUUAUUUUAGUUUUUUUAUUAUUAAAUUAAUUAUUUUAAUAUUAUUAAUACUAUUAUGUGGCAUCAUUAAUCUUGUAUCAUUAUUAUUAUUAUUUAUUAUUUUUAUUUUUAUAUUCAUGCGCAUGCAUCGUUUUUAUGUAAUAUAUAUAUAUAUAUAUAUAUAGUAUACGUAUGCUUAUAUAUAUCUUAUACAUAUGUUUUUAUUUUUAUUUUACUUCCUAACUUUUAUAUACAUAUAUAUACUUUUAUAUUUAGUUUCAAAUUUUUUUUUUACUUUUGUUUAUAUGUACAUGUAUGUAUUUGUAUAUUUUUCUAAUGAAUAUUUUUAUAUAUAUAUAUAUACGCACAUGUCUAUGUUUUUUAUUUCCUUAAAUACAAACUUAUAUUUUCAACACAUAUGUUAUAAUAUAUAUAUGUAUAUUUAUAUAUUUUUCUUUAUUUUCAUAAAUGCAUUAUAUAUAUUUUGUUAUAAAUUCUAUAGUCCAAAAUUUUAUAUGUAAACCCAUGUGUAUGUCUUUUAUUCUUUAUAAUUUCAUGUAUAUAUUUUGUACCUUUUUCUCUCUUUAUAUUUUUUUGUUUAUUUCCUUCAUUUGCUUAUUGAUUUAUGUUUUCAUUUAUAUUUUGUUCAUUUGAUACUUUACAUAUCGUUGUUUUUUAUGUACAUUAAUUUCGUUUAUUUCUAUGCCAUUGUUGUAUUUAUUAUUAUAUUUUACACUUAAUGUAGCAUUACAUCAUUUUUUACUCGAUUUUAAAAUUUUCAAAAUUGAGAUAAUACUCGCAUUUAGGAUUUUCAAGGAAAUUGAGCCCUAACGUAUUAGGUUCCAAUUUUCUUCGUUAAAUCUAACAAUUGAGAAUUGUCCAUUAAUCAAAAAAUAAAAUGAAAAGCUUGUUGUCGGUAAUUUAAUAUGUUGUAUCCUAACGUAUUGGAUGUGACGUAUUGAUUUCUCGAGACAAAGAUUUUUUUAAAAAAAAUAAUAACAAAGGAAAUAUGCCAAGUUUAGGAUUUUGAGAAAUUGUGCCCUAACGUAUUGGGCCGCGAUUUCUUUAUAAAUCUUAAACAAAUGAAUAUUCUUUUAAAUUUUAUUACACGAGUAUUUUGGACUAAUUCAUUUUUGAGGAAUUAGAAUGUCGUACCCUAACGCAUUGGGUGUGACAUUUUCUUUCUCCGAAAUGAUAAGAGUCUUAAUAAGUAACGCUUUUUAAGUUUUUAUUAAGGAUCAUAUUUUUAAAUUUUCGACAUUAAGACACUAAUUAAUUAACUAGGUACCAAUUUUGGGUGUUACGAGGGUGCUAAUCCUUCCUCGUACGUAACCGACUCCCGGAUCCAUUUUUCUAAAACUCGUAGACCAAAGCUAUUUUUUAGGUGAUCCAAUCACACCUCAAUAAAAGAUUGGUGGCGACUCCCAAUUUUUGUUUUUUUAAAGUCGACAACUAAUUUUUUUUUUUCCAAAAUAAAAGUUGGUUUCGACAAAAGUUUUUGAAGUGACUGCCUAUGUAACAUCUCUAGCCCGUUAGGGAACAAGACGUGCCAAAACCAACCAACAGUCUGUCCAACGAAUUGGAGUGUUAUCGACGGUUUCAACCUUUUUCAAAAUGACUUAAACUCUUAGAAAUAAACUAUGAAAAAUCUCUUUAAAAGCAUUCUUAGAUUUUUGUAACCCCCUGUUUAAAGAAAACAAUAGGAAUGUAUAAAGAAAACUAUAAGUCAUCCCCGUAGCUUUAAAUGGCGUACGCAUAUAAAAGAAAAUCUUAUAAGGCAUCAACAGUGAAAAUAGGUAAAUAUUUGCAAUUAAUAGAUACAAAUAUUUUUCAACAGAAACCAUGCAUGAAACCAACAACAAAAGAACUAAUAGCUCACAAAUAUCAGCAGCUCUGAUGUAGUCCCCUUCUACAAAAUCUUCUACUGCUACCAACAAUCCUGAGGAGAUAAAAUAACUAAGUUUAAUUGAAAUACCUUUAAUUAACAAACACUAGUACUCAUAACAAAAUAGACUUUCCAUGAUAUUUGUUGCGGUGUGUAAAAAUAAUUGCAAAUUAUGUGCAAAUAUACACAAUUGUAACAAAUAAUAAAGUACUAAGUAUAUGAGUACCGUCUCCUUAGGGACUGAACAGGUAGUCAAGAUUUGUGAAAAUAAUUUAAAGAACAAUUUAGAAAGAAAACAAUUAUAAAUGGGGUUUAUGCGAUUAAUUAAACUAAAUGAUUCUAUCCUGCAAAAUUUCAACAGAAUAAUGAGUACUUCAAGAAAUGAGUUACUAAUAUCAAAUAAUGCUAGAAUACUUAAUUCACUUCUGUCUCUGAUCAAUUUAGUUUGGAUGAAAUUGUUACGAAAAUCAUGGCCUAAUUAGCAUGUAACAUUCAUAACCUAUUUCCUUCGCUAGAAUAGGGUUACAGAGUAUUACCGUACAAUUCGAAACAUUCCAUAACAAUAGCAUCUAAUUCAUCAAAUUAAUUAUUAACAAUAUUCAUAAAUAAUUCGAAAUCAAGCAAGACACACAUUCACAGAACUUAAAUCGAGCCUAUGAGGCCCUAAAAAUAUCUUAGGAACAAUCAGAGACUAAUCUAAAACAAAACAGGAGAUUUGGGACAAAAAUGAAAAAAAUUCAAAAAAAGGGUCACACGGCGGUGUGUCUAGGCCUAGACUGUGUGACUCUAGACAUGGCCCUGUGGCCAUCCCACAUGCUCGUGUGCAAGGGCCGUGUAACUCUCUGACUUGGGUCACACAGUCGUGUCACAGCCAGUGUAAACCUUGCACCUAACAUGCUAAGGGCACACCCCCGUGUGUGACACAGGACCAUGUGAUAACCUGUGUCCCAGGUCAUGUGUACCCAAAAGUGACUAAAAUCAUGCUUAUUUUUCAUCCAGUUACAUAAGUACCUAAGCCAAUUCAUAACACAUGAUCAUAAGACUAUAACCACACCUAAAAAAAAACUAAAACAUGUCAAUUUCAACCACCUAAAACCAAACCAAGGUGUCAUACAUGAAGUUACAAAAUAAUGCUUAUACCCAAUGUAAUGACCCAUUUUGCUCGGGCCCAAUUAAAUAUAUUAAAACCAAUAAUAAAUAUAAAUCCAAUAAAAAGUCCAGAUACAAUUUACAUAGGCCCAAAUUCAUAUUGAAACCCAAAUAUUAAAAAAAACCCAAUUUAUAGUAGCCCAAUCUUUAACACUAGCCUGAAUGGCCCAAAACACCAAGUCAACAGAAACCCUAGGUGCGCCGCACCUAGGGUUUUCGCCGUCACCUUCGACCCUCCCACGCACGCUAUGCCAGGUCCACGCUCACCUCCACUCCAGUUGGCUUUCAUACAUCUGCAACAAACGCAAAUGACAACAAAGAAAUGAAGGGAAGAGGCCGUAAAAAUCGUAACAAUAAAAGAAUACAGCAAAUAACAUAUAUUUCAGAUAUAAAAAAUUUUGUAAUUUUCAUUUUUAUUUGAUGCAGCUAUAUAAAGCCGAUUGUAAGUCGAAAAAAUGGAUACGAAAUCAAUAGAAAAACUUCAAAAAAAAAAGAAGAGAAAGUUAAAAGGCAAAUCAGAAAUUUUCUAAAGGUGACUGGAGAUUUUUUUUUUUCGUUGCUUUUCUUUUUUGUGGUUGAUUCAUUAUGUGUGAAAAAAAAAGGAAAAAGAAAGAAAAAGAAGCAAGAAACUUACCUGUGCGAGCACGCCAUCGGAGCUCCGUUUACUCCGUCCAAAUCGGAGUCAAACAGAGUUUCGGGUUUUGAUGCGGCGGAGGGCGAGAGAGGUUUAGGUUUUUUUCUGAUAAUUUAAUAAAAUUGUAAAGUAUUCUGAUUUUAGGGUUUUGAGUGGCAUUUAUAUAGCGCAUAAAACGAUACCGUUUAGGGCCUGUUUCAGUGGCACUAAAAUGGUGCCAUAUUGGCCUGUGACCCGCGUGUUGACCCAACCCGAGGAGAGGAUUCACGCGUUUUGCAGCUAUUGGGCAAUUUGCGCAUUUUGUCCCCCCUCUUUUGUGCCGUGUUCAAAUCAGUUUUUUUAAAAUUUUGCCCUACAUUUUGUUUUUGUUUCAUUUCAGCCAAGGUUGAAAUGUCGCGUUUUGGAGGGACAGGGAUUAUUUCCCACUUGGUCCCCCAAGUUAUUCGCGCAUUACAUUCGGCCCCUUUGCUUUAUUUUAUUUUCAUUUUUUCCUUUAAUUCUGGUUUUUAAUUUAAUUUAAUUUAAUCCUUACCUAUUUAAUGUGCUUGAUUUUCUUUAAAUUUUCUUUAAAUAUUUAUUAUUCCAUUAUUUUUAAUGUAUUUAAUUUUAAAAUUAAUAUUAUUUUAAUGAUCAAGCUCAAUAUUAUUUUAAGUUUGUUAUUAACAUUGUUUAAAUUUAUUGUAUAUUAUUAUUUUAAUUUUAUAUGUAUUAUUUUUCUUAGCUUUUCAUGCAUUAUUUUUUUUAAAUUUAUUAAAUAUUAUUAUUUUAAUUUUCAUAUAUAUUAUUUCAUAUGUUUUUUUAUAUAUAAUUCGUACAUAUUUUUUAUGGUUUUAUUUUAUAAUAUACUUUUAAAAUCCACUUUUAUAUGUUUCAUCUUUAAAGAUUUAUACUAUAAUAUUCUUACGCAAUACUAUUCUUUUUUUUUUGUAUAUAUACACAAUUUAUAUUAAAUUAUUUUCAUUAUACAUACAUACAAAAUCUAUUGUUGAUUUCAUAUUAUUAUAUAUAUAUAUUUAUCUAUCUCUAUAUCUAUGAUUUAUUUUCUUUUAAAAAACCCUAUUUUAUUAUAAUUUGCCUAUUCCAACCUUUUACAUAAAUUACAAUAUACUAUUAUUUAUUUGAAGUUUUUCAUUCCAUAUGUAUUAUUUAUUUAAAUUAAUAUUAUGUAUAUUACUUUAUGUACUUUGAUUUUCUUCUUAUAUAAAAUUUAUUUUAAAAUUUAUUUGGAUACUAUUAUUUUAUGUAGUAUUUAUUUUUUAACUCUAUUUUUUGAUUUAUUUCAAACUUUCAUAUAUGUAUAUAUUAUUUAUUUUAAAUUUAUUUUAAUGUAUAAUUUAUUGAUUAUAGUUUUCCUUUUUUAGUUAUUUUAAAAAACUUGUUACAUUUUAUUUGUGUUAAUUUGCUUGGUACCUCUUUUAAGAUUAGCUUUUAGUUCAUUAGGUUUUAAAUGAUGAUGUUAAUAUUAAUAUGUGACGUAAGAUUAUUGCUCUUGUGUGUAUGAUAUUGUUUAUUUAUAUUUAUUGAUUAUUUGUCAUUCAUUAGAGUACCAUUUGGUUUCCGAAUUAUCACUUCGCGUUAUACAUUAUCAUUUCCUUGCAUUUUAUUCGUAAAAAAGAUUACGUUUAAUAUGACUUAAGUUUUAGAAUCAUUUUAUCCAACAGCCUCCAAGAUAGCGUAACACUUGGUGUUUGGGAUUUUUGAAAAGAUCAUCCCCUAACUUACGGGGUCUCGAUUUUUCGAUAAUUUCAAAUAUACGAACCCUUGUUUAAAAAAAACAACACAUUUUCUUAAAAAUUGUCUCGGGAAUCAGAAAAGGACCGUGUUCCAACUUACGGGAUGUGAUUUCUUCUCUGAAACAAAGAUGAUCAAAAUUUCUAAAGAAUAAAUAAAUUUUGGUGUUUAUUCUUGUCUCGGGAUUUAAGAUAUUGUGUCCUAACUAACGUGAUAUAAUUCUUUUUCUCAAUUAACAAGAAAUACACCCUUCUUUAAUUUUUUAAGUAAUUUUAACAAAAGGAUCAUGUUUUAAAUUUCUUUUCAAAUUUUCAAAUUUUUUGACAUUAAGACAUUAAUUAAUCGAUUAGGUACCAAUUUUGGGCAUGACAAGGGUGCUAAUCCUUCCUUGCAUGUAACUGACUCCUGAACCCGUUUUUCUUGAAUUUCGUAGACCAAAAUUAUUGUUUUAAUAAAAUUAAAAUUUUUUAUUAAAAUGAUUGAAUCGCAAGGUGAUCCGAUCACACCUAAAAAAAAUAUCGGUGACUACUCCCAUUCUUUUUUUUUUAAUUUUCAAAAUAAAAGUCGAUACUAUUUUUGUUUUCAAAAAAACGGUUUCGACACCCAACAUUAUCAUUUUAUAUCACCUACAAGUCAUAACAUAUACACCAACUAAUCUAUGUCAAUCUCAUCAUACCAUACUUAUACAUGAUAUUUACUAUUCCCUGGACAAAACACUCAAGCUCAACUUUGAGUUUAACACGCAUACCAUAUAAAGUUACCAUUCCAGAACAUCAAACAUAUCAAACAGCACACAUAGUUGUGAAACAUUACAAACAUAAAUCAUUUGCCCUAUUGUAUGCCAUAUAACCAAAUUGUUUACAAAAUCUACCAAAAGAGUCUUUAGGAUAGUGUGAUUUUUUGAGUUGAUCUGAUCUCCCCUCCACAAAAUGUAAUCUACAAUAAAAGGAACAAGACAAAAGUAAGCUUACAAAAGCUUAGUAACUUCGAUGAUUACAAGAUAAUCUUAUCGGAUUGAACAUAAAUAAACAAUGUAUGAGAUUUAAGAAAUUAAGUUCCUGUCAAUCACAGCUCACAAUAGGUGAGUAUUGCACAGUACAAUAAUUCAAAUCAUAUUCCAUAUUACUAUUAUUUCAACUUUUGGAAAACACGUAUACUUGGAUAAUUCACAUCAUCAAGAUGUCAUAUGAUAAAUGAUCAUAAACCAAAUCAUAGUUCUAACAAUAUCUCAUUUUAGGUAAUCGAAAGGGUAUCACUGGAAACACAAAAAUUUAUGUGUUUUUAUAAGCCUUUUUAACUUAAAAUCAUGCUGUUUCGGUUAAAUUCUUGUCGAAAAAUAAUUAAAUAUUAUAAAAUAAUUAAAUUAUGUUAAAAAUAUGAACAUGACGAAUUUUAAUUAAUUUUAUAGUUAAUUUUGAUUAAUUUUGACUAUUUUUGACAGAUUCGCACAAAGGGCAAAAACUAGCUCGACAGACAAUGCUCGAAGAAUAAAAUCGAGAAGCAAUUUGAAGCAUCGAGGAAAAUUUAUUUCCAGCCUAAGAUGGUCCAAAAAUGUGUCUUAAUUCAUAAUAUAAUUAAUUUUAAUUUAUUCCCAAUUUAAUUUGGGUUAAAUAAAUUAUUAUUAAUUAAUUAUGGAAAAAAUGGUCCAGUUGAACCGCAUUGGUUGAACCGAAUCUAGUGAACCGAACUAGCCACUAAUUGGGCUGCCCAUAAUUGUCCAUAUGCUGACCCAUAUUAGCAUUUUAGCUGACUAAGCAAGCUUGCAAAGAAGCCCCUGAAGAAAUUUCAACCUUGCAUUUAAACCCCUCUAAAAAAUGUGGCUUUAUGGAUUUGCCCAAGGCUAUAUUUAGGAAAGUUGAAUCUCUCAACUUUGCCAUGUGUGUGGCCGGCCAAGGGGGGUCUCUUUGGCUGAUGGAAUUUGCUAUUUUUAGCAGCCACAAUCAGCUAUAAACGCCGCCCCUUGCUGAUAAUUCAAUUUAUCCCUCACACUCUCAUUCUCUCUUCUCCUCUCUCACUUUCUUUCAACUUUUCCUUUCCAUUUCCUUUUUUGUUCAAGUGUCAAUUUCUUCUCUUCGGAAAGAUGUCCUCAUCAGCCAUUGUUGAGAAGCAAUUAAAUUAUUCAUAAGCCACCUUAAUAGCUGAGGACAACAGAGAACGAAGAACGGAGCAAUCAAUGAAGCCACGGAGAAACACUGGAUUUGCUUCUUGUUCCCUAUCUCUUUAAAUUCCGUUGUUGUUUUGACAAACAUGUUUAUGAAUAUUUAUGCUAUUGAAAUGGUUAUUUUAAUAAAUUUAGCUUGAAUUUAAUAUGUGUUGGGUUGAUUAUAUUUUGCUUGCUUGAAUUAUUGAAAUUGUGUUUGUGCUGUUAUAGACAUCGGUAAGAUGCUUGAUUAAGUAAAAUCAUGCCUAAGUUAUUCUUGCAAUAUUAAUUGUUAGAUAACUAAUGAAUUAAUUAUUAAAUCGUAUUGAAAUUGUAAUUAAUUGACACAAUACUUAAUCAGUGCAUGUUUAUUCUUCUAAGGUAGCUGAAGUUAAUUUAGCAUUGUAUUUGGCGAUACAUAUAUCUUGCAUAACUUGCAAGAUUAUUGUGAUUAAACUGUUUCAAGGUAGAAAUACUCUGUUACCUCACUUAAUCUUUUAUAUGCUUGAGAAGAUUUAUUAAUCGCUUGGAUUGACAUUGAAAAAUGUUCAAGAUAUUGAUUAAUUUAAUAAGUAUAUAUGAGCAAUAGUUAGCAAAUUACCGAGUUGUCGUGAAUUUGUUCGUACUAGUAUAAACAUAAGUUUAAUAAUUCUAAGUUAAAGGAAUGUAAUUAAUCCAACACAAUUAUAUCAUCUUGAUUAAACCUUAUUUGAAAUCGUACAUUAGAACCUUUGUUAUUUUUAAAAUUUUUUUACUUAGUUUUUAAUCAUCUCUAAACGAAAAUAUUUUCCAUCACCAAAGUGUUUUAACAUUAAUUUCAUAAAUAUUCCUUUUUACAGUCGAUGUGGGUACGAUAACUCGACAUUUACUUGUUACUUUAUUACUUGUUACGAUUGUGUACACUUGCACAUUUUCGUCGUUCCAAGUUUUUGGCGCCACUGCCGGGGACUGUUUUAAAAAAACAAGCCAUUAUUUGUGAAUCUAUUUUUACAUUUUGGAUUAUUUAUUUUCCUGUUUAAAUAUUUACUUACUUAAUCUUUCUAUGAUUAUUUCAACUGUUUAUGAGUAUUGACCAGGUUAUCGACUUACUCCCUAUGGACCCUACAAUAGAACGAACCUUUCGACAGCGAAGAAGACAAGCGAACCAGAAAAGGACCGAAGAGAUAAACUUUGAGAAUAUGAAUCAAGGAAAUGGAGUAAACCUUUCUCAGAAUCCUAUCCUUAUUGCUGAUGAUAGGGAUAGAGCUUCAUGACAGUAUGUCGUGCCAGUAUUUAAUGAUCUUAAUCCAGGUAUCUGGAGACCCGAAUCGAGGGACAACAAUUCGAGCUAAAGCCAGUCAUGUUCCAGAUGCUUCAGAUUGUGGGCCAAUUCAGUGCAAUGCCUACUGAAGAUCCUCAUCUUCACUUAAAACUAUUUAUGGAAGUGAGCAAUUCUUUCAAGUUAGCCAGAGUACUCGAAGAUGUAUUACGACUGAAGUUGUUCCUAUAUUCGCUAAGGGACAGAGCUCAUGCCUGGUUGAACUCAUUGCCAUCGAACUCCAUUUCUACAUGGCAAGAGUAGGCCGGGAGAUUCCUCAUGAAGUAUUUCCUGCCGAGGAAGAAUGCCAAGUUGAGGAAUGAGAUCACUACCUUCCAAGAAAUGGAUGACGAGUCCUUGUAUGAGGCAUGGGAAAGGUAAAAAGAGUUAUUACGAAAGUGCCCUCAUCAUGGAAUCCCACAUUGCAUUCAACUUGAGACAUUCUAUAAUGGUCUCAACACUCACACGAGGAUGGUAGUGGAUGCCUCUUCUAAUGGUGCUCUCCUUUCUAAGUCUUAUAAUGAGGCUUACAAAAUUAUUGAGAGGAUUGUCAGCAACAAUUAUCAAUGGCCAACCAAUCGAGCAGCGUCAGGAAGAUGAGUCGUUGGAAUACAUGAAGUGGACGCUCUCACUUCACUCGUAUCUCAGGUAUCUUCAAUAUCCUCAAUGCUUAAGAAUCUUACCACUAAUGGGUCUAACAGUUUUGCAGCCCAACCACCUAACCAAUUUGAGAAUAUAGCCUGUGUGUAUUGUGGAGAAGGACAUUUGUUUGAAGAAUGUCCAUCGAACCCUGAAUCCGUAUAUUACAUGGGUAAUCAGAACUAAAACCGAGGGAGGCAAGGACUGCAAUCCAACUUUUAUAACUCAUCAUGGCGAAAUCACCCGAAUUUUUCCUGGAGUAACCAAGGGGCUGGAAUCAAUAACACUUACGCCUAACCUAGACCAACUCAGCCGCCUAGUUUCCCCCAACAAGUUCAGAAACCAACCCAAGCGAAACCAUCCAAUAACUUAGAGAAUCUAUUGAAGGCAUACAUGGCGAAAAAUGACACCACUCUAAGGAAUUUGGAGAAUCAAGUGGGCCAGCUUGCUAUUGAACUCAGGAAUCGACCAUAAGGUGCUCUACCUAGUGACAUAGAGAAUUUGAGAAAUAUAAGGAAGGAACAAUGUAAAGUGUUGACAUUGAGGAGCGGAAAUACAUUAGAGCCCAACACUGUCAAAGUUGAAAAUGAGCCAACUGAUGCUCAAGAUUCAGAAGAAGUUCAACCAAGUGUUGAAAUUUCAGUUUCACCUAAACCAGAAUCUGUAAAACCUGACAAAGUAACCUUACGACCAGCUAAUUCUGAUCAACUAACAAUGUUGUUAGAUGUAGAAUUGCCGAAGACGAAUCAACCAGAAUCAGUCCUAGUAAUGAAACCACCACCACCCUACCCUAAAAGACAUCAGAAACAGAAGCAGGAGAUUCAAUUCAAGAAGUUCCUUGACGUACUCAAGCAACUUCACAUCAACAUCCCGUUGGUUGAAGCACUUGAGUAAAUAUUGAACUACAUUAAGUUCAUGAAAGAUAUCUUGUCUAAGAAACGAAGACUUGGAAAAUUUGAGAUGGUAGCUCUGACGAAGGAAUGCAGUGCAUAUCUUCAAGACAAACUACCUCCAAAAUUGAAGGGUCCUAUAUGUUUUACCAUACCGUGCAACAUUGGAGCAACAUAUUGUAGUAAAGCAUUAUGUGACUUAGGUGCAAGAUCAACUUGAUGCCUAUGUCAAUAUUUAGGAAGUUGGGGAUAGAAGAAGUUAGACCAACUAUAGUUAUGCUUUAACUAGCAGAUCGAUCCUUAGCACAUCCAAAAGGAAAAAUUGAAGAUGUAUCGGUACGUGUAGAUAAGUUUAUCUUUCCUACUGACUUUGUAAUUCUAGAUUUUGAAGCAAACAAAGAAGUACCGAUCAUCCUAGGAAGGCCAUUCCUAGCAACUGGAAUGACCCUUAUUGAUGUGCAGAAGGGCGAGCUCACUAUGCGUGUUCAGGAUGAUCAGGUAACAUUUAACGUCUUUAAGUCUAUGUGAUAUCCUGACACAAUGGAUGAUUGCUCUGCAGUGUCCAAUUUAGAGGAUUUAAUAGUGGAGAAGGAACUCAACUGAGGACCCACUAGAAAGAAUUUUGACAUCGGAUCCUCUAAAUGAUGAAGAGGAGGAUGAAUACUUAGCUUUGCUAGAAGCUAAUCAAAGGGGAUUUAAUCCGCAAUCCCGGUUUGAAUCUUUGUAGUUAGAAAAGAGGGACUAUUGCCAACCAAAAGCGUCGAUCGAGGAGCCACCUAAAUUAGAACUCAAGGUAUUACCUUCACAUUUAAAAUACGUUUAUUUAGGUAACACUUCUACUCUGCCUGUGAUUGUUUCAGCAGAAUUGACCACUAAUCAAGAAGAGAAACUUAUCUUAGUUUUGAAAAAAUUCAAGAAUGUCAUUGGAUGGACCAUAGCAUAUAUUCGUGGUAUUAGUCUAUCUGUAUGCAUGCACAAGAUUAUCCUAGAAGAUGGCAAAAAAGGGACGAUCGAUGGACAACGGAGACUGAACCCCAUCAUGAAGGACGUAGUAAAAAAGAGAUCAUCAAGUGGUUAGAUGCGAGUAUCAUCUAUCUCAUCUCAGACAGUUUAUGGGUAAGCCCGGUCCAGUGCGUGCCAAAAAAAUGAGGUAUCACGGUCGUAGAAAACGAGAACAACGAGUUGAUACCUACUAGCAUGGUUACGGGAUGGAGAAUCUGCAUCGAUUACCGGAAGCUGAACAAGGCGACUAGGAAAGAUCACUUUCCUUUGCCGUUCUUGGACCAGAUGCUAGAUAGACUUGUAGGACGAGAUUACUACUAUUUUUUGCCUGGAGAACUGAAGUAAAAUGAAAUUAGAUACAUGGGAUUGAUUUACUCACACAAAUUGUAAUAUUUGAAUUUUCUCACUCGAGCUAUGGUAUUUAGGCUGCUCACAUAAGCUGUAGGUCAAGUUUACUUCUGCAACUUUAUUCGAAGCUGCUCACUCAAGUAGUCGAGAAUCCGCAUGCCAUUCGUAUUCAAAUCGUUUACUAAGUUCAUACAGGUACCAUUACAGUUUCUGUACCAUUUCAAACUUGUAAUUGUAUACACACUUUUCAUAUUUUUUUGAAUAGCAAUCUAUAUACAUUUUAAACCUUGUAACAUCAUCACAUACAUACUAUUCAAUUACAUAAUUGUUCACAUCUAUUCAAUACCAUGUACUUAAUCAAAUUUAUCAUUUAAUUCGUAUUUUAUGGUUUGGCCCAUUUGAUACCAAAAACAUCAUAUUCACAACAAUUCAACUUGAAAAAUAAACAAUAUAACACAAACAUAUUAUGAAUUAAUAAAUUAAGUCCCGUAUGAACUUACCUGGAAAAACAACAAGCAAACAAGACGUCGUAGACUAAUCCACAAUUUUUUCUUUUCUCCAAUUAUCUUCUACUUGAUUUAAUUCCCGAUAUAUAUGAUAAUUCAUUUCAAUUUAUCAAUUCCAAACCUCUUAUAACAGUCUAUUUUAAGCAUAUAUUAACUUAAUUUUAUUUUUUUAAUGUUUCUAAUAGUUUUUUAUUUUAUUCAAUUUAGUCCCUAAAACUGAAAUAAACAUAACUUCCACAUUUAAGCUAUGUUUUUCAAUCCAAUUUCAAUUUCAUCCUUCUAUAACCUUAUUUUAUCUAUAUUUAUAAAAAUUUCAUGUCAAUUUUUAAAUAUUUACACAUUAGUCCCUACAUUCAAAACUAACAAUUUUCACUUUACAAAGUCAUUAUUUUUCAUAUCUAAGCUUAAAAUCUAACUAUUUAACACUAAAGUUUCAAGCAUUAAUCAAUGGAAUCAUUUAUAAACUUUAACAAUUUCAAAAAGUUAACAAACGAGUUAGCUAAACAAGCUCAUAAGACUUCAAAAACAUAAAAUUACAUGAAAAUGACUAAAUUGAGCUCACCAAUUGAGGGACUUAAGCUUGGGACUCCAAGGUUGAAUUCUUUCUCCUCAAAAAUGCACUUUUUGGUGGAGAAGAUGAAAUGAGAAAAAAAGUUUUCUCAUUCCACCUAGUUUAAUCUUUUACUAGUUUUCUUUAUUUUACUUAUUUUCAUAUUUUAAUUUUAAUUUUAAUAUAAUUUCUAUAAAAAUCAUGCUAAUUACAUAUAUUAACCGUCCACCACAUUAGAAAAUUAUCUAUUUACCAUUUCAACCUUCAUUUAAUUACUAAUUAAGUCUUUUAGUAACUAGAAAUCUAUAGCAAAUAAUUUUUACUAUUUUUACGAUUUAGCCCUUAUACCUUAAUCAGUCACUAAUUCGACAAAACUACCUAUCCAAAAUUCAAUUUACCUAUAUAAUCAAUUCAUAAAUAUUUAAUAAAAAUAUUACGGGUUCAAUUUUAUAAAAAUGAGGUCCCGAUAUCUUAAUUUUUGACACCACGAACUUUAGGGUCAUUACACUUGUACCUUACUCAACUAUCCAUUCAAUAAAAUUACAGGACCAAAAAUCAAUUUAACACUAUAAUAGACUUAUAAAUAUUAAUUAAUAAUAUUUACUGACUUAAUCAUCAAAAAACAGGAUUCCCAAACCAUCGUUUUUUAUACCACUAAAAAAUGGGUUGUUACACCAUUUCAUUCAUGCCACAUUUUAAUGUUACUAAUGGAUUCAUUUAAGUUAAUUGACUUAUAUAGCUCAAUAUACAUUUUUAAGGUUUGUUAGCCUAUCGCAUUAUGAAAUUCAAGUUUAAAACUAUCAUGAAUGAUUCAUAUAGCGUUUAACCCAACACAGGUUCUUUUAAAGCAUAGUUCCUAACAUUUUCAUACAUAUAUGUGGACAUACAUACAUACAUAAAUUUCAUUUCCAUUUAUUUUACUAAGGCAUGCAAGAUUCUAAAUUGCCAUAAUAUUAAUAGAAACAAAUUUACCCAUAUCAAUUUCUUUAUAGCUUACUUAGAUCACCACCAUAUAACCAUAUUUUUCCAUUCCACUAUUAAUUCUUAUCAUAUCUUCGAUUGACGCCCGCUGUACUAACAAUAAAAAAAUAAACAUACACUACUGGAAAUCCAUAUGCACCAAAGAGCACCGAGGUCCUAUGGUCGAAGGCGACAUAAAGCUCCAUAUAUCAUAAGGGCCUUCGAAGAGGUAACAUGAGUUGAAUGGUCAAAAAAAAUACUCGACCAAAGGUAACACAACAAAACUCCAAGAACAUAUCACAUAAAUCCAAAGCCCACAUAUCUCCAGUAAAAAACUCCAAUGAAACAUAAACAUGAGACUCUAAUUGGCAUGCUAACCGUAUCCUAACCUUUCUACCAAGCUUACAAAGACUUAAAUGUUCAUAACAAUGGUUUAUGGUUCAUUACACCCAUAACAUUCCCUAAAAAGUGUCAUAUUGAUUUAAUUUCAUAAUAGAAGGUUCUUAGACCUCACAUGUUCAAUAUCUUUUUUCACAUAGUCCUUGUCAUCUUUCCAUUUUUAUAUCAUAGCAUAACAAAAAUUAUGAUUUUUGUGAUAGAUUAUAAUUAUAUAUACUUUGCUGUGUUUAAUUCCCUUAUAUUCUAGUUAUAUUGAGUGCUUAAUUGUGGAAAUUGUGUUUAUUUUGAUGUAGGAGCUGCAAAUAUUAAACUUAAUUACUAAAUUGCUAAAUUUUAGUUAAAUCGGUGUAUCAAGGGAAUUUUAAACUUAAUAGUGGACUUGUGACGUGAGCCAAUUUGGUAGCUAUCAACUUUAUGGACCUAAUUAAGGAGGUCUGAAUUUGGGAAGGACUAAGAUGGUAAUUAUGAAAAUUUGAAUUUGAAUUUCACUCAAACGUUAUAUGCGACAAACUUGUUUUGUUUCGUUAGGAUUACUUUACUAUUAUUAGGUUUAUUUUUAGUAUAUAUAUGUAUGUUGAGGGAGUAGUCGAGGGAGGAAAAAAACAAUUAGUUUUUAUUUCUUUUUCUUUUCAAAUUGAAUUGUCAUAAAUGAAUUAUAUAAGUGCCAAGGAGUUGACUUAUGUGUGUUGUUGUGGCUUCCUCAAUUUCAUAGCCUGCAUGAUAGACUCUAGGGAAAUAAAAGUACAAGAUUAAUUUUAUUGUAGCUAUCUGAAUUAAGUGAUUUUGGUUUGUCCUCAUGAUUCUUAAUGCUAUCAUUGAGUUUAAUAUGGAAUGCUAUUGUGCCCAGCUAUUUAAUGGUACGCUUUAAUUUAAAUGCUUGGUUUGAAUAAAUUAUAUCAGGAGAAUUAUUCUUUUUGUGACUUUUUCGAAUAUGUAGACUAAGCAUUUGGGUAUGAGAAAUUGAUUUUUAAGUCUAUGAUCAGAAUUACAAUUGGAUGGAACUUACACCUCUGGAUUGGAAGUUUGCUAAGAAUUGAUUUUCAUUAUUUUUAAUAUUCAACUUUUAAUUAACUUAUUUUUUAUCUUUAAUUAUUAGUUCAAUAACUCAAACACUACAGGAAAAUAGACUUUUAGCGGCAUUUUUAGCGGCAUUUAGACCAAAAACGUCGCAAAAGUUGUACGUUAGUGGUGCAAGCGAACAAACGCCGCAAAAGGAUAGAGCUAUAGUGGUGUUUGUGUUAAAAAUGCCGCAAAAGAUCAGCAUUAGCAGUGUUUAUGAGAGAAACGCCGCAAUAGUUCAAGCAUUAGCGGCGCUUUUCCAAAAACGCCGUAAAAAUGUUAAUCAAAACGCAUCGUUCUAUCUUGAGCCUAGUGGCAUUAGUGGUGCUUAUGCAAAAACACCGUUAUAGGUCGAGCAUUAGCGGCGCUUUUCUAAAAAUGCCGCAAAAAAUGUUAAUCAAAAUGCAUUGUUCUAUCUUGAGCUUAGUGGAAUUAGCGACUUUUAUGCAAAAUGCCGCUAUAGGUCAAGAAUUAGCGGCGGUUUUCUAAAAAUGCCGCAAAAAAUGUUAAUCAAAGCACAUUGUUCUAUCUUGAGCUUAAUGGCAUUAGCGGUGGUGCUUAUGCAAAAACGCCACUAUAGAUCGAGAUUUAGCGGCGCUUUUAUAAAAACAUCGCAAAAAAUGUUGAUCAAAACGCACCGUUCUAUCUUGAGCUUAGUGGUAUUAGCGGCGCUUAUGCAAAAGCGCUGCUAUAUAUAUGUCGAGAAUUAACGGUGUUUUGCAAAAAACGCCACAAAAUGUUGAGCAAAAUGACUUCGUUUUGUGGAGCUUUAGUGGCGUUUUAGAUAAAAACACCGCAAUAAAAUUAUUUUAUUUUAGGCUUUAGGAUUUAGAAUUUAAGAUUUAAUGCCUAUGGUUUAGAUUUUUAGGGUUUAUGGUAUAAUGUUUAUUAUUUUGGGUUAAGGGUUUAUGUUUUAGAGUUUGGGUUAGGGGUUUAAGGUUUAAGGAUACUAUUUGAAAACUGAAGAAUAACAUUUGGAUUUUAAUUACUGGGAUUCAUGCCAUUUUGUACUACACCUAUAUUAUUUAAUAUAAGAAUAUAAAAUAUAUGUUUUGUACUACACUAACAUUGGCCACACGAAUUCCCAAAGAUAUGGUUUAGGAUUAUGAUUUAGGGUUUAUGGUUUAGAGUUUAGGGUUUGGGUUUUAUAAUUUAAGAUUUAUGGUUUAAGGGUUUAGAGAAUAUUGGGGAUUGGAUUUUGGGGUUUAGUGGUUGGUGUUUGUGGUUUAUGGGUUUAAGGUUUAUAUAUGGUAUAUUGGGGUUUGGAUUUUGGGGUUUGGUGGUCUAUGGGUUUAAUGUUUAGGGUUUAGGGUUUAAUCUUGGAUUAUUUAGAAUAUAAAUCUAAAUAAUAUAAAUAUAAAUUAUUAUUUAAAAAAUAUAUAUAUCAAAAUGGGUUAAAUCCCAAAAGCAUACAUGAACAAUGGUUUAAUGUUCAAUUGUAUACGUGAACUUUUAAUUAAUUUGAUGGAGAUCUUGUAAAAUAUUAACACAAUUAUUGAUAUAAAUAACAUCAUUUUUUAUUUAUAUAUUGCAUACAUAAAUAUUUAUAUUUAUUCAAUAUAAAAAUAUAUUGAUGUAUUUAUUUUUUAAAAUGUGUAUUUAUUUUUUAAAAAUGCAUUAUUCUCCUUUUUUAUUAGUUAAUAUUUUCUCUUGUAGAUAUAAUUUAAAAUAAAUUACAAAAUUUUUAAAUUUUGUUGAAUUUUUAAAUAUUUAUUGGUAUGAAAGGCAUUAGCAAUGUUUAUGUAAAAAAGGCCGCAAAAAGCAAUUUCAUGUUAAUAUAAAAUGGCGUCGUUUUUUUGUGGUGAUUGUAGUAGCAAUGGCGGCGCUUUACCAGAAACGCCGCAAUAGGUGAUGUAUUACCGGCGUUUUUUUGUAGAAACGCUGCAAAUAUUCUUUAAGUGUUAGCAAAACGGCACUAUUUUGUGCUUUGCUUUUAGUGGCGCUUUUAAAAAACACCGCAAAUAUGUAUUAGGAGUUCAAGAAACGGCACCGUUUUCUAUUGUUAUUACCGGCGCUUUUCUUAAAACGCCGCAAAUAUGUUUUAAGAUAUCUUAAAACGUCACCGUUUUGUCCAUGUUAUUAGUGGCGUUUUAGAUGAAAAUGCCACAAAUUUGAGUUAAUUGUUUAGAAACGACUGCGUUUUGUAUUUAUAGUUAGUGGCGUUUUGUUUAUAAACGCAGCAAAUGGUUUAAUUUUUAUACGAAAACGGCGUCGUUUUUUUUCCAUCCAUAUUAUCCAAACUUAAACCCGAAAUCCCCAAAUUUUCCCCAUUUCCCCCAAUUCCAAAUUUCCCCAAAUCCCUAACAUUUCCCCUAACCCUUUCAUUUUCCCCGUCAAAAAAUCAAGCAUUCCAUCUGCCGUUGAAGAUUCCAAGCCGACCACCUGCUGCGUUGCCGUCUCCUCUACUGCAUCUCCAUCACCGUCGGUCUCUGCUGCCGCAACCAUAGGUAAAUUGAUGAUAGGCCUUUAAAAUUUUUUUUUGACUGCUAUGAAAUUUGCCUGUACUGCUUGGUAGAAAACACUUGAUUGAAAAGUAUUAGAUUUAUUAUUUGGUUUCAAUCUCCCCCAAGGAAAUUAAAACAACAAAGCUACAGAUGCAAACACUGACUUAUUGAUAAACAAAGCUACAGGAAAUUCCUGUUCAUUGAUCCUCUACUUUUAACCUUUUUUUUUUACAGAAUAUAAUAUACCUAAAUAUGAAGUUCUUUUUUUGUUGGUAAUUACAAAUUUUUUAUCAAAUCUGAUUAUUUUAUUGAGAAAUUAUAUAUCUUUUGAAUUGUUUUUGUUGUUGUAUAAAUAUUAUUAUUUUGUCAUAUUAAAAAUUCACCAUAAUCUAAUAUAUGUCUUUAAUAAGAUGAAUAAAAAUAAGACUCCUCUGUACAGGUGAAAAUGUUUGAUAAAUUUUUUGAAAUUGGGUCCGUGGCAGGGAGAUCUAAAGUUGGCGAUGAAUAUAAAAUCUAUGCGGUGGAUCUACGAACAUUGCAAUGUGGGUUCUUUUUCAAAGCAAAGUGGGCAAUCUUUAAUUUAUUUCUCAUGCAUACACGCCCAUAGCCUGCCUACAAACAAACAUGUUACAUGCAUGCCCUAGUUAUCAUAUAUCGUUAGAGAGGGACAGUGACCCUCAUUCAACGAUAGCACCCAUUUUUAAACCAUCUCCUUCCUAUUUUUUCUUUCAUCCAUUGACACAUGUUAAGUAAAUCAGCCUAGUUUAAUCAACAUAGGGCUGAAGUCCAAAUAACAUUUGAUUCUCCAGCCAAAUAACAUUUAAUUGAUACUUUUUAUGCAGGAUUUUGAUAGUAUGAACUGAUAGAUCACUUGGAAUUUCAGCUCGUUCGUAUUAGUCAUAAUGAAGUGAAGGAGGAAAGCCAGUAUAGCUAAUCUUGUCCAGAAUUUGCAAGGUCGAAUCUAUGAUCUAUUUUUAAAUUACCUAAUUCAAUUAAAUUGUAUUUAAAGUUUUAUUUUAAAUCUUCUAUUUUAUUUUAUUACUGUACAUUUUGAAGUUGUGCAUUUUAUUCAAUUACAAGCAAUCAUUUAGUUGCACUAUUUGAGCUUGUUAAUUUGCAAUAAUUUGUAUUUAAAGUUAUAUUUUAAAUAUUUUAUUUAAUUUUAAUGACGGAAAUUUUUUUCAAAUAUUUUAAUUUAUUUUAAAGUUCAAAUUUACUACAUAAUUUAAAGUUCAAAUUUCAUAACUUACAUAAAUUACAUAACUUACAUAAUUUAAAGAUCAAAUUUCAUAACUUACAUAAUUUACAUAACUUACAUAAUUUAGAGAUCAAAUUUCAUAACUAUUUAUGAACGAAGAUAUUACGAUUAUGAAGAUAUUUAUGAAUUAUGAAGUAGUAAGAUUUUACGAUUUUUUAAAUAUAUGUAAUAUUAUAAUUUUAAUAUUGCUCAUGUUAUAUAAUUUAACUAUUUUGCAUGUACUAUUAUUGUUGUUAUUUGUUACUAAAAUUUCAACUAUUUUAUGUGUAUUGCAGGAAAAAUGAGUAGAAGAAGAUUACGAAAUUUAAGUAUUGUCCAGGAUACUCCAAAUUCGGAAUAAGGAAAUAGUGAACAGCAGACAGCUAUUGGAUCUUCGAAUGUGCCGGAGACACUUGACGAGCCUGCAGAAUUUCAAAGUAAUGUUAAGUUUAUUUUACAUGUGUGUUGACUUUUAUUAUUGCUCGUAUUUCUCAAUUUCAAUAUAAUAAUAUAUUAUUUUCCAGCUAAAAGUGGUGGGACGCGUAGAGGUUGAGGACGUACGCUACUUAAAGAUUUAUACGGAUUAAAUCCUGUCGAGCAUGUCAAAGUAAGAAGAAACAGUCAUGGUCAGCCUGUUGGAUUAGAAGCUCGAAUUUUAGCAGGCUAUUUGGGCAUUAUAGCAUGAAAUGCCAAUAUGUUGCCCAUCAACUACGAAUCAUGGCAUCACAUGCCUGAUAGCAACAAAAAUCAAGCUCUCGAUAAUAUUAAGGUAACAAAAUGUGAAUGUAAUUUAUAAUACUUUGGUUUAAGUUUCAUUUAUAUUUACUUUCUAAACUUUUGUUUAUUAGGAGAGAUUUGCUUUAUAGGUCUCGGAUGCCUAUAUCAAGAAGGCAUUGGGUAAAAAAUGGAGAGACCAUAAGAGCACUUUGAAAAAAGAAUAUUUUAAGAAAGACAUAAGCCUAGAAGAAAAAUUGCGAAAUGUCCCGCCGAGAAGGCUGAGGUACCAAUGGGAAGAUGCAGUUAGAUUAUGGAAUUCAAAGAAAUGACAGGUAUUACGUACUUCCAAACUCUUAUAAACUUUUCGGUUUAUAGUAUUUACUAUAUACGUAAUAAUAAUUUUAUUAUGUAGGACCGUGAGUGAGUUGGAACAAGUAGCAGGCAAAAACAAAAAUUCACGCAUAUGGCAAGGUCGAGAAGUUUUGCUUGUGUAGUUGAGGCCGAGGUAUUAUGAAUUUAUUAAUUCUGUCAAAUAUUAAUCACUUUCUACUAUUAAAUUAUAUUUUUACUACUAUAUUGUAGGAAGUCUUGUCUGGUCAAAAAGUUGGACACCUUCAGCUUUUUGACAUUACGCAUAGGAAGAAAGAUAGAUCUCCGAUGACAUCCGAAGCUGGAGAAAUUAUGGUAUAUUUACUUAAUAAAAUUUGAUUUAUUGUAAAUAUUUAUAAUGUUUAAUUAUAAUGGUUUAAUUCUUCGUUAGUAGUUUUAAAUAAUGUUAAGUUAUGUUGCAUUCCUUUUUAUAAUAUAUUUCGUUUCUAACUCUUUAAUUGAUUUAUUAGGAGAAACUAAAAGAUAAGAAGGCGGAGUAUGAAGUGAUUGCUUCAACUAAUAGUUCUGUUAAUUUUGAGGACAUCGAUAACAUAAUUAUUAAUGAAGUUUUGGGUCCUGAAAGGUAUGGUCAAGUUUGAUUUCAAGGAUCUAGUGUUACCCUGACCCAAUAUUUUGGAUCUAGCUCGUAGCAAUACAUGCCUUCCGGGAGUCAAGCUCAAGUUGAAGUUCAGAGGUUAAUAGAGCAGAUAACCCAGAUGCAAGCUAGCACAGUUGAGGAAAAUUCUCAACUUAGAGUGGAGGCAGUAGCGAGGGAAGCAGAGCAAAACAGAAAGUACGAUGAACUCCAGCAACAGCUUCAGACUAUGAUGAAGAUGUUCCAGCAGUCGCAAAUGCCGCCAUCUUAGACAUUUGUUUUCUUCUAACUUUUAACAUUAUUGUAAGAAUAUUUUGAAUUAUAUUUCAAUUAUAAUUUAUAUCAUAUAUCUUUCAUAUAAUUUUCUAUCAUCUAGAUUUGUUGUUUUUGGUUGGAUUUUCGCAAAAAUAUUUGCUGUUUCUGGUUGGAUUUCAUACAGGAAGAGUUGGAUAUUGAUGAAAAAUGUAUACUGCAAAUUUGUCCAAAUUAGUGGCGUUUGUAAAAAAAAGCGCCGCUAAAGACCACGAACUAUAGCGGCAUUUUCAAAAAAUGCGUCGCAAAGUGCCAUGACUUAUAGCGGCGCUUUAUAAAAAAGUGCUGCUAAAGAUCUUGAAUUUUCGCGGCAUUUUCUACAAAAGCGCCGCUAAAGGCAAUUACUUAUAGCGGCGUUUUAUAAAUUAGCGCAGCUAAAGGCCAAGACCUUUAGCGGCAUUUUCUAUAAAAGCGCCACUAAAAGUCAUGAUCAAAUUUUAGCGGUAUUGCCGCUAAAGGAAAAAAACGUCGCUAAAUGUUUGUUUUCCUGUAGUGAAAAUCUCUCUCUUUUUAUUUUUAUUGUCUAAACUUUGAAACUAAUAAAUUUAGCUCUAUUGGGAUUUGACCUGAUUACACUAUUUCUACAAGUUAGAUUAGGAGGAAAUGAGUUAGAAAAACACAUUAUUACCUUAUUGAGCUUUCUCUUUCUAGUUUCCAUUUUCUCUCUAAAAAAACCAUAAAACCCUUAGCUUGAAUGGUGAAGUUGAUGGAGGAAAUGAGUUUAAAAGUUGAUUCUCCACUUGAUUUUUGUAAAAAAAAUCGAAGUUUGGGAUUGAAAUAUGACAUAAAUUAAAGAUAAAUAAAAAGGAGACCAAUAAAGGUGUCCAUGGGUUGAGUUGACCUGAGGCCCGAUUAAAAAAAAAUUCAAACCCAGACUAACCUAAAAAACUAAUUUUACUAUUAAAAAUUUAAUAAAAUAUUUAAAAUAUAUAUUUUUAUAAUUAAAUUUAAAUUAAAAAAUAUUUUUUUAUUAUUUAAAUUAAAUUUGAAUCUAACUCGAAAUACAAAAAUUCUUGUCUAAACUCAAACCAAACCAGGUAAAGCCUACUGAGUAAGGCUAACUACAUGAUUUUUGGACAGAUCUAGUGAACAAAAUCUCCUUCCCCCGUAAUGGCCAUCUAGUUUGGGGAUGGGGUUUUGCUUUUUGCCCCCUUCCCUCUAUUAUAAACAUAUAUUUAUUAGUUCAAUGGUAGGGACCAUGCCCCUUCAAUCUCAUAUAUAUAUAUAUUAGUUCUCAAUGGUAGGGAUCUACUUCUACUGGUUUAAAACUUAAGUAGUUUCACAUCUUUCCGUAACUUUUUAUACAAAUAAUAUUUUAGCUAUCUAACAAUUGAAUUUAUCAUGAUAUUUGUACUUUUCAUACAUGUAAUUUGUUAAAUUGAUUCGAUAACUGUAUCACAGCUCCACAAAAUGUAAUCUACAAGAAAAGGAACAAGACACAAGUAAGCUUACAGAAGCUUAGUAACUUCGAUGAUUACAAGAUAAUCUUAUCGGAUUGAACAUAAAUAAACAAUGUAUGAGAUUUAAGAAAUUAAGUUCCUGUCAAUCACAGCUCACAACAGGUGAGUAAUGCAUAGUACAAUAAUUCGAAUCAUAUUCCAUAUUAUUAUUUCAACUUUCUGAAAACACUUAUACUUGGAUAAUUCACAUCAUCAAGAAGCCAUAUGAUAAAUGAUCAUAAACCAAGUCAUAGUUCUAACAAUAUCUCAUUUCAGGUAAUCAGAAGGGUAUCACUCAUUCGAGUUAACAUUUAUAACUUUAACCGACUCACGAUGCUGCUUACACAAACUGUAGAGAAUCCGCAACACAUGUAGGAUCUCAAGCCAUCACUACGGUCUAUAUCAUGGGUACAUAGUACCUGCUAAAUAAUCACCAGCCCACAACCUACUAUUUACGUACACCACGUACUUAUCAUACUCAUUUAUUAUUUAUUCUUUAAGCAUUCAAUGGAUAAUUACAACAUUAUAUCAAAUUCUAAUAAAACAUGUAGUAUGUAAGAAAUCAUUAUAAACAUAAAAAUAAUAGCACGAACUUACUGGACUGAUUUGCUGCAGCAGCCAAAGUAUAGGGACUACUUAGCUGCUUUGUCCUUUCCAUGGUUAUCAACAUGUUCCUAAUCUAAAAUAAUAAUUCCAUUCAAUUAACCAACACCAACAACAAAAUUAACUUAUCAUUUUUGACAUUUUUACGAAAUUACCCCAAACAUUUUACUUUUAUGUAAUUUAGUCUCUAAGCUCAAAACAUGCAAUUUAACCAUAUGAAAGUUAACUUACCUUGGCAUUACAAUAAUUUAGGAAUCAAAAUACAUUGGUACAAACAUAACAAUCCUUUGACAUCUUACACAUUCAUUUACUUUCACAAAUACAUCAAAUAGGUUAGUUUGAUUACGAGCCAUAAGCUUAAAACAAAUUCACAUAGUGAAAUAACAAUUCAUCUUAUCACAUGUACUAACCAAAUCAUAUUCAACUUGCAACACAUAAUUUCAUUCAUAUACAUAUAUAUUCAUUCCAAACAUAUUGAUUCCAUUUAGUACCAUUUUCAUUUCUGUUUUUUGCCUGGAGAACUAAAGUAACAUGAAAUCAGAUACAUGGGAUUCAUUUGCUCACACAAGUUGUAAUAUUCAAAUUUUCUCUCAGAGCUGUGAUAUUUGAAUUUGCUCACACAAGCUGUGAUAUUUAGGCCACUCACAUAAGCUGUAGGUUAGGUUUACUUUUGCAACUUUAUUCGAGGCUGCUCACUCAAGCUAUCGAGAAUCCGCAACACAUGUUGGAUCUCAACCAUCAAUAAAGAAGCCCCUAACCAAUGUCUGAUUUCAUUUUGAACCUUAACAACAUGCCAUUCAUAUUCACAUCGUUUACUAAGUUCAUACAAGUAACAUUAUAGUUUCUGUAUCAUUUCAAACUUGUAAUUGUAUACACACUUUUCAUAUUUUUUUGAAUAGCAAUCUAUAUACCUUUUAAACCUUGUAACAUCAUCACAUACAUACUAUUCAAUUACACAAUUGUUCAUAUCUAUUCAAUACCAUGUACUUAAUGAAAUUUAUCAUUUAAUUCGUAUUUUAUGGUUUGGUCCAUUUGAUACCAAAAACAUCAUAUUCAUAACAAUUCAACUAGAAAAACAAUAUAACACAAACAUAUUAUGAAUUAAUAAAGUAAGUCCCGUAUGAACUUACCUAGAAAAACAACAAGCAAACAAGACGUCGUGGACUAAUCCACAAUUUUGUCUUUUCUCCAAUUAUCUUCUAAUUGAUUUAAUUCUCAAUAUAUAUGAUAAUUCAUUCCAAUUUAUCAAUUCCAAACAUCUUAUAACAUCCUAUUUAAAGCAUAUUAACUCAAUUUUAUUUUUUGAAUGGUUCCUAUAGUUUUUUAUUCAAUUUAGUCCCUAAAAUUGAAAUAAACAUAAAUUUCACAUUUAAGCUAUGUUUUUCAAUACAAUUUCAAUUUCAUCCUUCUAUAACCCUAUUUUAUCUAUAUUUACAAAAAUUUCAUGUCAAUUUUGAAAUACUUACACUUUAGUCCCUAUGUUCAAAACAAACAAUUUUCACUUUACAAAGUCAUUAUAUCUAUGCUUAAAAUCUAACUAUUUAACACUAAAGUUUCAAGAAUCAAUCAAUGGCAUCAUUUAUAAACUUUAACAGUUUCAAAAAAUUUAACACAUGAGUUAGCUAAACAAGCUCAUGAGACUUCUAAAACAUAAAAUUACAAGAAAAUGACUAAAUUGAGCUCACCAAUUGAGGGACUUAAGCUUGGGACUCCGUGGUCAAAUUCCUUCUCCUCAAUAAUGGAGUUUUCGGUGGAGAAGAUGAAAUGAGAAAAAAAAUGUUUUCUCUUUCCACCUAGUUUUAUCUUUUGUUAGUUUUCUUUAUUUUACUUAUUUUCAUAUUUUAAUUUUAAUUUUAAUUUUAAUAUAAUUUCUAUAAAAAUCAUGCUAAUUACAUAUAUUAACCGUCCACCACAUUAGAAAAUUAUCUAUUUACCAUUUUAACCUCGAUUUAAUUACUAAUUAAGUCUUUUAGUAAUUAUAAAUCUAUAGCAAUUAAUUUUUACUAUUUUUAUGAUUCAGUCCUUAUACCUUAAUUAGUCACUAAUUUGACAAAACUACCUAUCCAAAAUUCAAUUUACCUAUUUAAUCACUUCAUAAAUAUUUAAUAAAAAUAUUACGAGUUUAGUUUUACGAAAAUGAGGUCUCAAUAUCUCAUUUUUUGACACCACUAACUUUAGGGUCAUUAAACUUGUACCUUACUCAACUAUCCCUUCAAUAAAAUUAUAGGACCAAAAAUCAAUUUCACACUAUAAUAGACUCAUAAAUAUUAAUUAAUAAUAUUUACUGACUUAAUCAUCAAAAAACAGGAUUCCCAAACCAUCGUUUUUUAUACCACUAAAAAAUGGGUUGUUACACCAUUUCAUUCAUGCCACAUUUUAAUGUUACUAAUGGAUUCAUUUAAGUUAAUUGACUUAUAUAGCUCAAUAUACAUUUUCAAGGUUUGUUAGCCUAUCACAUUAUGAAAUUCAAGUUUAAAACUAUCAUGAAUGAUUCGUAUAGCGUUUAACCCAACACAGGUUCUUUUAAAGCAUAGUUCCUAACAUUUUCAUACAUAUAUGUGGACAUACAUACAUACAUAAAUUUCAUUUCCAUUUAUUUUACUAAGGCAUGCAAGAUUCUAAAUUGCCAUAAUAUUAAUAGAAACAAAUUUACCCAUAUCAAUUUCUUUAUAGCUUACUUAGAUCAUCACCAUAUAACCAUAUUUUUCCAUUCCAUUAUUAAUUCUUAUCAUAUCUUCGAUUGACGCCCGCUGUAAUCCUAAUAAAACAACAAACAUACACUACUGGAAAUCCAUAUGCACCAAAGAGCACCGAGGUGCUAUGCUCGAAGGCAACAUAUAACUCCAUAAAUCGGAAGGGCCUUCGAAGAGGUAACAUGAAUUGAAUGGUAAAAAAAAAAUGCUCGAAGAAGGGUAACACAACAGAAUUCCAAGAACAUAUCACAUAAAACCAAAGCCCACAUAUCUCCAGUACAAAAUCCAAUGAAACAUAAACAUGAGACCCUAAUUGGCAUGUUAACCGUAUCCUAACCUUUCUACUAAGCUUACAAAGACUUAAAUGUUCAUAACAAUUGUUUAUGGUUCAUUACACCCAUAACAUUCCCUAAAAAGUGUCAUAUUGAUUCAAUUUCAUAAUAGAAGGUUCUUAGACCUCACAUGUUCAAUAUCUUUUUUCACAUAGUCAUUGUCAUCUUUCCAUUUUUAUAUCAUAGCAUAACAAAAAUUAUGAUUUUUGUGAUAGAUUAUAAUUAUAUAUACUUUGUUGUGUUUAAUUCCCUUAUAUUCUAGUUAUAUUGAGUGCUUAAUUGUGGAAAUUGUGUUUAUUUUGAUGUAGGAGCUGCAAAUAUUGAACUUAAAUGCUAAAUUGCCAAAUUUUAGUUAAAUCGAUGCAUCAAGGGAAUUUUAAACUUAAUUGUAGACUUGUGAUGUGAGCCAAUUUGGGAGCUAUCAGCUUGAUGGACUUAAUUAAGGAGGUCUGAAUUUGGAAAAGGACUGCCAAUUUGAAUUUGAAUUUCAUUAAAUGUGACAGACUUGUUUUGUUUCGUCAGGAUUGCUUUACUGUUAUUAGGUUUAUUUUUAGUAUACAUAUGUAUGUUGAGGGAGUAGUCGAGGGAGGAAAAAAACGAUUAGUUUUUAUUUCUUUUUCUUUUCACAUUGAAUUGUACGUGAUAAAUGAUUUAUAUGAGUACCAAGCAGUUUACUUAUGUGUGUUGUUGUGGCUUUCUCAAUUUCAUAGCUUGCAUGAUAGACUCUAGGGAAAUAAAAGUACAAUAUUAAUUUAAUUGUACCUAUCUCAAUUAAGUGAUUUUGGUGUAAAACUUAGGUGGUUUUACACUUUUGCGUAACUUUUUAUACAAAUAAUAUUUUAACAAUCUAAUAAUUGAAUUUAUCAUGAUAUUUGUACUUGUUAUACAUGUAAUUUGCUAAAUUGAUUCUAUAACUCUAUCAUAUCAAUCUAAAUAAUUGUCUAUAUUAAUAAAUAUUUGAAGGUUGGAAACUUUUUUACAUAAAAUAAGUAGUUAGAAACUUUUAACUUAUGCCAAACUUGACAUGCAUGAUUUACAUAAAUAGAGUAUGAAAUUUGACAGAGUUGUUAAAAUAUUAAUUGUAUAAAACAUUAUGAAUAGGUGUAAAACCACUUUAAUUUUACUUCAUAUUCUUAAAUCUUCUCACUAAUCCCCUUUUCAAUAAAAUUAAUCCCAAUAAUUUAAUAUCACAUUAAUAUUAUAAACCAGUUAUAGUAUUGUGUGAAAUGAUCAAAAUACUCACAUAUGACAAAGUUACCAUUUUACCCCUUUUUUAUUCAACACUUACAUUAAUCACCAUCACUUGACACUUAUCAUAUUUAAACUUCAUAAUAAAACUAUUACAGAAAUCCAUAUCAUUCUCUUUUUCCUCUUCUCCUUAUACAGGUUUUGUACUUCCCUUAAGAGUUCAACCAGAACUACCCCAGCACGAGGUGCCAUUAGAGGGUCAUACCAACUAAAAAUAACGACAACAUACCCUUUUCCCAUUUCCAUAAUUUGGGCACCCAAGGAAUUUUCUACUUGGGUUUUAUUACACCAUGAUGUCCUUAACAUAGCUGGGAACCACAAUAGCAAACAAGUAUAGCAUGUGGUGACUCCUCUUCUUCUUCUUCUUCUUCUUUGUUGUUUGGUUCAAAAAGUGAGAGUCCUCUUUUUUAAGGGUUUACUUAUUUUAAAGUUAAAAUAGGUUUUUAAAGUGCAAAAAAAAGAUUAAUAAGUAUUUCUAAAUUUGUAAAAAAUGUCUAAAUAUGUGGCGCUUAGUUGGUGAACACAUUGGCAUUUAAUGCCCUAAACAAGCCACGUGUGAUUCUUGUUGCCUCUUUAACGAUGAUUAAUGAAAUAGUGACUAUUUUGUUAUAAUACAAAAACGUUAGUGACCAUUUUAUAAGAAGUUAAACUUUAGCGACUAAAACGUUAUUUAACUCAAAUAUAAGUAAUUAUUUUUUUAGUUUACCCAUAAUAAUAUCAAACAAUUAUAAUAUUGAAAAUUAUUACCUUGAUAUUAAUAUUUUAAUAUUUUUUAAAAUAAAAUUAAAAAUUUAUUAAUAAUAUAAAAAUAUUAAACUUAACUCAAAUUAAUUUUAUAUAAAAAUCAAUUUACUUGUAAAGGGUUAUUUUUUAGAAAAUGGCUUACACAUCUCAAUAGGGAAAGUCAAUUUCCCAAAAAAAAAAAAAGACUUAUUUCUAUUCAUCGGUAAAUUAUUUUCUAUUGACCAAGUUGUUUUCCACGAAACAAAUACAAAACAAAUGCAAAAAAAAUCAGUAUUCCAUAAAUCAUUUUACAUGAAACAAGCACACCCUUAAUUACCUUUUUUUUUGGUGAAACAAAAUAAAAGCAAACAAAAGAAAUAAAACUAGUCCCUCAAGCGGGGGUCUUCCAAAAGGUGAAAUCCUGUUCUCUUAUCGUGAACUUUUUUAACCGAACUAUCUGCAAACUUAUUCUCAUCUUGAGGGAUAUGUUGAAUACUCCAAUGAAGAACUUUUGAUAAGAGCCAGUGAAUUCUUUUAAUUAGAGCUUACUUGAAACCUUCUACAAUUACUUCCUAAAUGACAUUAGCAACUUCAAGACUAACUGUUUGAAUUAAGAUACACUCGAUUAUCAGACCUUGUUCCUUAUUAAUAAUUCUCAUUACCAAAAUUUUCAUGCAAUUAAUUAGUUAUUUUAAUGGCAAAGUUAUUUAAGGUAAAUAAAAUUCAAUGAGCGAGCACAUACCCAAAAUAGAGCUCCACUAGUUAGUUUACUAUCUUACCGCUGCUUGCACCCACCUUUUCUUUAUCUAGAUUACCUUCGAAAGACAUAUAUAUAUAUACAAGUUCCCUUACCUUCCUCCCUUAAAGUGAUUAGCCUUAAUAAAUAUAUUUUUCCAGCUAAGAACAUCACACUAUCACCGAAUUGUAUAGCCAUUAUGCAUUAUGGUUUGAUUGCAGCUUUAAUCUCCCAUUUACAUUAUGUAAAAUUGCACCUUAGUCCUCCCUAAUUCACCACAAUUCCAAUUUAGUCCUUUCUCAAAUAUUAAAAAUCAUACUUCCAUCACCAUUAUUUCCAUUUUACAUCAAUAACAUUACAGACCAAAGAUUCUUUACUAUACUAUGGGUUCUGUUCCAACUUGUGGAACCUUGUUCACGCAUCAUCUACUUUCAGUAGAGAUUUGCUUACUUUGUUAAUCAUCAGAGAAGUCUAUAGUCCUCGCUUGCUGUGAUAGCAUCAUCCUCAGUAUAAUAUUACAUUAUCUAGGAGUUUCAAGGCCACAGGAAAUAACAGUCACUAUAUGGGCAUUAUGACACAUACGCAAUCAAUGUUUAUUAUUAAUGUUUGAGGUUGUUAUCCUCCCAACAAUGUUGUUACUAUACACAGUUAAUUUAUUCAUGAACAGAAACAUGGCUCAGCUCAAGAAGUGGUUGUUUUUAUAAUAUCUUACCUUAUGGAAUUGUCUGCUGUCCAAACUUCUUUUCCAGUCAGGGAUCCUCACAUUGUUGGUUGUUGCAAGGUCAAUUUCAACGUGGGCUUUCGACAAUCUAACGGAUCUGCCUUCACGGGUGUUCUAAUCCACGAUCAUACAGAGGCGGUGAAGGUAACUUUUAUUUUUAAAAAUAUUUUAAUAUUAUGAUUUUUUUAUCAUUAUCAUAUUGGAGGAGAUGUUAUAUGUUAACAUAGUUUAAAGUGUGUCAUUUGGAUGCUAUAUGAUAAUUUUAAUCACUACUUUAAACAAGUCUUGGUUAAUAUUAUAUUUUUUUAGUAUUAUUGUAAAAAAAAAAACCCUCAAAGUUUAAAAGAUUUUGGUUUUAAGCUCUUAAUCUUUUUUUUUUUGGAUUGACACCCUCAACGUUACGAUUCUUUUAGAAAUCGAUCUAAUUUUAACAAGAAACGUGUGUUGACUGUCAGUCAACUAUAGGUAGAUGAUGUGUAAAAGAUGCUUGACCAAUUUCAAAGAUGCCUACCCUUUCUCUUAUUUCUUUCUUUCCCUCUACUUUAACAGUUUGCCCAUCUCCAACUCCAAGAUGCCCUCUCUACUUCCCUUUCUCUCCACACGUCCCAACCCUACCAUCGCGGCCUUCCCUCUCACUCCUUACUGUCCUAACAGCCACCGCUCCCUUUCCUCUUAUUCCUCAUCGUCGAUCUGACCACAAACGUCCCAAAACCUCUUCCAUCUCCAUCCUCCUCCCCCUUCUCAUCAUCAUCAUCAACAUCAGUUCAUCUCUCCUAGCCCUCAUCGGGAUCACAAUAACCGUAGCCAAAGGCUUAAAUAAAUAUAACAAUUGACCAUGAGUGUUAUGUCUGCAAUUGGAUUUCACGAUCGUGGUCCCAAAAUCUUCGGCAUCGUCAUCGUUAUCAAAGUCUAUAGGACCUCCUCUAAAGUCUUUAAGAAGACAUUUAAGGAGUGGAAGGAGCAAGGAGUCAUCUUCAUCUUCUUCAUUUUUGUCCUUGUAAAUCAUUGUGGUGUAAAGGUCUGAUAUUUUCGACAAUUAUGCCACCUUACAAAAGGCAAUUUCAUUAAACACUUAAAAUUCAAUGCAACCAAAAAAAUAAAGAAAAAGCAAAAAGAGGACUCACUAUUGUAACCCAUUUUAUAGUACAGCUUGCUCUUCUACGAUCCAAUCCAUGAAAAUACCAUAGCCAAAUCAAACUCAGCCGACAUAAAUUCACUAAUCAACCUCCCUUAGCUGUUCUAAAACGUAACCGAAACCUCUAACAAGGAGAAAACAACGCUCAACAAAGCCUCCUCUCUACCGUUUUGCCUUCCCAAGAGAACCCAAAGAAAAAAUAAAAGAAAACAAGCUUAAAUACUGCUAGAUCUAACAGAAAAAAGAGAGGAAAAAUUAGAAAUUUAUGGCUUGAUUUUUCUCUCUCAAACUCUAUAAUAAAUAAGCUGAUGUGAAAUUCUGAUUGAUUAAUGGUUGGACACAAUGAUGAUAGUAAUUAGAUAGGAAGAGAGAAAGAGGAGAUGAACAUUAAAUUUUCCAUCCAUUUUAGAGUGAUUUGAGGAAUGAUGCAAGUUUAAGAGCUAAAAUGAUUUUUUUUUGUAAAGUUGAAAGGUUAAAAAGUCAUUAUGCCUUUCUAAUAUUAUGUCAUUGCAUGUGGACAUGCGAGUUUAUUUUUUUUGUAAAGAAAAUGGUAAAAACCACAUGAUUUGAAAGUCCACCUAAAACUCCGUUAUAUAAAAAAAGUCAUUGCUACAAAAUUACAACACAAAGUCACAACAAAAGCAUAUAACUUAACAAAGGUUAUUAAGUAAUCACAAGUACACUAAAAGAAAAAGUUGUGAAUAUCACACUAAUAGUAGUUAACUUUGAAAGCUGAAAAACCCAAAAUUACAGUAUCCCAAAUGAAAAUUAGAACAUACACAUCGAAGAUAUUUGAGUAUACUAACUAUUCUAAAUAUACCUCCAAUUGAAAAACGAACAAAAAAUGGUCUUUGUGAUAAAAAAAACUACUCAGACUUUUCUUUUCUUUUCUCAUUUUUUUCAUUUUGUUGCAUUCUUUUUCUGUCUCAUAUAUAUAUAAUUGAAACCACCCCCAUAUAUGUUUGAAUUAUUUAGUGUUUUCAAAGUUGUUUUUCUGUUUCAAUAAGUCAUAUUCUUUAGGAACAACUUUUUGCAUUUGUUUAAACUAGUGGUAUCCUUGUUUAUAGGUGAUAUAGGUGUUAGUUGUGAUUAUAUAUUUUUCAUUUGUAAGGCUAUAAAAAGCCAACUUUUUAUCUUCAAAAGUGACACUUAUUUCUAGCUUUCACUUAAUGUUAUACUUAACAUUCUUGUAUCCGAACUAGGUUGUUGAGAAAAUAAGUGGAUAUGAGUGAAGAAAAGAGUGAAGGUAGUCUUACAAAGAUUCGUCAUUUUGAUGGUCUUCACUAUGACCAUUGGAGUGAGAUGAUGGUGAAUCUAUUGAGGUCUAAAGGACUGUGGAACCUAGUUGACAAAGGCUUCGAGGAGCUUGAAACAAUGACUAUGCAGACCAUCUUGCAAUAGACGCAGAUGGACGAGAUAAAGAUGAAGGAUCACAGGGUCAAACACUAUCUGGAUCAAGGCAUAGAUAAUGUUAUUUUUGAGCAGAUUUUGGAUAGACAAACCUCCAGAGUUGUUUGGCAUUCUUUGAACAGCAAGUUUGGUGGAAAUGAGAGAGUGAAAAGGUCUCUUCUCAACACCUUAAGAAGAGAAUUUGAGGUGUCAAAAAUGAAUAAAAGAGAAAUGGUCAAAGAUUAUUUUACUAAAGUAAUGGAUGUAACAAACUAGAUGCUGAGCAAUGGGGAGAUAAUAUUUGACUUGGUGAUUGUAGAGAAGAUUUUGAGGACUUUGACAAAAUGUUUCACCUAUGUGGUAUUAUCUAUCAAAGAGGAAAAAUAUGCACAUACCAUCUAUUUUGAUGAAUUGUAAAGUUCAUUAUCUGUACAUGAACAAAAGUUUAAGAGAAUGGAAAAAGAAGAAGAUCAUGCCUUAAAAGUUACUGCUGGUAACGAAAGGUUUGAAAGUAGAGGAUGUUGUGCAAAUUCAUACAGAGGGCGUGGAAGAGGCAGAACGAGAUCAUUGACAAAGCUCGGGUAGAAUGCUAUAAAUGCCACAAAUUGAGGCAUUUUUAGUAUAAAUGUCCAAGGUGGGAGAGUAAAGCCAACUUUGUGGGACUUGAUAAAGAGGAAGAGCUGCUCUUAAUAAUGUGUCUGGAGACACAUAACUCACAACAAGAUGGCGUAUGGUUUCUUAAUUUGGGAUGCUUGAAUCAUAUGUGUGGGAAUAAGAAGUGGUUUUCUCAUCUUGCUUACAGCUUUUGACACUUCGUCAAGCUUGAAAAUGAUACAAAAAUUGUAGUAAUGGGAAAAGGAAGUGUUAGAUUAGAGAUUGUAUGCAUCAAAUAGGUAAUCUUUAAAGUUUUCUUUGUUCCAGAUCUAAAAAAUUAUUUGUUGAACAUGGGAUAGCUCCAAGAGAAAGGGAUAGUUAUUUUGAUUCAAGAGGGUGAGUGCAAGUUGUAUCGUUCACAAAGAGGGCUCAUUGUAACAACCAAAAUGACCAGAAAUCAGAUGUUUGUGCUUUCAACUAUUGUUUUACCAUGCUCACAACCAUUGGUUUCAUCAUGCUUCCAAACUACCACAAAAUAUAUCUCUCAUCUAUGGCACUUUAGGUUCGAUCAUUUGAACUACAAAAGCUUACGUAUGAUGUAGUCCAAAAGGUUAGUUCGUGGCUUACCAACAAUCAGCAUUCCAAUCAAAGUAUGUACUCAUUGUUUGAUCAGAAAGAAAAUUAGGGAGAAAAUGGCAGAGCAUCAAGAAAGUUGCAGUUGAUACAUUCUGGCAUUUGUGGACCAAUUACACUGAUUUUUAUAGGUGGAAAGAGGUACGUACUCAGUUUUAUUAAUGAUUUUAGCCACAAAAUUUGGGUCUAUUUCUUGCAUGAAAAAUUAGCGAUGUUUGAGGUAUUGUAGGGCUUUAAAAAAUAUAUUGAGAAUGAAAGUGGUAAACGUAUAGCUUGCUUACGCAUAGAUAAGGGUGGAGAGUUCACCUCCUAUAAAUUUAAUAAUUUUUGUAUGCAGAAUGGUAUUUGCAGGCAAUUGACUAACGCCUACACCUAGCAACAAAAUAGAGUAGCAGAAGAAGAGGAAUCGAACCAUUAUGAACUCAGUUCGAAGCGUGUAAUUUGAAAAAAUGUCCCAAAAGAAUUUUGGGCAGAAGCAAUUCAAUGGUGUACCCAUGUAAUGAACAGGAGCUUGACAAUACCCGUGAAUGGAUGAACACCAGAAGAGGUUAGGAGUAAUGUUACACCUUCUGUAGACCAUUUUUGAGUGUUCGGGUGUGUUGCCCAUGUACGCAUACCUGACCAAAGAAGAACAAAGUUAGACGACAAAAGCUACAAGUGUGUUUUCUUUGGUGUGAGUAAUGAAACCAAGGCUUAUCGAUUGUAUGAUCUAUUCUCUAGGCGUAUUGUGAUAAGUUGUGAUGUUGUUUUUGAAGAAGAUAAAUGCUAGGAUUGGAGUCAAAAUUUAGAGGAUGCAAACAAAGAGUUGGAAUGAGAAGAUAUUACUCUUGAGGAUGAUGUGAGUGAAGAUGAUGUCGUUGUACCAAAUAUAGAGGAAGUAGUUGGAGAAAAACCACCAAGUCUGAACAUUCUAGCUGCAAAUCAAGAGAGGAUUAGACGGGAGAAUAGAAGAGCACCAGAGUGGCAAAAAGAUUAUGUGAGUAGAGCAAGACUAGGCUUUUCUGGUGAAUAUGAAGAAGUCAAUAAAUUGGUUCUAUACACCACAGUAGAUCCAAUCACUUUUACAGAAGUUGUUGUAAGCAAAAAAUGGCUUGAAGCUAUGAAAAUAGAGAUUCAAGCCAUUGAAAAAAUAAAACAUGAGAAUUGAUGGAAUUGUCAGUUGGUGCAAAGAAGAUCGAAGUAAAAUGGGUGCUCAAAACCAAGCUAAAUGAACUUGGUGAUAUUCACAAACACAAGGCACGAUUGGUGGCAAAGGGAUAUGCUCAGAAAUAUGUAAUUGAUUACAACCAAUUGUAAAGUGGGAUACAAUCCGAAUGGUGAUUGUAAUGGCUGGGCAAAAAGGUUGGAAUACCUACCAACUUGAUUUUAAAAGCACUUUCCUUCAUGGAGAGCUGGUGGAGGAAUUCUUUAUUGAUCAACUGCUUGGUUUUGAGAAAGAAGGGAGGAGCAUAAAGUCUACAAAUUAAAGAAGGCCUUGUAGAGUCUUAAGCAAGCUCCAAGAGCAUGGUAUAGACACAUUGAGUCCUAUUUUACAAAGGAAAGUUUUGAAAGGUGCCCAUUUGAACCUAUUCUUUUUAUUCAAACUAAUUCGAAAGGAAGAAUUUUGAUUGUUAGUUUGUAUGUUGAUGAUCUCAUAUUCACGGGAAAUGAUGAGGAAAUAAUUAAAGCCUUUAAAAAUUCCAUGAUGCGAGAAUUUGAAAUGACUGAUCUUGGAAAGAUGAAAUACUUUCUUGGAGUUGAAGUGUUACAGAAUGAUAAAGGCAUAUUUAUUAGUCAAAGGAAGUAUGCUAAUGAAGUUCUUGAGAGAUUUGGAAUGUUAAGCUGCAACUCUGUUAGAAGUCCUAUUGUUCCAGAAAAAAACUCGUGAAAAAUGAAGAUGGAGUCAAAGUAGAUGUCAUUGGUCAUAAGAAAAUUGUGGGGAGUCUUCGAUAUUUAACUACGACCAGACCAGAUCUAAUGUAUAUAGUUGGACUGGUGAGUUGAUAUAUGGAAAAACCUACUGAACUUUAUCUUAAUACAAUGAAAAGGGUCCUUCGAUCUAUAAAAGAAAACUUAGAGCUGGGCAUUUUGUACAAAAAAGGCAAAACUGGCGAGUUAGUUGGCUACACAGACAGUGAUUAUACUGGGGAUCAAGAUGACAGAAGGAUCACUUCAGGAUAUGUUUUUCUGUUUGGAGAAAGUGCCGUUGCGUGGUCUUCAAAAAAACAGCCAGUAGUGACCUUAUCUACAACCGAAACAGUGUUUUUAGUAGUAGUGUCAUGUGCUUGUCAAGCAAUUUAGAUGAGAAGAAUCUUGGAUUCUUUCAAUCAUCCUCAAAAAGAAAGAAUCAUGUUAUAUUGUCACAACGCCUCCACCAUCAAACUAUCAAAGAAUGUCGUAUUGCAUGGAAGGAGCAAACACAUUCAUGUAAGGUACCUUUUCCUUCGUGAAUUGUCUAAUGAUAAAGUUAUUGAGCUUGUCCAUUGUGGAACAAAGGAGCAGACAACAGACAUCAUGGCUAAGGAAUUGAAGUUUGAGACAUUUGAAAAGCUUAGGGAAAAAAUUGGAAUUUAUGGAGAAGUAAACUAACUGAAAAUAUGCUAAACAGUUUAGGGGAGGAAUUGUUUGAAUUAUUUAGUGCUUUCAAAGCUAUUUUUCUAUUUCAAUAAGUCCUAUUCUUUAGGAACAACUUUGUGUAUUUUUUUAAAAUAGUGGUGAUCUUUGUUUAUAGGUGAUAUAGGUGUUGUGAUUCUAUAUUUGUCAUUUGUAAGGCUAUAAAAGCCAGCUUUCUAUCUUCAAUAAAAGUGACACUUAUUUCCAACUUUCACUUGAUUUCAUACUUAACAUUAUAUAAUGUAAGGCACAGUGGGACUCUUGGGCCAUCUCCAAUAAAUACAUAUAUAAGAUAAUAAUUAUUAUAAAAUAUUAUCUUAUAAAUAAAUUUCAGUUGUAAAAAAUAAAACAUUUAAUAAGUUUUUGAGAAAAAUAUCCUCAAACAUUGAUCUAGUACAACCACUUAUAUCAGUAGAGAAAUGUCCAUUAUAUGAACUUAUGCAAUUGGAUACGAAGCUUUCAUGGCGAUGCCACGUAACCCACCUGGUGUAUUCACAUCCCUUUGAAUCCUCAUAUACCCAUUUUCACCCCAAGUUUCUCCCCAUGAAUUCUUAAUCAACUAAUAGUUUAAACCUUCUUCACGUGUCCCAUAUCCAACAAUGGUGACUGCAUGGGCGAGAUCAUUGCUUGUAGUUUGUUUUAAAAAGGUCAAAUCAUUGAUUCAAUGAAUGGUUAUAAAAUGUGUUAUAUAUACAAGUAGUUAUAUGUUUGGCUAUGGUAAUUGACUAUUUAGGCUCGGUUUUGAAUGACAAAGAAUGUAUAUGAUCUAAUUAAUAUGGAAGUUAAAUUGGAGGAUUGAUUAUUGAAAAUAUUAAUUGGUUGUGUAUAUGAAAUAUAGGCAUGAUAAUUUGCAUGCAAAUUAGGUAUGUGGUUCAUGUGUGUGAUUGAAUAUAACAUGUUAGAUAUGUUAUUUAGCUUGCAAAUUAGAUAUUUUAUGACUUGGCAUUUGACUUCAAAAAUAGUUAAGUUUGAUUUAGUAAAAUGUACAUAAGGUUAUAAUGUUUAAAAUACUAUGAUUUGGUAAUUGAAUUUUUUAUAAUUAUGAAUCAUGUACAAAUCGGUUUUGAUAUUUGAUUGCUUGGAUUGAAAGUUUUGUAUUAGCAAACGCAAUUGAAAUGGUUAGAUAUUGAAUUAUAAUUCGUAUAAGAGAAUGUUUGAUAAAGCAUGAUUUGUGUAAGUAGAUAUAUGAUUCAAAUAGAUGCUUUUGACUUGUAUGAAUAAGAGGUUGGUUUAUUAAUUUAUUUCAGAAAAUUUUAUAAAGGAGAAUACAUUACUAGGCAUUUGAAUUGUAAAGAAUGUCCAACUAAACUGUGUAUUGUUUGGUAAUACCUUGUAACCCUAGUCCAGCGACGGACACAGGAUAGGGGUGUUACAAAUAGUUCCUUACUUGAACCAAUUUGUGUGGUAUCAAGCUCUUGAUCUCUUGGUUACUCUCUUAUUCUCUCAAAUAACCUAGGCAAAACUUAAAUUUAUGUAGUACUUAAGUUUUCUUUACAUAAGAGUUACAAUCUAAUCCGAUGGCAUGCCAACUAUAUCUAACUUUGCCCGAAUAGUUAAUAGGGUACCAAUGAUCCAAUUACAUGUAAUAACCAAUUCACAUAUCAUAUCAUAUCUCAUUUAAUUUCAUCAUCAAUUCACAUAAUGUGCCAUUAUCAAUUUCAUAUCAUGUUCAUUUUUGUUUACGGCAUUUCAAUUCAAUUCUCAACACAUUAUCAUUCAACAUGAAACAAUUCAUACGAUAAACAUAAGCUUACCUCGAUAAUUAAUCAUGCAAUCAACACGUAUAUGCAUAAAAAUAUAAUGAUAUCGAAUUAUAAAAGUACAAACUGAAUUUCCCUCAACUCGCCUUCGAUUCUCGACUUUUCCUUCUCUCACAGUAGCCCCAUGUCGUAUUAGCUACAUUUGAUAAUUCAAUAGUAAAAAUAGUAUUAGUUUACACCCAAUUUAAAUCCAAAUACAUAGCCACUCUUAUUUUUUUAUUUUAUCCAAUUUAAUCCCUAUACCCGAGAUAUACAAUUUUUCGAUAUCUAAUGUUGAGUCAAAAUUUGAUUUCACAUAUUUCCAUUGGGGGUCAUAGUAUAAUCUCAUAUCAAUUUUAAUUUAUUCAAUUUAAUCCCUAAUGUUACAAAGCUAUCUAACAAGUUCAAUUUACUUUUUAAUUUAGUCCUUAUCUAAGCUUAUUAACUAUCAUAUCCUUCAAAUUAAGCCCCAAAUAAUCAAUUUCUCUCUAAUGGUAACUUGCUAAAAACUUAACAAUUGAACAAAUUAAGAAAUGGGCUAUCUAAAUCAAGCCUUCAUGAUCAUAAAUCUACAAAAAUUAUAAGGAAAAGGCUUGAUUACGUUAAUCAAUUGUUGGCCGAAUGUUUAAAUGAACUAAAAGCUUUCUUUCUUUAUUUUUGUAUAGCAUGGAUGGUUGGAAUUGUUGAGUAUGACUCAUAUUUCAGUCAAAUUUGAGAAAUAAUCUUCCAGUUAAACUCUGUUUAUUUGUUUCAAUCAAACUCUUAUUAGUCUAGAUUAUUUUAUUAUUAGUUGACCUAUGAUUUAGCUUAUAAAUAGGCUAUUUUACCAUCUUAGAAAAUACACCCAUUAGAGAUUAGAACUCAACACUUUUAGAGAAUUUUUGUGUUUAUGUUUUUCGGGUUUUUUUUUUGGGUUUAAGGGUUUAGUUUUUAUCUCCAUCUUUGUACUCUUCGUUCUUUGCCAUUAUAGUAAAAUUAUCUUUACCCGUUAUUUUUUAUCCUCUUUGGAGGGGUUUUCCACGUUAAAUUUGUGUGUUCAAUUUUUCAAUUUCUUCAGCUAUUUUUACUUGUUCGUUGCUUAAUCGGGUCAAUCCCCAACAAGUGGUAUUAGAGUUAGUUCAAUUUUCGUAGAUCAGCCCGUUCAGAGAUGGCAGCAACAAGGUUUGAAAUUGAGAAGUUCGAUGGUGUCACAAAUUUCAAUCUGUGGCAAGUUCGGAUGAUGACAAUUUUAGUUCAAACCAGCCUGAAAAAGGUUGUUAUUGGGAAAAAGCUUGAGAAUCUAAAUCAAACAGAAUGAGAAGAGCUUGAUGAAAAGGCCUUGUCUGCAAUCCAGUUGUGCCUCACGAAUAGAGUAUUGUAGGAGGUAUUGGUGGAGAAGACUUCAUCCGCCUUGUGGAAAAUGUUAGAAACUCUUUGUGCGACUAAGUCUCUGGCUAACUGUUUAGUGUUGAAACAACGUCUAUUUACGUUUCGUAUGAACGAAAGUGAGCUUCUUAGAUAUCACAUCAGUCAAUUAAUUACUCUUUUAAUUAAUUUAAAUAAUGUUAAGGUUCAGAUUGACAAUAAAGAUUAGGCUAUGCUAUUAUUGUGCUCUUUACCCCUUUCAUAGAAGUCUUCCAGGGAGACCCUAAUUUAUGGCAGAGACAAACUCUCGUUCGAAGAUGUGAAGGGUCAUUUGUUGAGUAAAUGCAAACUCAACAAUGAGUUUGGUUCAGAUAGUAAGGCAGAUAAGCAAACUUCUGUUUUGGUAAAAUUAAAGAAGUGAGACAAAUGUGUCGCUAUUGUAAAAAGUUACGUCACGUCAAAGCAGGUUGUUAUAAACUGUGAAAUAAAAGAGUUGCUGAGGGUAAUGAGGAAGAUGUAGUUGGUGCUAAUUUGGCCGAUGAAAGCGGUGAUGAUUUCUUGUUAGUGUCAACGAGUGAUAACUCCAAGCUUACGUCCGAGUGGAUCCUAGAUCCGGGAUGUUCUUUCCACAUGUGUCUCAAUAGAGAAUGGUUCUCCACAUACAGUUCGGUUGAAGGUAGAUUUGUGCACAUGGGAAAUGAUUCAUCCAGUAAGGUAAUUGAUAUUGGUACUGUUAAAAUUAGGAUUCACGAUGGGACAAUUAGGAAAUUCUUAGAUGUCAGGUAUGUACUUGAUUUAUGAAAGAAUCUCAUCUCCUUAAGUAUUUUAAACUUGAAAGGAUGCAUAAUCAAUAUCGAGUCAAGCGACAUUAACGUAUCUCAUGGAGCUCUCAUUUUGUUAAAAGGUAAAAUGACAGACAAUCUUUAUAUUUUAGAAGGUUCUACAGUGAUCGGUGAAAUCGGAUGUACCUCGUCCAUUAUGUAGUCAAAGUCAACUCAUUUAGAGCGGAGUCAACUUGGUCAUAGGAGGGAAAAUGUAUGAUCGUUUCGUUGAAGAGAGGUUCUCUUUUGGAUGCAGGUUUUGAAAAGUUAGGGAACUAUGUUCGUGAAAAUCAUUCUCGGGUUACUUUUGAUUUGGCGGUUUACAAGUCGAACGCUAUAAGUCUUCCAGUUUCUAAGCACAUAUUUGACUUAGUUAAUUCCCUACAUAGUUCAAGAUAGGCCCGUGGUGGGCUUUGGCAAAGAUGGCGUUGGGGAAAUAUGAGUCAAGGUGGAGAUUUGUUGAGUAUGACUCCUAUUUCAGUCAAAUCUGAGAAAUGAUCUUCCAGUUAGACUUUGUUUAAUUGUUUCGAUCAAACUCUGAUUAGUCUAGAUUAUUUUAUUAUUAUUUGACCUAUGAAUUUAGCCUAUAAAUAGGCUCUUUUACAACCUUAGAAAAUACACCCAUUAGAGAUUAGAACUCAUAACACUUUUGGAGAAUUUUUGUGUUUACGUUUUCCGGGUUCUUUAUUUUUUGGGUUUCGGGGUUUAGCUUUUAUCUCCAUCUUUGUACUCUUCGUUCUUUUUCCAUUAUAGUAAAACUAUCUUUACCCGUGGUUUUUUAUCCUCUUUGGAGGGUUUUCCCACGUUAAAUUUGUGUGUUCAAUUUCUCAAUUUCUUUAGCUAUUUUACUUGUUCGUUGCUUAAUCGGGUUGAUCCCCAAUAGAGAAAAUGGAGAAGAUGACAAUCUUCCACCCUAUUUAGUAUAUAUACUUAGAUUAAUAUUAGCUUAGUUUAAUGAACCAUAUUUAAUUAGUUAAUUAAGAAAUAAUUAUGUAUAUGUUAAUAAUAAAUUAAACUAAGUGGAAUUAACCAUCAUCAUCCCCUAACUCAUGUCAAAUAAUGGUUAAAUAACCAUUUUAAUCCUUUAGAUAAUUGCUAAAUAGGUUCUCAAGUCUUUUCUAAUUUUAAAUUCAAUAGCGAUUGGACUUUUACAAUUAGUCCCUGAAUUUUAAUUAACCAAUUUCUCCGUUAAAUUACUUAACCAAACUUUAAUAUAUUUUCAUAAUAGCUUCAUUAAUCUUUAUAUAUAUUUAAUCCUUAUGAACUUGGUUUGCAGAAAUAAAAUUCUGAAACCGUAUUUUUCGACACUACUUAAAAUUAGGUCGUUACAUUAUGGGUUAUGAGCUUGACGGUGGCCUCAAUGCCAUUUCAACACCAACUAACAAUAUUGAAUUGUAAUCACUUGAUAGUAGAGGCUAUGAUACCAAUUGUUGGGGACACUAGGUUAUAUCUCACACAAAUGGAGCUUCAAAACUGAACUACAAUAUUGAACUGGAACACCAAAGUCAAAUUGAAGCUACCCAACGAAUUAACCCGACAAUUUACUACUAAAUAUUAAGAUGCAAUAAAAAAUCAAAUGAUACAAUUAAUAAUAAAGGUGAGAACACACCAAAUUAAAGACGUUUGGCACAUUACUUAUGUCCUUAAUUACUAACACCGAAUAAUAACUUUACUAUGACCCAAAAAAACAAAUUACAAACUAAUGAAACCUUAAUUAAAAGGAUUGCCCAAAUAUAUACCAAAGUAUACUAAUGAAAGUAGGAGAGAACAAAUGGUUGGGGAUAAUUCAAAUGUAGGCUUAAUGCCUUCUUAUAUACUAUAUGUGAGGCCAUAUAUUUUGUCUCAUUUUUAUGUGGGAUUUAUGUGAGCCAAUAAUCAACAAAUACGUAAUUUUCAUAUGUAUGUACUUGUAAUAAAAUUUCUAAAAUAGAUAAAAAAAAAAAAACUCAAGAGCUACAGAUAUUAAAAAAACACAAUUAUAAUUAUCGUAACUUAUUAAUGUCCUUGAAAAUUGAUCGAGUAGUGCAACUAAUUUUAUGUAGUACAUGUAUUGGCAGAGAAAUUGUCUAUUAUAUCAACUUAUAAUACUGGAUAUAUACGAAGCUUUCAUGGCGAUACCACAUAAGCGACCUUGCGUAUUCACAUUCCUUUGAAUCCUCAUAUACCCAUUUUCACCCCAAGUUUCUUCCCAUGAAUUCUUAACCAGCCAAUAGUCUAAACCUUCAUCACUUGUCCCAUAUCCAACAAUGGUGAGUGCAUGGGAGAGGGCAUUGCCACAAUCUCCGGUAUACACUCCACUACUGUAAUACCGAAAGUCUUGUCCAUAGCCUUCGAUUGCAACCGAGACAAGUUGAUUUGCGACGACCUUAAGCAACGCUUGUUCGUCGUUUGUAGGCACCAUUUGAUAGCCAUUGAUGAUGACGUCAACUCUGUUUAUCUGUUUCUCAGUGUCGCAAGUUUCUUGCACUGGUUGAUAUGGGUAGCCUUCUUCGGUGGUUAUUCCUUGGUUUUGGAUAAUGUAGUCGAAAGCAUUCAUCAUCCAUCCUCCAUACAACCUUGGUUUCCUCCAUUUGUGCUGCAAUCCAACAGUUGUUGCACAGAUAAUGAGAUUAAUUUACCAGUUUUGAUUUGGUUAUCCCUUCAACGGCUGCCACUGCUGAAAAUGCCCAACAAUAUCCUGCAAAAGUAAACCAACAAUAACCCUUUGUUAAGUGAAGUAAAUAUACUAACAUCAGUUUUUUUUUUCAAUUAAUCGAGCACCCUAUCAUUUCAACAGAGAAAUUUGAUUUUUAAAAAAAUAUAUUGAAAGGUUUGAAGUUUUAAUAUUAGACAGAUAGUUUAACAUUUUAAUAUACUCAAAAUUUGAAGCACAGGAUUUGAAAUAAGAUGAUCUAAUUAAGAAAAUAUAAUAAAUAUUUUGCAAGUCUGUAAACUGGGACUUACCACAGUUACCCUGAGACUUAAUGGGAGUGACGGCACCUUUCUUCCUCCAAUCGAUGCUCGUUGGAACAUCUGAGAAGCUUUCAUACAUAAAUGAUGUUGAUUGGGACAUAGUGGAAUUGUCCCCCAUCUUGUAUCCAGUGUGAGCUACAAUAAAUUCAUGAUGACAGAAGGAUCACUUCAGGAUAUGUUUUUCUGUUCGGAGAAAGUGCCGUUGCGUGGUAUUCGAAAAAACAGCCAGUAGUGACCUUAUCUACCACCGAACCAGAGUUCGUAGCAGUAGUGUCAUGUGCUUGUCAAGCAAUUUGGAUGAGAAGAAUCUUGGAUUCUUUCAAUCAUCCUCAAAAAGAAAGAAUCACAUUAUAUUGUGACAAUGCCUCCACCAUCAAACUAUCAAAGAACGUCGUAUUGCAUGGAAAGAGCAAACACAUUCAUGUAAGGUACCACUUCCUUCGUGAAUUGUCUAAUGAUAAAGUUAUUAAGCUUGUCCAUUGUGGAACAAAGAAGCAGACAACAGACAUCAUGACUAAGGAAUUGAAGUUUGAGACAUUUGAAAAGCUUAGGGAAAAACUUGGAAUUUGUGGAGAAGUAAACUAACUGCAAAUAUGCAGAACAAUUUAGGGGAGGAAUUGUUUGAAUUAUUUAGUGCUUUCAAAGCUGUUUUUCUGUUUCAGUAAGUCGUAUUCUUUAGGAACAACUCUGUGUAUUUGUUUAAACUAGUGGUGAUCCUUGUUUAUAGGUGAUAUAGGUGUUGUGAUUCUAUAUUUGUCAUUUGUAAGGCUAUAAAAGCCAGCUUUCUAUCUUCAAUAAAAGUGACACUUAUUUCCAACUUUCACUUGAUUUCAUACUUAACAAUAUAUAAUGUAAGGCACGUGGGACUCUUGGGCCAUCCCCAAUAAAUACAUAUAUAAGAUAAUAAUUAUUAUAAAAUAUUAUCUUAUAAAUAAAUUUCAGUUGUAAAAAAGAAAAUAUUUAAUGAGUUUUUGAGAAAAGUAUCCUCAAACAUUGAUCUAGUACAACCACUUAUAUCAGUAGAGAAAUGUCCAUCAUAUGAACUUAUGCAAUUGGAUACGAAGCUUUCAUGGCGAUGCCACAUAACCCACCUGGUGUAUUCACAUCCCUUUGAAUCCUCAUAUACCCAUUUUCACCCCAAGUUUCUCCCCAUGAAUUCUUAAUCAACCAAUAGUUUAAACCUUCUUCACUUGUCCCAUAUCCAACAAUGGUGACUGCAUGGGUGAGCUCAUUGCUACAAUCUCCUGUAAACACUCCACCUUUGUAAAACUGAAAGGAUUGUCCAUAUCCAUCGAGUGCCACCGAGACCGGUUGAUUUGUGACGGCCUUAAGUAAUGCUUCUUCGUCGUUUUGAGGCACCAUUUGAUAGCCAUUGAUGGUGGCAACUUUGUUUUUCUGUGUGUCGCAAGUUUCUUGCAUUUGCUGAUAUGGGUAGCUUUCUUCGGUGGUUAUUCCUUGGUUUUGGCUGAUGUAUUCAAAAGCAUUCAUCAUCCAUCCUCCACUACAACCUUGGUUUCCUCCAUUUGUGCUGCAAUCCAACAGUUGUUGCUCAGAUAAUGAGAUUAAUUUACCAGUUUUGAUUUGGAUUAUCCCUUCAACGGCUGCCACUGCUGAAAAUGCCCAACAACAUCCUGCAAAAGUAAACCAACAAUAACCCGUUGUUAAGUAUAAAGCAAUUAAUGAAAAUAAAUAAAAAAAUGAAUGCUUCAAUGCCAAUCUAUAAUAAUAUAUAAACUUUUGAUUGAGUUGAUGUAACUAGUUAUCGAAUCAUAAAAGAAAAUAUAAAAAUAAUGUUACAGGUGAAGUAAAUUAUACUAUUACAAUAAUAAUUGUCUUUUCAAAUUUUUAAAAAAUUAAAUAAAAAUUUUGCAUAAGAUGUGAUCUAAACCCAUGUGACAAAUAUUUAUAAAAAAAAUUACCCUUUAAUCAAGAUUUUAUUUUAUAUUUUUAUAUAUUUUAAAUUAAUUAUAAAAAUAUUUUCGGCCAUUGUUUAUAUAUUGAUGAUGUUAUUGGUUGAGUUGAUCACAAAUCCACUCAUAAUAAUUCAAGAGAAGUGACGAUAUCAAAAUAAACAAGCGGAUCGUAUUUAUUAUUUUUAAUAUAAUAUAUUUACUUGUUUAAUUUUUUUUUACUUGCAAUUUAAACUAUUUUUUAUUUAAUUUAAUACAUAUCACAUCUAUUAUUAUUAAUUUCAAACCUUAAGUUUUAUUAUUUAGACUUAAUAACAAAUUUGGUCAAUAGCAUUUAUAUGUUUUGUCAAAAUAGCCCUGAUUUAUUUUUGAGCCUUUUCUGACCAUCAAUUUUUACUCUUUUUUCUAACAUAUGUGAAAUAUUUUUAAUGAAAUGUAAUUUAUUACUUAGAUAACUCAAUAAGAUAAUUACAUGUGAAAAAUAAUAAAAUAGAGAAAUAAUAUAUGAAAUUAAAAAAUAAAUCUUAAUUUAAAGAAAAUGGUUCAAGGUUUCAAUUUUUUUUCAAAAUAUUUCAAUCUUUCGUAUGUUUAUUUACCGAGAGGUUUCAAUUAAGAGUUAUUUUUUUGAAAAUUCUUGUAUUAUUUAUUUAUUUUAUUAUUUUCCACAUGUAAUUAUCUUAUUGGGUUCUCUGAGUAAUAAAUUACAUUUCAUUCAAAAUAUUCUACAUAUGAAAUUCCUCAUCAUACCCGUUAACUUUUUUAAUGAUACUUUCAUCAAAUUUGUUAGAACAGAUGGUUUGAAAAACAAAAACAAAAAUUGAUGGUUAAAAAAGACUCAAAAAUACAAUUAUGGUCAUUUUGACAAAACAUGUAAAUGUUAGUAGGGAAGCUUAUUAUAUAUCGCAUGUAAUCUUUAAAAGCGACGUGUUGUAUGCAAUUCACUUUCUAAAACGAUUGCUUACUCAAUCAACAAUUUUAUGUAUAUAUAUAAAUUAUUACUUACCACAUUGACCUUGAUUCUUAAUAGGAGUGACUGCACCUUGGUCCCUCCAAUCAAAGUUUGUCGGAACAUCUGAUACGUUCUCAUACCUGAACGACGUUGACUCAGGCAUUAUGGGGUUGUCUUGCAUCUUGUAUCCAGUGUGAGCUGCAAUGAAUUCAUCUUGUGUCAUGUCUGCAAAUUCAUUCAGGCUUAACUUAAAACUUCUAUUUCCACCAUUGUUGAAGCUCUCAAUGUAUUCCAAAUUCUCUUUGAAUACAUUAAGACGCUUCUCCUUCUCUAAUUUGCUCUCAUAUUUUCGACCAUAAUCAACCAUCCAUUGCUCAUGUUUAUCAACAACAGAGGCUUCAUAGAUUGUUCGGGACAUAGCAAGAGAUGCCAAUGUCCCAAAAAUUAAAAACAAAAAGGCAUGGAUUAAACUCAUCUUGUUGUUUUGCAGUAUAUGGUGGGAUACUACACUAAUUUCUGGGUUUUUUCUUUGCUAAUUGCCAAGUUGUGAAGAACUAGCACUCUAUGAAUGUAUAUAUACUAAAAAAUUGAUUGAAAUGAAUACUUUUUUAAUUAAGUCCAAAUAAAACGCCAAUCAAGUCAAUUUUCAGGUUUACAAUUACAGACAUACCUUUUUUUUUUAUAUAAAUCAACAAAUUAUUAGUGUGGCGUGAUUGACGGAGACAUACAACGUUUUACUUAUUCCUUCAUUGCUGUUUCUCGGUUGGUGGUUGACUUCGAAGUCAAUGUUAACAUUCCAAUUCUCCCAUUACAUGUCCAUUGGGUCUUCAGCUUUUGGUCCAAUAUCAAUUUUUUUAUUGAAGAAAUUAUUUUAAUAAAAUAAUUAACAUUAUUAUUUUUUGUUAAUAUUUAAUAUAUUAUCAUUAGAAAAUUUUAAUUGUAUAAAUAGAUUUUAAAUAUAGUAAUUUAUCUCAUUCUUUUCAGAAAUAUAAUUUUUUAUUUUGAGCGAACUACAUAGAUAGUCACCUAACUAUAAAUUUUGUUAAGCAUCCAAAAUAAAAAAAUUAUAAUUUAAUUACCCACGUUUCAUAAUUUAGUCAUUUUAGUCGCUCCCGUUAAAAUACAAUAACAAGCUAACAUCACAGUUAAAAAAAUCAGUAUAAUAACAAAUUUAACCCUCAAUUUUUAUAUAUUAUAUCAAUUUAGUCAUAAUUUUAAAAAAUUAACUCAAAAUUUAUAAAUAUUCUCAAUUUGAUCUUAAUUCUAAAAAAUUCAAUGAAAUAUAUAAACAUACAUAAAUAAUUUUAUAAAUAAUGAUAAUACAUUUAAAUGUUAUAUUAAUGUUAAAUAAAAAUAAUUAUAUUAAUAUUAUGUUUAUUUAAUACAAUAUUAAUACAAAAUUUUAAUUUAUUAUUAUAUAUUUUGAAAAUAUUUAUAAAUUUUGAGAGUUAAUUUUUUAAAAUUAUGACUAAAUCGAUAUAAUUUGUAAAAAUUAAGGGCUAAAUUUAUUAUUAUACUGACUUUUUUAAUUGCUACGUUAGCUUGUCGUUUGCGAUAGUAACAUGGGUGAUCAAAAUAAUUGAACAAUAUAAUGCGAGUGCUUAAAUUGCAAAUCUUUUAUUUUAGGUGCUUAAAAUAAAAAAAUUAUAAUUUGGUGACAAUCUGUGUAGUUUACCCUUUUAAUUUUUACUACACCUUAAAGGAGUACGUGACACCCUCUAAACUCUGCUUAUAGAAACUAAAAACUCCAUUGUUAAAAAGAAUAUUUUAGCUUCUGUUUAUUUGAAAAAAUGACAUUUUAAUCCCUAUAUAUUAACUUUAUUGUUAAUGGAAAGACAUUGCUUAAAAGUGACAUUAAAUCAAAUAUUAGAUGAAAUUAAAAAGCUUAUUAAACCAAGAUAUUUCGUCUCGUGGAAAAUUUUGGGGUGUUGGCAAUGUAUCAUAAAGUAGUAAUCAACAUGUUAGUGUGGUGUUCCAAUUGUGACAUGGUGAUGAUGGUUAGAAACUUGUGUUGCAAGGAAUAAGAAGAAGAGAAUAUAGUUAAGACUUGAGGCGUGAAAAAACACUUUCCUUUAAUGCUUUUAAGUUUGUCUCUAGAAUACAAUGAAAAGAACAGAACAGUGAAAACAUAACUCGUGGCAUAAGGUAUGUUUUUUUUCAUAACAUAACGAUUUACCAUAAAAUUAUGUUUCUUCAAUUCGAAAACAUUUUAAGAAGAUUAUGUUAUUUCAAUAAAUUAGUUUCGAUGCAAACAAAAUAGUUUGCACCACCAAACUAAAGCUUUAAGCGCCUAAAUUUUGAAAUAUAAAAGUCCCAAUCGGUAGCCCACCUAUCUAGUGGGUUAGGGCCUAACUUAAUUACAUAAAUUAUAAAAAAUUGGUUAUUUAAAUUCUUUAUAUUAUAUGUUUGUUGGUAAUGUGGAUUACAAUCUUGGAUAAAUUUGUAAAAAUUUGAAGUGAAUUAGAAAUUUUGAAGCUAGAAUUUGCAAUUCAUGCACUUUGUAACACCCAUUGUAACACCCAUUGCUCGAUCCUUUCUAACACUCCUUGCUCGAUCCAAUUGCCAUGUUCGAGCAAUAGAAUAUUACAUUCAUUACCGGAGCAACUACAAUUAAUAAUACAGUAAAAUAAUAAUUCAAACAUACAAACAUGUGAUACACAUUUACAAUACGAGACAUAAUAAAAUUCGAGGUUUAAUCAAACUUACGACAGCUUAAUUGUUGACCCAAGCAUGAAAUAAGACCAAAUUGCAAAGUUUUCAAAAUUUCAUAUCAGGUAUCAAUACCUCUUGGAAUACCCCGGAAUUUGGGGUUAGAAGUUUUGAGGUUGUGGUUAGGGUCAUUGAAUAGGUCGAGCACUUGAGUGGGUUUUCACGUUUUAAUAUUAGAAUAAGCUUAUUGGUUUGGUGGUGGUGAGUGUGUUAGUUUACAUUUGGGUUUUGGAUUCAAAUCCUUAUGUGUGUUUUGAGGAUUUAAUUUAUUUUGGUUUUGCUUUUUAAUUUUUAAAGAUUUACUUUUAAAAUUUGAAAGAGAGGUUUUUUAGUUUCACAUUCUUUUCCAUUUCCUUUUCCCUUUUUUUUUUUGUUCCCUCUGUUAUUUUUCGGUUCUUUCCCCAAAUUUCAGUUCUUUUGAUUUAUUGUUUCUUCCAUUUUACACUCACGUUACAUGUUGUCUGUCAAGACUGAUCGUCCUCGUGUGUUUUGUUUUAUCGGAGGUGAAGCGGGUAGGUUUUGUUCAUGAGGGUUUAUGAUAGAAUUGCUUCUGUUUCUAUUAUUCGUUGAUUGAAGUUCUUAUAUUUUAAGUUUAUGUGUGAAAUUGAGGUUUCCGAACAGUUUGAUGAGAGCGAAUCGAUUGAUCCUUGGUGCUUGAUAUUGCGUUCUAAGGUGUGUGUUCUAAAACAGUUUAACUUUGGUAUCGAAUUGCUGUGGGAUUUGAUAAUGUCUUGUCUGUUUAUGAAAUUGGUUAUUUGAAGUAUCGUAUUGUUACUGAAUUGCAUUAAAUUCUAUAUGUUUUGCCAUAAUUCUGGGUUACCAAGGGUUGGGUAUCGUUUCGACAUCAAAAGUAUGAUUUUCAGGCUGUUUCGGUGUGGUUUCGUGACCAUAUGAGUGGCCACACAGGUGUAUGCGCACACGGGCGUUUAACAUUUUAAUAUUAGACAGAUAGUUUAACAUUUUAAUAUACUCAAAAUUUGAAGCACAGAAUUUGAAAUACGAUGAUCUAAUUAAGAAAAUAUAAUAAAUAUUUUGCAAGUGUGUAAACUGGGACUUACCACAGUUACCCUGAGAAAUGGGAGUGACGGUACCUUUCUUCCUCCAAUCGAUGCUCGUUGGAACAUCUGAGAAGCUUUCAUACAUAAAUGAUGUUGAUUGGAACAUAGUGGAAUUGUCCCCCAUCUUGUAUCCAGUAUGAGCUACAAUAAAUUCAUCAUGUGGUCAUAUCUGCAAAUUUAUUGAGACUUAACUUAAAACUUUUAAUUUUGUCAUUGUUAAAACUCUCAAUAUAUUUCAAGUUGUCCUUAAAUAUAUUAAGACGUUUUUCCUUCUCUAAGUUGCUCUCAUAUUUUCGACUGUAAUCAACUAUCCAUUGCUCAUGUUUGUCAACAAUGGCGCUUUCAUUAAUUGUUCGAGACUACAUGACAAGUGAUAAUGUAAAUGUCCAUAAAAUUAAAAACAAAACGCCAUGGAUUAAACUCAUCAUCGUUUUGCAGUAUAUGCAGAGACACAGCACUAAUUUAAGGUUUUUAUUUUGUUUUUGGAAGAGGUUUUUUUUUUUUUUUUUUUUAAUCAUCAUUUAUUCAUUAUAAUGGGUAGAAGAACGCCAAGAGUACAAGAGUGAUAGUUCCAAACAGACCACAGACAUCAACACCAAACGAAAGGGAAAAAAGAACAAAUACAACACAUAUCUUAGACCAUUUAACACUGCUAAUUGAUUAUCGUAACUUACCUAUCAGUAUGCUCGAAAAUUAGUCAAGCAGUACAACCACAUAUAUAUAGGUAGAGAAAUGUCCAUUAUAUGAACUUACAUAACGGGAUACGAAGCUUUCAUGGCGAUACCACAUAAGCCACCUGGUGUAUUCGCGUCCCUUUGAAUCCUAAUAUAUCCUUUUUCACCCCAAGUUUCUCCCCAUGAAUUCUUAACCAGCCAGUAGUUUAAACCUUCUUCACUUGUUCCGUAUCCGACAACGGUGACUGCAUGGGAGAGAGCAUUGCCACAAUCUCCGGUAAACACUCCCCCGCUGUAAAACCGAAAGUCUUGUCCAUGGCCUUCGAUUGCAACUGAGACAGGUUGACUUGCGACGACCUUAAGCAACGCUUCUUCGUCGUUUUCAGGCACCAUUUGAUAUUCAUUGAUGGUGGCAACUUUGUUUAUCUGUUUCUCAGUGUCGCAAGUUUCUUGUGUUUCUUGAUAUGGGUAGCUCUCUUC
rnacentral:lncRNA from 1 species